CUGCAAAGUGGCGCCCAAGGCAGAUGCCUUGUUUGCCUCGUGAUACACACGUCCCCGGUGCCUGUGUGUGUUACUGUAUUCAGGCAACUUGGUGGGAGGUGGGGGGGGCGCCGUGAAGACUUUUUGCACAGGGCGCCUAAUUGCCUAAGGCCGGCCCUGGACGUGCACACCUGUUUUCGGGUCGAAGGUCACGUUCUGGCCAAUCAGUGUAUGGAGAGGCAUAUUUAAACCCUGGAUAGCUUUUUUUACCAUGUCGUGGUUUCCUCUGGUUGGUUGUCAGAGAGUGUGUUCUAGUUCUUGAUCUCUUUUUGGUAUUGACCCCCCCUGAGAUAGUGCAGAGGGCUGGAGUGGUUAUUGUACCUGGAUUGUUCCUUUAAUCUACUAGUGCCCCUCCGAGAUUAGGUUCUGGAUCCACCCCUACUUAUGUGGCAGGUGUUAAUGAGCACAUGCUAGAAGAGGGUGUGGGGCUGGGGAAAGUGUUGAGAUAAGAAAGAUUUGAGAUCUCUUAUAUGAUUGCAGCAAUCGUUUUAGUGAGGUGAGUUGCAAAGUUUGCAAUGUUCAAGUUAAAAGGAGAAGGAGUGGCAAUAGGGAGAAGAAAAGCAUUUAAAGUGUGAAAUAAGCUUUUGGGUUCUCUGGAGAGUGUGGUUAGGGUAUAUUGAAAUAAUUUUCUUUGGUAGAGGAAAAAGACAAAUUGUAGAAGUGCAGCAUUAAUUUAUAGUGGAGGAAAUUAAAUGCAGAACAAAACUUUCUCCAGCAGCAUUUAGUAACUCUGGGUCAUUUUCUUAGUAUGCCAAGGUUGUAAGUGGGGUCGCUUGCCAUGUUUAAUGUUGGAGGUGCCAUGUUUUAUAUUUCAGUGGAGAGGAUAUAGUUUUAAAGGGAGGUUGCAGAGCUUGGGCAAGUGAGGUUUGCAAUGGGUCUGAGAAGAGUUUGGAAAUUGGUGGAGAAUUGUUGUAUGUCAAGACAGUGGAUGUUGUUGAAAUUAAUGUACAUAAGAUGCUAUAAGUUGGAAAUGGGGUAUACCGGUGCAAAAGGUCAACAGAUGAUGGUCUGUGGAUGGAGCAUUAGAGAGCUUAGAGUUGGGGCAGAGAUUAAUAAAGAUGAGAUCAAGAGUGUAUAUGAAUAUGUAUGAGUUGGCAAAAUCAGUCCAUUGAGUGAGGCUGAAAGAAGAGGUUACAGAGAGAUGUCAGGAGGCAUCAGAGCUACUAGGGGUGUUGAUUUGAUUUAUAAUUAUAUUGACAGAACCCCGGUUGUUCUUGUAUCCCCCCCUGUCUUUAUUAUGUAUGCUACCCAGUGUGUUCGUGCAAAAUGCCUGCUCCCCGUUCGGUAGUGCCUCCGCAAAGGGAAUCCAUUCGCCUCACGAACGGGGACCACCCCAAUAAUCCAUUUAGAACGCUCAUUAGAACAUUCUCACCUCGACCUGAUGCCAAAACUGCAAGGGAAGCCUUGAUGCAUGCCGUCCCCUGGGUGGCUGCCAGUUCGUAUAGACGAACCCCAUCCAGGGGGAGUAUUCGUGAACUGCUUCCCACCCCAUUCGGUUCCCGAACAGGGACCUUCCCAGUGCCCAUUGGAAUGUUCAUGCCAAUCAAUUAGAACGUUAACAACUCACAACAUAAGUGUGAAACCGCAAGGAAUGUAACUAAUGAGUGCUUCCCUGGGUGGCCGCCAUUCGUAUAGACGAGCGCCAACCAGGGGGAGCAUUCGUAUCCCGAAAUGAGUGGCUUCCCUUACCUGGCUUCACAUAGGGACCCCACGAAUGGAGGCUAUUUGCGACAGGUACCCUUAUGGUAUGUGGGCAUCCUUUGGGGACAAUGGAUGGGUUGGGGCAGGUUUUCUAUGCCUGGAAGACAAAGGGACAUUGACCCCCCUCUUUUCCCAUGAUUUGUCCUCCAGGCAUGGGGGAUCCUGGGAAGAAGACCCCCUGUCACUGGAAGUGGGAAACCCUGUACUUGGGUGGCGGGAACAGGGGACAAAGGGACUGGAACUCCUGUGUCACGCUAAGACCCCUGGGAGCGGGAGACUGUGACUGUGUGGUGUACACCUCUUGCAUGGGGUUCUGCUUUAAAACGCCGAGUGUGGUAAAGAAAGUAUUGUUGUACCUCCAGAACUCGGUGUCAUCCAGUUACUGGGGGGAGGAAAUGGGUCUCUGUACAUUUUAAGUGGUUCCUGACUGGCUGAAGGACAGGAACUAGAGAAGGUAACCGGUCGAGUUAGCCGUUGUCCGCUACAUGUAAUAUAUAUAGAAACAUAGAAUGUGACGGCAGAUAAGAACCAUUCGGCCCAUCUAGUCUGCCCAAUAUUUCUAAAUACUUUCAUUAGUCCCUGGCCUUAUCUUAUAGUUAGGAUAGCCUUAUGCCUAUCCCACGCAUGCUUAAACUCCUUUACUGUGUUAACCUCUACCACUUCAGCUGGAAGGCUAUUCCAUGCAUCCACUACCCUCUCAGUAAAGUAAUACUUCCUGAUAUUAUUUUUAAACCUUUGCCCCUCUAAUUUAAAACUAUGUCCUCUUGUUGUGGUAGUUUUUCUUCUUUUAAAUAUAGUCUCCUCCUUUACUAUUUAUUAGUCUUCAAGUAUGAGAGAAGAGAGGAAAUAGGGGAUAAAACGUGUUUGAGGAAUAGGCUAGGAUUACCAAGGGACAAGAAAUUAUGGCAAUCAUUAAAGGAGUGCUUUUAAAUAUGCAGCUAGAGUGAACUUCGAAUGAUGGAAAAAAUAGGGAUAUGGUAGAUUGGUUAAAGGUACAUUGGGGGAAGAGAUGGAUGCCUACACCCCCUUCCCUUACAGUCAUUAGGUCAGGGAGUGUAGGAGAGUUAUAGACAACAGAAGUAUAAAGAAGCAAGAGGGACACUGUCAAGUCUCAGUGAGACCCUUUAGAGCAGGGGUGGGGAACCUUCGGCCCUCUAGGUGUUUUGGACUACAUCGCCCUUGAUGCUUUGCCAGCAUUAUGUGAGAUGUAGUCCAAAAUAUCUGGAGGGCCAAAGGUUCCCCACCCCUGCUUUAGAGUGAGACAGUCUGAAAUUAAGAGAUCAUGUAAAGCUGUAGAUAUCAAUUUGCUGCAUACAGUAGGCAUUCUAGAAUGCACACUGAACAGUGAUAAAUGAGGAGAAAUGACUGGGUGCUGGAAUGAGCUUGAUAUAAAUUGUAGAUGGCUUAGUGUGAGUAGUGGAGGUGAAAGGCCAUGGGAUGGGACCAGAUAUCGCCAGCUGCUAGAAGCAGGAGGAGAGACAAUAAUAGUGGGUUUUGUAGGAACGGGGUCGAUAUUGAAAGAGGCUAGAAAUGAGAAAUAAGUGCAGGGCAUUAAAUGCGAUAAGAGGGAAGUAUAACAGGGUAAGGAAAAUAGGAAGAUUGUGAGGUGGAUGUGGUAAGUGGGGGGUAAAGUGAGACUUUGACACUGAGUAAUAUAUUCAUCUUCCUGGUCUAAGGCUGGCUGAAAAAUAUGUGAGUUGAAGCCUAUCAAUGGUAUAAAAUGGCAGAUGGAAACUCAGACACUUAAUACAAUGACGAAACCCCUGCGCUAGUAUUUCACCUUUAGCCCCUUAAGGACACAAGUUCUGGAAUAAAAGGGAAUCAUGAUGGAAUAUUUCCGUCAUGUGUCAUUAAGGGGUUAAGACUCACUAAUGGUUAAGACUUGUUUUAGGUGCUGGAGAAUGUUUUUCAAUUCUUAUAAUUAUUAUUACACCACUUUUUCAAAUAUGUAUAAAAAAUAAACCACUGAUCAAAACUACUCUCAAAAUGUGAUGCGAUGGUAGGGACAACACAAAGUCAUGGGUCACAUAGUCUUGCUUGUUCAGGAGAAUUCAAAUGUUAGAUAUUACAUUGUUUUUUAAAUAAAUGUAAAAUUAGAACUUCUUUACAAAAACCCUUUAAACGUGGUUGGGGUAAUAAACCGCUAUGGUGUGCUUUGGAUUGUGUGACAUUUUUAUAAAGUGCAAAUCUUUGUACUUUACUUCUAUUCAUGCAAUAUCUAUUUACGUGCUGCAUCCAUGCACAUUUGCCUGGCAAUCUAUACUAGUCAUGUGGUUUGUUACCCAUUUUGAAAUGGUCAGAAAUGUAUAAAUUCAAAUAACCAAAAAAUAAAAAAGACGGACAAAAUGAUAAAUAUCUAGUGUGUGUGUUCUGCCAUCUUCAAUAUGCAGCCCAUAUGUCAUGCAGUCUGGCAGGCAUAUUGACUUAUGUAGCCAACUUUGAAAAAUCCUGUUGUAAAACAUAACCCUUUUCCUAUGGAUGAUGCCAGUUAUCAGUCCAUGAAACAAACAAACUGCCCGGAGAGGUGCACUGUUCAUAUAAGAAAAAUAUUUCCAGAGUUAUUGGCUAAAGUGAAAAUUGUCAGCAAUUCAAAGUGAAUUUCCCAUUUAAGGCCAAAACUGAAGCCCAUGGAUCAGCGCAGUCAGGGGAAUGGGCCUUGACAGAGCCAAGGAGUAGGCAGGUGGAGUUAUAAUUUUAGGGGUGGGAAUUUAGGAAUGGAUUGUAAUAAGGGGUGGAGAAUAGAGGGAGUAUAUUAAGCGGCCAUUUUAGCAAGUGGCCAUUUUAACCAGAAUCUGCACUGUUAAUUGUUUUGGCAGGUCUGUGUGGUUUCUUGUUCUUUAUUUUGCAGAUGGCUUCGCUGGACGAGAUCCUGGACGGAGUGAGAGCGGCUGUGCGUGACAGGGGGAUGGCCUGGCUUCAACAGCAGCUGGGGGUUCCUGGGACCAGUGAUGCACCCCCUGUGGCAGCGGAACGGCGGUCGGUGAGGAGGGCGAGACCGCCCCAGCGGCUGAGUCCGGGCGUGAUGCCUGCAGCACGGCGGCGUCUGAGCCCGUCCGCGGACGCGGGCGGGUCCCUGGCUGUGGGGGCCGGCCGGGAGGAGCCAGAAAAAACGCCGCCGGCACCGUCUGUUCGACGCGGUGCCGGUCGGGCACGGACGGCGGUUAGGCCGGGGACGGCUCUGCGGCCUACCACGCGGAGCGCCGCCCGGCGGACGGCGAACGGCAGGGUGCCAGGAGUGGCGGCGGCCUCCAGGACAGCCGUGUGUGCAGAGGCCAGUGGAGGGGAUGACACAGCACAAGGGCGUCCCGGUGAGUCUGCCUCCGGUGUUACACCCGGGCGGCAAAGGGGCAGGCAGGUGGAUGUGGGGGACGGGCUGACAGCUCCCCUGGGGGCAGAGGGGGCUCAUACCAGUAAGGGCUCAGUGGGUACGGCCGGGGUUGGGGCCAGGCAUGACAGCAGGGGGACAGCCGACCGGGUUUCCCAGCUAGGACGUCAGAGGGGGGACCGCAGGUGCACCUCCCAGGGGCGCCCAGGAGUUAUACACAACCCCAGACCUGGAGUCAGCAGGGAACGGCGCGAGGAAAGCGCCAGGCAGGAGGGUACAUGGAGCGCCAGGGAGAGGAGCCUGUCAGCUGAUAGUUGCAGUAGGCCGAGGUCGGCCUACAGGGACAAGGGGAGGACGGAACGGCGCAGCGCUUCUGGGUCCUCAGACGAGAGCUCCCAAGGACAGCGGGAUAGCAAUUGCGGCCAGGAGGGCCAGGCAACUAAGCGGGGCAAGCGUAGGAACGCUGGAAGGGAGCGUAGGGAGGAAGGGCGGGUAGGGGGAUCCAUGAACAGACUACCCAGGUGUUCUUCUCCUUACAGGUCGCGGAGCAUUACACCAACGGUCCCGAGGCGGGACCAGGCAGAAAGGAGUCGGCGUCUCUUGGACACUCCGGAGCUGUGCGCGGCGGAUGGAAGGAUAGCGACCCCGCGGCAGAUUCAUGGUUAAGCGGUUUAAAGUCGUUCUUAGAUUCUUGGGCCAGUAGGGAGGGGGUUUCUCCACAAUUUUCGAGGGUGUGGGGUCCGGUGGCGGGUCUUACGUCCGCGGGACAGGCUAGCACGGGGAGUGGUGACACCAGGGUAGCCGCAUCCGGGUCGGUAGGGGGGACGGGCGAAAAGACGGACGUAGGCGGCGAGAUUACCGACGCGGCGCGGCAAAAUGUUCACGUUUCUUUCGCGGGCCCCUUAGGCUGUCAUCUUAGGGCCGAGUUGAAGGACAAGAUUUGGAAAGGUGAGUUCGUGUAAGUUUUUGCCCUUCUUCCUCUGGAGGAGUUUCUUGACCUGAAAGAGGAGGACAAGAAGGACGCAAAGAAGGAGGAAGAAGAGAAAAAGCGUAGAUAUAGGAAAAUCCCCAAAACGUUUGCGAACUGGCUACGGGCCUUUUGCAUAUUGGCCAGUGUUAUCGGGGAAAAAUUCCCCGACCGCUGCUCACAACUUUUUUGUUAUCUGGACGGGAUUGGGGACGCGUACCGAACAUACGGGGGAGUAGCAUGGUGGAAAUACGAUGAGCAGUUCCGCCAGCGUUUAGCGGCGAAUCCUAGUAUGAGGUGGGAUCAAAUGGACCUACCCUUAUGGAUGAGACUGAUGAUGGCGCAGAAGGCUGCGCCCUUUCACGGGGCGGCCGGUGCGGUACCCGGAGGAUCGGCACCGGCCGGACAAAAGAAGGGUUUUUGCUGGCUCUUCAACGAGGGUCAAUGCAAGUGGGGUACAUCGUGCAGAUUCAAACACGAGUGCUCUGGCUGCGGGGGUACACAUAGGGCUAACAGGUGUUUCAAGAGAGGGAAGCCGGCUUCAGGAGGAGGUCCCAGCAACGCAGCGGCCUCCACAGCUACCGCUGGGGGCAACCCCAGUGAAGGUAGGCGUGAUGCUGCCGUGGCUAAGGCGUUACGCUAACCGAGCGGACGCAGAGUUUUUGAGGAGGGGGUUUACUAUUCCAUUUAAGGGGAGGGGACCAGGGGCUUUAUGUGCGAACCUGCGAUCCGUACGGGAACAUCCAGGGGUGGUGCGGGACAAAUUGCUGGCGGAGGUAAAGCUGGGUAGGAUGGCAGGACCUUUUGUGGCCCCGCCACUGCCAAAUUUGAGGGUGUCCCCGCUCGGGGUGGUCCCCAAGAAGGAACCAGGCAAAUUCCGUUUAAUACACCAUUUGUCUUACCCAAAGGGGACGUCAGUCAAUGAUGACAUUGACGCAGCCCUAAGCUCGGUCUCAUAUGCAUCAUUCGACCAGGCGGUCGAGUUGGUUCGGAGAGCUGGGCGGGGGGCGUUAAUGGCGAAGGUUGACGUGGAAGCAGCUUUUAGGUUACUUCCUAUUCACCCGGAAUGUCACCAUUUAUUGGGGUGUUGUUUCGACGAAGCCUUUUUCGUCGAUCUAUGUUUGCCCAUGGGCUGUUCUAUUUCCUGCUCGUACUUUGAAAAGUUCAGCUCCUUUUUCGAAUGGGUGGUACAGCAAGAGUCAGCUGGGGGUGCGGUGGUGCACUAUUUGGAUGACUUUUUGUGCGUAGGGCCAGCGGGCUCCGACCGCUGUGGGCAGAUACUGCGGGUCUUACAGUGGGUGGCACACACCUUUGGGAUCCCGUUGGCCGGGAAAAAGACAGUGGGCCCGACGGAGUGCUUGAACUUCCUAGGGCUGGAAAUCGACUCGGUAAAAGGGGAAUGUCGGUUGCCGGUGGAUAAGCUGUUGGCUCUCCGCCAACGGGUGGGGGAAGUACGGGGUUCCAGGAAGGUGACCUUAAGGGGCCUGCAGUCUCUUGUAGGGAGCCUGAAUUUUGCAUGUAAAAUUAUCCCUAUGGGGAGGGUCUUUUGCAGGCAGUUGGCUCGAGCUACGUGUGGAGUGCGGUCUCCGGGUCAUUACAUCAGGGUCUCAGCUGACAUGAGGGCGGAUUUGGACGUAUGGAUACACUUUUUACGGGAGUUUAACGGCCGUGUCUAUUUUAGGGAUUCAGCUGCGACGUCGGAGGACAUAGGUUUAUUUACCGACGCCUCGGGGAGCGUGGGUUUUGGGGCGUACCUGGGGGGGAAAUGGUGCGCGGAGGAGUGGCCUAAGUCUUGGAAGGAAAGCUCCUUAAUCAGGAAUCUGGCCUUCCUGGAGUUCUUCCCAGUGGUGGUGGCAAUAGCUCUGUGGGGCGAGGAACUCGCGAACAGGAAGGUGGUUUUCCACUCGGACAACAUGGCGGUGGUGCAAGCGAUCAAUAGUAUUUCGGCUUCGUCGCUGCCUGUAGUACGGUUGUUGAGACACUUGGUUCUUCUUUGUAUGUCAUGGAAUAUUGUUUUCAGGGCCCGGCAUGUUCCGGGCUUGUUGAAUGUUGUUGCUGACGCGCUGUCUCGUUCACAGUGGGAACGUUUUCGGGAAGCAGCUCCGGGCGCACAAGAUACGGGACAGGCGUGCCCAGACGACAUAUGGCAGCUCGGGACAUCGUGCUUGGGGAUUUCGUAAGGAGCUCCUUAGCGCCAGGCACCUGGGCGGCAUACACUAAGGUUUGGACGGAAUGGGAGGAGAUGGUAGGGCAGACGGGAGGGGAGUCCUCUGCUGUAGGUAGGUUUGACACAUUGUUAUGGUUGUUGUGUCGGUUACUGGCAGGCGGGGCCUCGCCCUCCAGGGUGGACCGUUACAUGUCAGCACUGGCGUUUUGGUUUAAGUUUAAUGGAUGGGAGGACUUUACCAAGAAUUUUAUAGUGAAACAAGCCCUGCGCGGCUUCCGUAAAGGGAAGAGGACCGUGGACACGAGGCGGCCGGUGUCGUUUGCCAUCCUGCAAGGGCUGGUAGGGGGGCUGCGCGAUGUGUGCACAUCGUCGUUUGAGGUGGUGUUAUUUUCGGUAGCGUUUGUUUGUUCUCGUUACCUGGGUCGGAGGUCUGCCCGGUGGCGUGCGGGCGCGAGUUCUUACACAUUCGCCCAGAGGAGUCAGGGUGCUUUUUUAUUCAUGAAGACGGUUUUGCACUGUCACGUUUUCAAUUUAUACGGGUAUUUCGCAUGGGGCUUAAGCGGUUGGGCCUACAUCCCAUGCAAUUUGGCACUCAUUCGUUUCGGAUCGGGGCGGCAACGGAGGCGGCACGACUGGGCCUGGGGGACGAACGGAUUAAGCAGAUCGGUCGGUGGGAGUCCAUUCGUUUUCGUUCAUAUGUGAGACCAGAUUGGUUGGUAUAACGUGGUUGUGGUCAGGUUGGGGGGUUGUCAAUACGUGCCCCGCAAGUUAAUUGAUUCUGUUUCUUUACAGGUAUGGUUGCCUGGUUGGUGGGUCACUCUUACAUUUUUUGGGCGCAGAAGAGGGCCGCAGUUCGGAGGAAUGGAACACAGCUGGGUUUUCUUCUGGAAACGGUGGAGUUACAGUGGUUUGGUUAUCGUGGUUUCAGUUGGCAGAACAUUAGUGGAGUAAUUUUUAGGAUGGUCUCAGGGGGUCUUCCCCUGAUAUACUACUUAUUCACGGUGGGGGUAAUGAUUUGGGAUUGAUUCCUCAGAGGGAACUAAUUAGGAGAAUGAAGCGGGACCUGGAUCGGCUACGGGAGCUGGUGCCUGGUGUGGUGGUAGUAUGGUCCGAGAUGGUGCCGAGGCUUAAUUGGAGACAUGCCAGGGACUCAGCUGCUGUGGCGCGAUGCCGGGGAAAAGUGAAUAGAGCUAUGUCAGUUUUCGUCCGGAGGUCGGGCGGGGUUACAGUACGACACUGGGAGUUAGAGGGCAUGUUGCCUGGGUACUUUCGCAAGGAUGGGGUGCACCUUUCCGAAGUGGGGUGCGAUUUACUAAAUUUAGGUUUUCAGGAGGGCAUAGCUCAGGCCCUAUUUUUGUAUGGUGGGGGGCGCUCGAGACGUUAAGGUAUCAAGUCUCGGGCUAUGGCGGGAUAGGGCUAGGGUAAUUGGGAUGGAAGAGGAGUAGUAAGUGGCUAGGCUAAGGUUAGGCUGUAUUAGGCCAGAGUGGUAAGUGGUCUGUUGGUUCGAGCUCUUCGGUGGCUCCGAACCUGGUGGUGUAGGGGUGUCUCGGUACACCCCUACAGUUAAGAAAGUUAUGGUUAUGGGGCCUCUUUGGUAGGCCGUGUGUUAUAUAUUAUGUGUUAUUUAUAUUGUUAUAUAUUGUUUAUGGCAUGGGGUCAUUGCCAGGGGUAAUGCUGUACGGAAGGGGGUUGGGGUAAAUUUAUUAUUAUAUGGCAAUGACCCUAAUUUGUUAUCUUGUUUAUAAUUACAUAAAAAUAAAGCUGUGGACUUUAUAUAUUUCCAACAAAGAAUUUGGUGUCUGUGUUUUUUGGGGUGGGGUUUUUGGGAAAUGCCACAAGCCGAAUAACGACUGUGCGCAUGUCAUGAAGCCCAUGGAUCAGCGCAGUCAGGGGAAAUGGCCUUGACAGAGCCAAGGAGUAGGCAGGUGGAGUUAUAAUUUUAGGGGUGGGAAUUUAGGAAUGGAUUGUAAUAAGGGGUGGAGAAUAGAGGGAGUAUAUUAAGCGGCCAUUUUAGCAAGUGGCCAUUUUAACCAGAAUCUGCACUUACCUGUUAAUUGUCCCUCCCACCCUCCCUUGUUUUUGUAAUAGUUCCCGUUUGGUCACAGCGGCGGGAUAGGGCUAGGGUAAUUGGGAUGGAAGAGGAGUAGUAAGUGGCUAGGCUAAGGUUAGGCUGUAUUAGGCCAGAGUGGUAAGUGGUCUGUUGGUUCGAGCUCUUCGGUGGCUCCGAACCUGGUGGUGUAGGGGUGUCUCGGUACACCCCUACAGUUAAGAAAGUUAUGGUUAUGGGGCCUCUUUGGUAGGCCGUGUGUUAUAUAUUAUGUGUUAUUUAUAUUGUUAUAUAUUGUUUAUGGCAUGGGGUCAUUGCCAGGGGUAAUGCUGUACGGAAGGGGGUUGGGGUAAAUUUAUUAUUAUAUGGCAAUGACCCUAAUUUGUUAUCUUGUUUAUAAUUACAUAAAAAUAAAGCUGUGGACUUUAUAUAUUUCCAACAAAGAAUUUGGUGUCUGUGUUUUUUGGGGUGGGGUUUUUGGGAAAUGCCACAAGCCGAAUAACAACUGUGCGCAUGUCAAGUCGAACUGGGAAUAUUCUUCAAGUCAUCUAUGCUUCCAGUUUGGCUAUUUUGGUCCUAAAUGUGAAAUUCACUUUGAUUUGAUCAUUUUGAAAAAGUUUUAAGUUGGUGAAUAACCCUAUUAUUGUGUAAACGGAGGCAGAUUAGAAGAUUGAGCAUGUAUGUAUGUGUAUAUAUAUGUGUGUGUGUUUGUGGUGGUCCUCCCAUUGAUUGUGGAUUAUGCUGAUGCAACAAAACACUCUGUCAAUAACGAAUAGUCAUAUAUCAGCAGUCAGUCAAUUUUAGUGAUUAACGAGCAAGUCAAUUGCAUUAGAGUUCUUCAAAUAGGUCAUGAAGCAGACUUUUUUGUUUUAGAAAAGAGGAAACAGGAUUUCAGAGCUAAUGACACAGUUAAAUAGGUCUAAUUUCCCCAACAGCACUAAUCCUUAAAUUCAUUUUGUACGACUAUGAAGCUGAUCACUAUGUGAAUAGGAAAAGCCAGGAAUUUGAAUUUUUUAUGCCAACCUCACUAAUGAAAGAAUUGCAUUAAAGAGCUGAAAUUAAAGGGCGACUGUAGGUUUUUUGUGGCUCUAAGCAAAAACACAAGGGUUGGUGGGUUAAUUAUAACAAUUGAUUUCAUUAUACAAAAGCAAUGGUUGAAUCCCUAUAUUUAUUGAUGUAAUAUAUGUGAUAUGAUGAACCUGUUGCAUGGUCCUCCCUUACACUUUUUCAUGGGCCAAUACAUUACAGGGAUUUCUAAACAUUAUGCUUCAGUUUCAUAUUUAAUUGUUGGAAAAAAUGGUUUAUCUAACCAGAGCUUAUUUUGUACUCCACGUGCCUGUUGGAUAUUCGCAGUAUGGCUUUAUUUAAUUUCACUACAAAAAUACUGAUGAAAAGAACACAUGGCUAUGCUUUUUACUUAUUUCUAAAUUGUAUCUGACUGUUAUAGUUCCAAAUAAUCAGUGUUAUCUCAAAUAGUUUAUUUGCCUAUUUAUAUGUUUAUUUUAAACUGUUGGUGGUUGUUCGACCCCCAUGAUCCAUAAAUAUGUUAUUUAUGUUUUGCAUCAUAUCUUAAUUGCCUUGUUACAAAUGUAGCCUUAUAAAACAGGCAUUCUAUCAGUCCUAAAAUUCUGUUAUUAUUUUAUUAUUUAUAUAGCACCAUCAGAUUCCGUAGCGCUGUACAAUGGGUGGACUAACAGACUUGUAAUUGUAACCGGACAACUGGAUGUACAGGAACAGAGAGGUGGAGGGCCCUUCUUAAUGAGCUUACAUUCUAAAGGGAGUGGGGUGUAGUGACACAAAGGUUAAAAGUAGGGGUACAAGAGCACAGACCAGCACUUUAGCCACAUCCGGGGUUAAAUACACGCUAUGUUUUUGAGAUGGAAGUGACAGGAUUUGGCGAUUGAUUGGACAUGAGGGGUGAAGGAGAGGUUGGAGUUUAAAGUUGGUGUUAAAAUGUAUUCUUUAAAGGGGACAUUUUUACUUACAAUAUACACCAUUGAAUUAAAUAGUGGAAAUCACUAAGAACUUGUGUUAACAUUUUUUUUUUUAUGAGAUGCUGUUUCUUUUACAUUUAUAUAGAAUAUUUUGCAAAUAACAUCAUAAUUCCAAGAUUUUACUAUUAACAUGACGUAAAGUCAUGAUUUUAUUAAUUACACGGAGGCGAGUAUUAUGCUUCUCUUUCUUUAAUUUUCCCUCAGCAGCGAAGAGAGAAAUGAAUGUUAAAGAGAAAAAAUAGCAUACCAUUAACAUAUAUACAUAUUCAACAAUGCUACUAAUAGGAACCACCCCUUUCAGUAUAUAAGGUGUAGCACUCUCUUCCUCUUCCUCUUUCUGUAGAAGACCAGUCAAAACCGAACAAAAAAAACUCUGAACCGGAACUGUAACAUCGGAAAAGUCGUACAUCCCUUCCUAGGGGAAAACGGUAAAGCCGACCUUUAAACCUCUUCGAUCACUCCGACAUGGGAAUUCAGGCUAAAAGAGAGGAGAAAUAUGGUAAAAUCUCGAUUGAUAACUGGUUGUAACAUACCCCAGCAUAUCUAUUGUUAUCUAGAUCCGGAUAAAAAUCAACGUCAUAACAUCCUGACAUGAAAACAUACAAACUUAACGUAUAACCUAGACUAGGCAUACAGUCUGACAAUAAAGGCAGGGGAGACCCGCCCUGUAUGGUAUGAGAAUAGGUGUUGACUCAAUCUAAUCCUGUCUGGUUGAAAAAUCCCACCAAUUCCAAACCAGGGAGGGAGGGAGGGAAUAAUACUCGCCUCCGUGUCAUUAAUAAAAUCAUGACUUUACGUCAUGUUAAAAGUAAAAUCUUGGAAUUUUAUUAAAGACACGAAGGCUCCUAUUAUGCUAUUUUAAAGCUGAUCUAUAAUCUUAUCAGAAAAGUGUUGUAUAGGUCUAAAGUAAAAGUUCCGGAAUGUGGAUUCCGUAGACCAAUCUUCAGCCGUCAAAAUGUCUUCCAAGCGACAUCCAGCCGCCAAUGCUUUAGAGGCCAUAGCGCCCCUGACGGAGUGGGAUGAGAAUACCGAGACAUCGAUCCCGGCCGUAGCUAAUAGCCAUUUGAUCCAACGUGCGAGUGUUGGAGUAGAUACAGGUAGAUGUGGUUUCUUCAGGGAGAUGAACAGAGGUCUGUCAUCAGAUGGCCGUAGAGUAGAGGUGUGAGACUCGUAUUCUUUCAGGCAUGAUAUUGGGCAUAGGUUGGGUAAACUCGUGAUUCUCGGAUAAAAAACUUGUUUAUUUGCUGAUUUUGUUCUCCGUGAGAUAUCGAAUGACACUCCCUCCGGAGUGAACGUGCGGGCCCGCCAGUCCAAGGCUCUUACGUCUGACACUCGUUUACAGGAUAAUAGUCAGAACAGCAUAAGCAAUUUUGCCGAUAAUUGUUUAAAGGACAACUCUAGGUUAGAGGGCCAGCCAUCUAAGAGUCUGAACACGCAGUUGAUGUCCCAGAAGGAUCCGUAUUUGGAUGUAGGAGGACGUGAGAAGCGGACUCCCUUAAGCAGACGACAGACUAGGGGGUUCUGUCCGAGUGGGAGCCCAUCCACCUGUUCAUAUCCAGCUGAGAUAGCGGAACAGAAUAAGUUGAUCGUGCGAAAGACCUUGCCUGAUUCGAACAGAUGUGUCAGGAAGUCCAACACCGAUUUCACAGGGGCUGAUACAGGAUUCAACGAUCGUUCCAAGCACUAAUUGGCCCACUGUCUCCAGGCCGUAGCAUAUGCAUGUCGUGUUCCAGGCGCCCAUGCGUUUGCCAGGAGUUGCAUAGUUGUGCUCGAAACCUCUGUAAUUUCCCAGGGUCCCCGGAAAGGAGCCAUGCCAUGAGGCAGAGGAGGCCUUGUUCUACUAGGGUGUGACUCUCCCCGUCCGGAUUGGUUAGCAGAGAUGGGUGGUCCGGUAGUAACCAUGGAUGGUCGAUCACCAUUUCCAAUAGGUGUGGGAACCAAGGUUGGGAUCUCCAACAUGGGGUUACCAGGACCAUCGAGCUCUUGAAGCGUCGGAGGUGUGCCAGACAACGAGCUAUCAGAUUGAAUGGUGGGAAGGCAUAUGCCCUGUCCCUGGACCAAUCUUGGAGGAAUGCGUCGGUCGCCAUGGCCUCCGGGUCCGGUCACCAGCUGAAGAACUCCGGUAGCUGUGUGUUUAGUCUGGACACAAACAGGUCCAUGCUCAAAGGUCCCCAUAAGAGCAAGAACUUGUGGAACACGUUUGGUUGAAGCCUCCAAUCUCCCGAGUCCCUCAGGUAGAUCUCUGUGUAUUGCCACUAUCGGGACUGUCAGGUAUGCGUCCUGCAAGUCUAGUUUGACCUGCUCCGGUAUUGGACAAAGGUAUUUAGGGGUCGUAGGUUUAUAACCGGGUGAACCCCGCCUCCCUUUUUUGGCCCUAAAAACAGGUUGCUCACGAAACCUGGAGUAUCUAGAGGGAUUUCCUCUAUGGCCUUCUUGGUCUGUAAUUCUCUGAUCUCCGCAGAGAUGAGGUCGAGGUGUGAUUUUGGCAUGUGGAUUGCCCCCGGGGGAGUGCCCUGAAUGGGAAAGGCCGUCAGUUCUAGGUGGUAACCCUCUAACGUCUGUAACACCCAACUGUCGGACGUGAUCAUAGCCCAAGCCCGAUAGAACAGGGCCAGUCUGCCCCCCACAUUUAUAUGGGAAAAAUUGGGAAAAAGGGUACUCACCACAAGGGCGUUUUCCCGUGGGUGUUCCUCGACUGCCGCGGGUAUGCCAAGGCCGUCUUCAUGAAGGGAAGAACGGGGUGUAGGACCGUUCCUGAUUUAGCCUCUGGGGGUUGAAGGAGCCUCUUCCCGGUCUGGAAAAACCCUGGGGGUUGCGGCUGGGUAGACGGCUCCUACCUCUACCGGCCCCGCCAAAACCUUUGGGCUUAACACCCGUUUGAUGGAAGAUUGGGCUUUGUCCAAAGCCGUAAAGGUCUUGACAUAGGAGCCCAGGUCCUUCACGAAGGACUCUCCAAACAGUAAGCCUUUCGCAGAGGCACCUGGUUCAUUGGGGGCCAUGCUCGCAAGCUUGGGCUCUAUCUUUAGCAGGAUGGCCUUCCUGCGCUCGGUAGACAUUGCCAUGUUGACGUUGCCAAUCAUACAUACUAGGCGUUGGGGCCAUCCUAACGCCACCUUAAAAUCCAGUUGUGUCUCGCCUGACUGAGCCGUUUCAAGCAAUUCGUACAGCUUGGUGACCGGGCCCAGAGUGUCGAGGAACUUGUCCUGACAGUUGCGUAGUGAGUAAUCUAGGCCCUUCUUGGGCUUCCAACCAGUCUUGGUCAGAAACUGCACAAUUUGCGGGUCAACUUCAGGGUUUUUUGCUACUGCAUCAGGUAUGAUAGGUCGGGGCACUCCGCUCUCAGUUUGUUAUGACCCUCUUGUGAGAGGGAUUUGCGGACUCUGAGAGCCAGGUAUUGAGCGAUGUGCUCAGCGGGCUCCCAUUCAGCGUAGCGAGGGUGCCUGAGAUUGUCUGGAUCAAACGCAAAGGUAUCCUUUGCGUCACGGGUUGACUCUGCCCCAGGAGUCCCUGACUGUACUUUGGCCUGAGCCGGUCUAGAAGGGAAUUGUGUUCCCGGGAGAUUCUCAUCUCCUGAGGUCUCCUCCCCGUAGGGAUCUGAGUACUGGUCAUCUGACCCUUCCUCCCCAUCUUCGUCUGAAUCAGACAGUAAAUCAUGGGCCCGUGCCCGCUUCCACUCUCUGGCCGCCAUAGCCCGGCCAGUUGCUCUAUUGCGCGGUUGUUGCGCGCCAUCACAGACAGCCUGAGGCGUGUCAAUCAAACCAGGCUUUAACUGGGUGUGGGGGGGGUCAUGAGCGUGUUUGCACUUGCCUAGCGCCUUGCGUCCUGAGGUAGUCCCUUCAGGGGGAGUAUGAGACUGUACUAACCCAGAUUGAGCAGGGAGGGCCUGUCUAAGGGCCUGGGAGAUGGACUGUGAAAUACUGGAGGACAUAGCUCCCAUGGCAGAGGAGAUGGCCUUACUAAUGGAAUUGGACAUAGUGGCGUCCAGGAGGCUUUGGAAAUCCUCUGAGCCUAUGAGGCUAGGGUCAGCCUGGGGAUCAGAGCUUGUGGUGCCCUAGGGGGGGUAGGGUGGUCAGUUAAAUCACCACUAGCAGACUGCAUGAUAGCAGAAAUGGAGUAGGCAAUAGGUAUGAAGUAAAUAAAUAAAGAAGGUGCUGGAUUGCUUAAUCCAAGCACAGGACAGAGUAGCAGACAAAAUACCCGGGUCCUGUGUGGGUGGCAGGAGCAGUGUCGAGUACAUCCUCCACAGAACCGAAACCGCAGUACAAGGUGACUUAAAAUGGCCGCCGGCACGUUCAGCGACAGAAAACCAAAAAGAUGGCCGCCGCGAGUGUUCCGCGCAUGUGCGGAGCGCGCGCGCGUCGAAAAUGAAAACAAAAUUAACCGCCGGGCUGUAGAGCCGGCGGGGGCCUGGAGGGGGCCGGAAAACGGUCGAGGAGGGGUGGGGGGGACAUGGGAUGGACCCGGUCGGUAUAGGGAGGGAGCCAAGGCAACCCAAUAAUGGAGGGGAAUAGAAACAGCCCUGGACCCACUCCAGGACCCAGAAACAUACAGAAUAGUAACACAGUAUAAAGGACAAAUCUACAAGUGUAGGAAAAGAACAGCAACAAACCCUUAUUAGCAAAAGGGGAUAAUAACUGUAAUUCCAAGUGACAAAAUAUACAACAAGCAAGAGAAUAAAAUGUACUUAGCUGGUCUGAGGGAGCAGCGAAGAAAGAGGAAGAGGAAGAGAGUGCUACACCUUAUAUACUGAAAGGGGGUGGUUCCUAUUAGUAGCACUGUUGAAUAUGUAUAUAUGUUAAUGAUAUGCUAUUUUUUCUCUUUAACAUUCAUUUCUCUCUUCGCUGAUGAGGGAAAAUUAAAGAAAGAGAAGCAUAAUAGGAGCCUCCGUGUCUUUAAUAAAAUCCAAUUCAGACAAGGCAAUAUCCAUUGCAAAUUAAAAAGAGACAUAGAAACAUUGUUUCAUGUGUUCCCUUUUUUUUAAUGUUUUUUGUACACUGACUUCUUUUUGCAAAGGACAGAGUUUAUAGUGAUUAACAAGGAGAUAAAAUGGAUUAGUCCAGUUGAAGGAUAAAUAAGUGUGGAUUUGACAAUUCAUUUGAUUUUUUACACCUUGCAAAUACACAUUAGCUAAAUAUAGGAAUGCAUAAACAUAAAAUUAAAUAUCCAGGGCAGUGGACAAUCCCCUUUAACUUCAUCUGCCAGAUAAGUAAGUGAAAGCUUAUGAACCCUUUGUAAUUACCUGUAUUCCUUAUAAUGUUAAUAAGCAAUGUGUCUGAUCAUCCUGUAAAUCAUAUUAACCAUAUACAAUACCAAGUACUUUUAGCUAGCACAAAUGGUUAAUGUCCCGCAUCUGUGUAAAUGGUGCAUUUACCAGGAACUAGCUGAUUUUUUGCUUAGAUGCAGGCACAUGGUUAAUGAACAAAUAAAAGAAAUUAACUAAAUCUCAGCAUGUGUGUCACGAGGACGAAUGUAGAUUAUCAAGGUUUAACAGUAGCAUGUCAUAUUACAGAAGGGCAUCUCUUCCCUAGUGGCACGAGUUGGAGAAGCUUGGUUAGAUGUGAGAGAGAUUAAGCUACCAACUAAACGUACUAGUCGCCAUGCUUAUGAGAUUUUGUGAGUGGGUUAGUACCUGCCGACUAUUAUAGUGUAAUCAGGCUAAAUAUGCCACUGGGGCCGACCUCAUGUAUGAGAGUAUAUUUCUCACUAACACAUGAAGGAUCAUGGUAUAAAAAACUAAGCAAGGGAGUGCACAAGGGAGUGCACAUAUUAAAACAUUGGUCAACAUAAAACUUGGUCUGCGAUUUACUGUGGUAGGGAGAAUGGCAACCAGAGCCCGCCAAGCAGCACCAGCGGUAGUAGGGCAAGUCCAGAGUCACCCUAUGCCCAGACUUGGGAGGCAUUUUAUGGGAUCAAGGUAGGCACUGCCCGUAGUGGCGCAGUGUUUGCAGGGCAUGAUAAUCCUCAAUCCCCAGGUUUGUGCGACUGAUAGCUUCAGUGAGUCCUGAGCUUUAGGUCCCUGAGAGUCCUGUCCUGUCCCCUUUCGGGGGUAUUAGGGGGUCUUGUGAGACUGUCGUUGUUAGCGGGGUAUCCUCUGUCUUUGUGGGUGGUGCCUUGGUGUGCCCCUGGCGGCCCUCUGCCUGGGCGGGCUUGUGGUAGGCAAUGGUAGUGUUUGAGUAGGGGUGCUGUCUUACCCCGCUGUCUCUUUGAGUCUGGUGGGGUGUUAUGCGGAUUUCAAGUUUUGCCCAGAAGCAUGUGAAGAUCUCCUCCAGCCGCUUCAUUGAUCACAGCAGUGGGUCAGAAGGGUCUCCCUAAUGCUGCUGUGAGGCGCGCUCCUGUAAAGUAAGCAAGGCCGCCAUCUUGGAUGACUCCUCUGAGCUCACCAUGUGGCUGUAUGCUCUUGGGUGUUCGGUCCUGCAGGGCUUGCUGUGAGCAGGUGCGUCAGGUCGGUUUGCCAGUGGGGACCAGGAUAACCCCCACCGGUCCAAGGGGGGGAGAAACAGGACCCUAAAUACUAGGUUAGUGAGGUGAAGAGGUGGGCGUCCCCUCCACUCCGCUUGACACUGUAGGCCUCCGGGGCAGAUUGUGAUGUGUGCUUGGUAUUUUUCUCCAAGACUCUGCUGGGCCUCUGGCAUGGUGUAUGCAGUUGAGUUAGUCGAGUUUGUCUUCGAAAAUCAGGUGAAAUACCCCUGUAAUCUGUUUAUCGUCAGGUUUUGUCGAGGAGCCCCUGCGACACACAUCUGCCUCAGUCGGCUGCCAGGCCCCACCCCCGCUCAUUGAUAUUUUACACCGAUAUUUUAUAAUACACAUGGGUAACUAGGUACAGAAAAUUGUUCAACCAUGACUUCCUGUUUUAAAGGGAUAUAAAUAUGAGAUAACAAUAGGCAAGACCAUGGAAUAUAGCUGUGAUGUGCAGCAAAUGGUUGUGGAGCUUCACAAAAUGGUAAGUGACUAUAAGAAAAUAGCAAAAGCAUUGGAAAUGCCCAUUUUCAUCAUAAGGGCAAAAGGUGCGAUGCUGCAGUCAACUGGAAAUGUUGUGAAUCAACCCGGAAGAGGGCCUAUUUCAAUAUUGAUUCAAUGCACUGAAGAUAAUGGUUAGAUUGGACAAAAAAUCUCCAAGGAUCACAUUUGGAGAAAUGCAAAAGUUGGUUGCAUCUUUGGGACAGAAAGUCUCCAAAACUACAAUCUGACGUUACCUACAUAACACAAAUUGUUUGGAAGAGUUUCAAGAAAAAAAGCCUCUUCUCUUCUCUUAUCCAAAAAAUAAUUUAAGUGUUUUCAGUUUGAAAGAUAUUACUAGAACUUCAAAUGGAAUUUGGGUUCUACGGUCAGAUGAAACCAAAAUAGAGCCUUUUGGCAAUAAACAGCAAAGGUGUGUUAGGGGCACACACAGAGGUAGCCAUAAGGGAAAUUACCUCAUGCCCAUGGUUAAAUAUAAUGGUGGCUCUUUAAUGUUUUGGGGCUGUUUUUUCUGCCAGAGGAUCUGGACAUUUUGUUAGGAUACAUAAUCCAAAACAUUCAUGAAAAUCAACACAAAAGUGGUUUAGUGACCACAAAAUCAAGGCACAGCUAUGGCCAUCCCAGUCCCCUGACUUGAACCCCAUUUUGUAUGGAGGAAAGGCCUCAUAUCUCUUGACAUGUGUUCUCCAAAAUUGGGUGUUAAACGAAAAGACUUAGCGCUGUUAUCUUGCCAAAGGGAGAUUGCACAAUGUAUUGACUAAAAGGGCACCAAUAAUCGUGCUAAACAUAUAUUUAACAAAGUUUUUUUUUUUUUUUUUGAUAAACCUGUUUUGUAUUUGCAAUGUUGGAUAUCCAUGAGAGCAGAGUAUUUUAAUGCAUUUUUGAAAAAAAUAAAAAAAUUCUCCUUCUUUGCUCAUAUUUACAAAGUGUGCCAAUAUUAGUGGAGGGCACAUUUAGUAAGUGAGCAGGGCCGGACUGGCCCACCGGGAUACCGGGAAAUUUCCCGGUGGGCCGUCGGCACCUGGGGCCGGGCGGCCAGCUGGCUCCCCUACGGCCGCAGAGGGAGCUCCUUUGGCGGCCGCAGGGUUUGCUGGCUGUUCUUGCGGCCGCAGGGGGAGCUGGCUGUUGUGUCUCUGCUCCUCCUCCCCAGCGCACUACAAAGAGACCGGGGCCGGAAUAUGACAUCAUAUUCCGGCCCCGGUCUCAUUAAGCGGCGCGCAGGGGAGGGGGAACAGAGACAAAACAGCCAGCUCCCCCUGCGGCCGCAAGAACAGCCAGCAAACCCUGCGGCCGCCAAAGGAGCUCCCUCUGUGGCCGCCAGCCGCCAGUCCCCACAGGUAGAAAUUGUGUAUGUGUGUGUGUGUGUUUCAUUUGUGUGUGUGUGUGUCUGUCUGUGUCAUGGUGUGUGAGUGUCUGUCUGUGUCAGCAAUGUGUGUCUGUGUCAUUGUUUGUGUCUCUGUGUCCUGGUGUGUGUGUCACUGUCUGUCAUGGUGUGUGUGUGUCUGUGUCAUUGUGUGUGUCUCUGUGUCAUGGUGUGUGUGUCACUGUCUGUCAUGGUGUGUGCGUCUGUGUCAUGCAAUGUGUGUCUGUCAUUGUGUGUGUGUGUGUGUCUGUGUGUGUCACGGUCUGUGUGUGUCAUGGUGUGUGUGUGUGUGUUUUUGUCUGUGUCAUGUAAUGUGUGUCUGUCUGUCACGGUGUGUGUGUGUCUGUGUCACGGUCUCUCUGUGUCGUGGUCUGUGUGUCACGGUCUGUCUGUGUCAUGGUGUGUGUGUCUGUCUGUGUCACGGUCUGUGUGUGUCAUGGUGUGUGUGUGUGUGUGUUUGUCUGUGUCAUGUAAUGUGUGUCUGUGUCACGGUGUGUGUGUGUCUGUGUCACGGUCUCUCUGUGUCGUGGUGUGUGUGUCUGUGUGUCACGGUCUGUCUGUGUUAUGGUGUGUAUGUGUGUCAAGGUGUGUGUGUCUUUUUUAAAGUGUGUCUGUCAUGGUGUGUGUGUGUGUGUGUCUGUCUGUGUCAUGGUGUGGGUGUGUUUCUGUCUGUGUCAUGGUAUGUGUGUGUGUAUGUUUGUUUUUACUCACUUUUUUUUCCCCCACGUCAUGCUGAUCUCCCCUCGUCCUGCCUCUACGGCUGAGAUCAUCAAGCUUGAUGAUCUCAGCCAAUCCGCACUGACACAGGAAGCACCUCUAGUGACCGUCUGAGUGUCUGUCACUAGGAAGCAAUGUAAACACUGCCUUUUCUCUUAAAAGUCAGUGUUUACAUUGAAAAGCCUGCAGGGACCGGCUAUAGACACCAAUACCACUACAUUAAGCUGUGUGUGUGCGCGCGCUUGCUUGUGUGUGUGUGUGUGUGUGCCUGCUACUGAGUGAGCUUGUGUUUUUAUGUCAAUAACCUUAUGUAUGAGGCUGUGUAUCAAUCCGCUUGUGUCAGUGAGAUUGUCUGUGUAUGCAUGUGAGUAUGCUUACUGUAUGUCCUGACGAAAUCAGGGGAUCAAGCUGAAACGUUGACCUUGUGUUGUUUUAGUGGAGGUAAUAAAAGUUAUAUUUUAUAUUAGUCCUUGGAGUGCUAUCUCUGGCAAUAUUUUUUGCAUUUUUGGCUGACAAGCACCGGGCAUUGAAUAUUGAAUUGGUGGAGUGCAAGAUCCGUUUGUUUUUUUUUAUAUAUAUAUAUAUAUAUAUAUAUAUAUAUAUAUAUAUGUAUUAAGGCAAAUUGCCUGCAUUUGUGGGAGGUGCUGGUUUUCUACCCCUAGCCUACUUAAGGCACUCCCCUUGCCUGGCUCCUUACCGUUCGAGGUCAGCGUUGAAUGAGGAUCCACUUCCGGGUUCUCUCAGACGCCAUCUUGGUUUCAGUAUCCAGGAGGUUUCACCACGUUAAGCUGUGUCCAGGAAUCCUGUUCAGGCCUUUCCGCCCGUCCAGCUUCUUCUGACUCCGGUCUCCGUUGUAGAUCGCGUCCCAGGGACUCCUAAACCGUAAGUCAGACCUUCCUGUCACGCCAGGACUAGUUCCCACGGCGUACGGUACAGCACGGGUCCUCGCUUUACGGCUUUUCCCUGGUUAUGACAUGAAUGUUUCAAGCCAUUCGCGGGCUUUUCAUUCGUACGGUCAUUCGGCUGAACAUGUUUUAAAUCGUUCAAUAGUCAUUUCGCAUAUCCUAUUCAUGUUAUUUAAACGAAUGUUCAUUCGGUUGUUUUGCCGUUCGGCAAAUGUUACAUACGCUCAUACACGCUUUGGUUCGCAUAAAUCAUACGGUUAAACUAUUCUAACUUCUGUGUUCCCCUCACAUUUGCUUUCGGUUGUUCUGUGUGUUCACGUAUAAUCCUUUCAUGAAUUAUAUUCACCAUUUCAUGUGUAUAUAACAUUCGGUUAAAGUAUUGCUUGCUUAAAUAGAUUAUUGUUGAUUACUUUUAACAAAUUGUCAGUAUUGUAUUACGCCCACAAAUCAAGUCCACUUCUCUGUGUAUACCAUUUGAUUCCCACGCUUUCAGGGGUCUGCAUUACUUAUCCAUUUAUACGAAUGGACUCAGCCUAUGUUACAAGCAUCAUUUCUGGGUUAUUAAUACAACAUAUACAAGGAUAGGUUCAUUUAAGCAAUAAUUCUCGGGUUGAUACGUCUUUGCUAUACAUACAUAUCAUAGAUAUACAUCACUUUACAUCAUGUUAAAUCAUUUUGGGGUAUCCCUGCCUUUGGUCUUUCUGCUACAUAUCAUACAUAACGCUGUGUUAAUUAGGCCAUGACCUCAUCCAUGUCCCUUUCUAUAAAACCAGUUACAUUUCGGUACAGAUCAUUGAACUCUCACGCCAGGAGUUUUAUAACUAUCCAUUUCAUUUCAAUUUACUCAGCCUACAUUACAGGCCUCAUUUCUCUGUCAUGACGAAGACACAUAAGGCUUAAAUCCUUCUGCAUGCAUACUCGGGUUGAAUCACACGUACUGAUCCAACCAAUCAUACUUCCCCUACACAGUCAUAUACAUAUGUAUAUAACCUACGUUUCAUGUUUUCCUUUACACACCAUUAUCACGUAACACAUAGAUUGUUUGUACAUAGGCCACGGCCUCCCUCAGAUGUCUUAUUCAAGAAUGCAAACAUUUCUGAGCCACUCAUAGCUAUUCCCAUGGUAUCAACAUAUUUUAUACAUUGCUGCUACAGACUAUAAGUCUGGUUCUUUUACACCCCACACUCAUCGUACUACUCUCUUUUACCCAUUUUUAGGCUGUCGAGCUUAUAUAAUUGCUCCACACGGUUUAUUCCUGUGAUUUAUCAUACUACCAGGUACGUACACCUGCUCAUAUGGUAUUCUACCAUACAUUUCAUUUCAUCCCCCUAGUUUAGAGUACUGGCAAUACGGUCACAGGAUUCCCAAUAGGUAUUUACCCCAUCUUGGCUGUCGCCAUUAGUUAGUGGUCCCGCGAGGCCAACACCCCGCCUCAAACGUUUCGGAGGCAAACACCCAUCGGGCCACACGUUAGCUAGCCGCCUCGCAUGUUGCAAAGAGAGGGCCACACCUGUCACUCCCUUCCCCUGUUUUCUGUCGUACAGUCACCGAGAGGCCUAAAACUCCUGCCACUACGUCAAGUGGCCUCAAUAACCCCUCGCGCCAACGCAUAGAUAGAGCCUCUCAAGCCGCUUGGCAAUUAGUAGGGCCUCACCUGUCACCAAACAAGCAUAAUACUUUCGCCAUCCGCCUAGCUAGCCUGCCAGUACAAUUUGGUGGUUCUAUAUACUAAUUAUUGUUUUAUUUAUAGUAUGUCUCAGGAAGGGGUAGAGGAUUUCUCCCUGCCUAGCACCCCGGCUAGAGCUGUCACUCCCACACAAGGAGGAGAGCUAGCUAGCCCAGCAUCAAUUAGAUCCUGGACAAUCCCGCGCAUAACCACGGAAUUAAGGAGACGACAAAUCCCCUACCCCGCUACAGCAAGGAAGGCAGAACUUUUCAAACUGCUACGCACGUCAACCAAUAACAUGGAAGUCGGGGAAGGAUCUAGCCAGUCCAACCCAGGGGACAUACAUGCCAUGUUAUCCUCACUCAUGGCAUCCAUGGGCAAGGUCAACUCCAGGCUGGAGAAACUUGAGUCGGUCACCACGGCCCUCACUCUAGCAGGGCCAACCGCGGCUGCAGUACAAACACCAGCCUUGCCAUUAGUCGCUCCAACCAGCCCCCUGGAUGACCAGGAAGUUAGCCCGGCCCACAUGAUACCUGAGCAUAUCAAAAGGGAUAUCCUGGAAGGUAAAGACGUCAACCUGGCUUCCUGUUGAUUGCCUCCCAGGACAUUGUGGAACAUAAGACGUAUGCUUAUGAUGAUGUUUCUGUUAUUGUCAGAUCUAGGGAUGCCCGCCUGAACAGGAAACUGACUAUCCCUGAAUUUGUACUAGCGUUUGGUAUUUACAGGGAUGUCGUCUGUGCCGUUUAUCCCAACAGAAGAGAGGAGUUUGAUCUCUAUAUGCACAAGCUGGUAGACCUGGGCAACAAAUAUGGUGGUUCAGCAUUCUAUGACUACCAUAGGUCUUUUUCUGCAAAAGUGGCUGGAGCCUUCUCCCAGUACGGUACACGAUCCAACUGGGGAAGGAUUGAUUCUUAGUCUUAUUCUGCAGACACUUUGCAGGUCUAAGAACACCAGCUUGUGCAUACUGCUCCUCCACAGCCCAUACUACUAAUUUUUGUCCCAACACGGCAGACGGACAUGCCUCCACACAAGGAACUAGUUCCUCUGGGGAUCCAGGGAACUAUCCAAAGACAAAUUGGGACGCCCAAUCAAGUUUCUGGGCAAGUCCCAGAUAUGUAAUAAUUUCAAUGUUGGGUCUUGUAAUUACAGUGGAUGUAGACUAUUGCAUGUCUGUUCAAAAUGUUUUAGGGCACAUGCUAAGACCAUGUGUCCAAAUAAAAUGUAUUCUAAGCCUUACCUUACGUCCAUUAAUAUGCCAGUAUUCACAGUAUUGAUGUCUCAGCACCCAUCUAGACACCUGGUAGAUUUUCUUAUUUCUGGUUUAACAGAAGGCUUCCACACAGGUAUCCUACACAUACCAGCUGGCACUCUGGAAUGCCCAAACCUACAAUCCGCCCAACACAACCCCACAGUGCUUGACACCCUCAUAAACCAAGAAGUGAAGGAGGGCUUUGUAUUGGGGCCUUUUAGAACUCCCCCAUUCACAGAAUGGCGCACCAACCCUAUUGGUAUUGUCACAGGGAAAUCUUCCCAAAAACAGAGACUCAUCAUUGACUUAUCGGUUUCCCACUCAUCGGCCAACCCCAGUCUUAAUUCCCUCAUACCCUCUGAGGAAUUCUCUCUGCAAUACACCACCAUAGAUCACGCCAUUACAGCCAUCAUACAAGCAGGUGUGGGAGCCUGGCUGAGUAAGACCGACAUUACUAACGCCUUCAAAUUACUCCCUAUCCACCCCACACUGUGGCACCUGCAUGGCAUCAAGUGGUCCGAGAACUACUAUUAUUUUCUCCCGGUUAACUUUUGGGUCCAAAAGUAGCCCAGCUAUUUUCGACACAUUUGCCGAAGCACUAUGCUGGUUACUAUUGAACAUAGCCGGAUGCCCUACAGUAUUACAUUACUUGGAUGAUUUCCUACUGGUCGAGGAGAAUACUGCACCUCCCACUAGCCUCAAAGCUACCACUAAGCUGUUUGAGCAACUAGGUGUACCUAUCUCCCCAAAGAAAACAGAAGGGCCAGACACGGUUAUCACUUUUCUGGGUAUCCAGUUAGACUCUGCCACAAUGCAAGCAAGCCUACCUUACGAAAAGAUAGACAAUAUUCUCACUUACAUAAACAACUACCUACAGCUCAGCACUUGCAACCACAAAGAACUACAGUCCCUGCUGGGGUCACUAAAUUUUGCAAUGCGCAUCAUACCUCAAGGCCGCUCCUUUAUUUCACGACUAUUGCAUCUUUUCCCACUUUUUCUACAUGACACGCACUGGUUGUCCUUAGAUGCCCAAGCUACGGCAGAUCUAAACAUGUGGAAGAGGUUUUUAACCACUUGGAAUGGUAAAAGUAUGUUCCUCCCUCAAUUGACUGAAUCAUCUCCUACCAUUUGGUCAGAUGCGGCAUCUACCACUGGUUUUGCAGCAAUUUUGGGAACGAAUGGCUUUGGGGCAGCUGGCCUUCAGCAGUUCUGGAUUUGGAAGGUUUUUCCACUACCUCAGCUCUUUUUGAGAUCUACCCCAUAGUGGCGGCUGCCGUAGCGUGGGGUCAUUUAUGGGCUAAUACGCCAGCGCGUUGUUACUCAGACAACCAGGCGACCUGUCACAUCAUCAACAAAGGUCGUUCCAAAUCUCUUACGAUUAUGAGAUUUCUGAGGAAAGUCACUUGGUUGGCAGCUUGUCAUAAUUUCUUCCUAUGUUGUUUCCAUGUGCCAGGUGUAUACAACACAGCUGCUGACAGUUUGUCUCGCUUUAAAUUUCAGGAGUUUCAUCAAGCACUCCCGUCAGCAGCACCCACAGCCACCAUCACUCCAACAUUUCAACAACUCAUACUGACUAGACGUCAUCAUGCAGCAUAGCAGGACAUUGUCUCAGUUGGCACUUUCACACAAUACAAACAAAACAUACAACAGGGCUUUCACACUAUUCAAACGAUUCCUUCUGGAACAUAACAUCAUACAACCGUUUGUUAUGACAUCUUUUUGGGGUUUGCUUCCUUUUGCCACCUUAAACUCAAAUUGUCAUAUAACACCAUCAAACUCUAUCUCACUGGCAUUCAACACCACAUGCUCAUCUUACACCCAAAUAACAACAGUUUCAUGGCCUCUCACCAAAUUAAGACCAUACUCAGAGGUAUUCAAAAAUCAGAACCCACACAUUUGGCCAAGAGGCUACCCAUAGAUAACCAUAUCUUCAAAGCUUUAUCUAACCUACUCGACCUGAAACCGUUUGACACUAAUACGAAUUCUAUCAUCAAAACAGCAAUAUACAUCGCCUUCUAUGGAUUUCUACGACCCAGAGAAUUCACUACGACCUCCACGACCCAAACCACUCCAUUCCUCCUCUAUUCCCACUUGACAAAACAUAUGGAUCAUUACAUCCUGUCUUUACCUCACUCCAAAACCAGUCAGCACAUACCUGUAAACAUUCCGUACUACCCCACGCACAACAGAUGGUGUCCCGUAAAAGUUCUUGAUGCCUACAUACAGCACCAUCACUUACUGCCCUCGCAACCGCUAUUACAACUACAAGGUGCAGUACUCACCACUACAACCUUCAUGACCUACGUCAGGUCCUUGCUCACACAACUGGGCCUCAACGCAAACAAUUACUCAGGACACUCCUUUCGUAUAGGAGCCACGUCCACAGCCUCCAGUUUCAACGUCCCAACUCAUGUUAUCAAAACACUGGGGCGCUGGAAGUCAUCCGCUUACUCACGGUACAUACCGAACCCAGUACAAGAGUUAAGAGAUGCUUUCAUAAACAUGUCUGGUUGAUAAAUGUAUAUGCAAAAAAUUACAACGUGUGCUGGCACUCAAUUACAUAUAGGUGCCGGUAUUCGAGGUUAACCCCAAAGACAACCUCCAAACAACAAUCCUAAAAACUAUAUAAUGAAUACCGCACUCAAAUAGUAAUAAUUGAUACUAGAAGUUAUUGCUGUGAAAAAUUCAUGAUAUUUAUUCUAAAUAAAGUUAUAUGAAGUAUGAUAAUAGAAAUUUUCAUUUCAUCCUGAGUACACCAAUUAUAUACAUUGAAUAUAUACAAUAUAUACAGUAUAUACAGAAUAUUCCAUAUAUUGGAUAGAGUUCAUCUAAUGUGUAUACACUUGGUGAAAAUUCAUUGAAAAGUUUGUUGAAAAUACUGAAAAAAUGAAAAAAUGAAAAAUAUGAAAAAAUGAAACCGAUAGGAAAAUGAAAAAAAUAUAAAUAAAAAAUAAUGAAAAUAAUGAAAAAAUCCCCAAUCCAAACCAGAAAAAAGGAAAGGGGAAAUAAAAAGAAAAAGAAGAUAAGGAAUGAAAAGAAAAAAUAUAUAGAAAAAUAAGCAAAAUAAUCUGAAAGUCCUGGUAGUCCAAUAUAGUGCACUAUAUUUAGCUGUAUCUGGAUAGAUCUCACCAAUUGUAGAAAUCUUGUUCUUGGUGUACCAAAUCAAAGUUGUAAUCAGAUGAUGAUCUAAACGAAGGUGAAGGUAAUAGUAGUUGUAGCAAACGGAAAGUCACUCCAUCAGCUCCCAGUUGUUGUGUGGUCAGAAGCAGCUCCCAGUGGGUAUGUGGUCUGAACGAACGGCAAUGAACUAAUGCAGGCAAUCCAGUCUAGGGACGGGCUGCGCGCUCGGGACUUAACUGUCCCUUCGACGGCCCCUGUGACGAAUGAAUAUAUAUAGAUAAAUAUCAAUAGACACUUACCAAAAAUGUGAGUGAAAGAUUCCCUGUUCGUCCAAACCCGGAAGUGAGACAGUGUGCACCACGUGACCGGCGUGAUGACGCAAGUGAUUACGGUGUUGCUAAGCAACGAUAGUGAACAGAUCUGGCAAACGUGUAAUGCAGAUCGGAAAGUGAACUAAAGUGACUAAGAACGAUCACUGAAAGGUGAUCUAUGUAGGAAAUGUGUAUACACACAAACUAUGGAGGAAAUAAAAACUUAAUAGUAUACUUAUAAUGAUUAUCAUACAAUACACUAUGGACAACAUAAAAGUAUGUCCUAGGCAGAUAUAAUGAUAAGAUGUUAUGUAUUUUGAUAAGAGUAUUUGUACUAACCAAAGGCAAAUUGUGACAAAUGAAUAGAAAAAAAUAUAAAUAAAUACCCAUAAUAUUCCAGAGACAAGAAAUAUAUAUAUAUAUAUAUAUAUAUAUAUAUAUAAAAAAAUUAUAUAUAUAUAUAUGAGAAAUAUAUAUAUAUAUAUAUAUAGCAUGUAUGAUAUGCCAAAAGGAGGGAAAGAAGUGAUCCCAUGCACAUGCAAACGUGCACAGUAUAUACAUUCAUCUUACAACAUGUGGUCAUAAAGAAAAAUACAGAUACAUCUCUUGAUAAUGAAAAUAACAUUACCAAAUAGAUUUAAAUAAACUGCAUGGCAUACAUACUAGGGAACAAUGUUAAUGAAAGAAUAUGAAAAAACAGCCAUAGAGGAUAACGGUUAGAUGAUACUAAAGCCAUAACGACAAACAUCUAUAUCUAUAUUGGCUAUGUAAAAAUAAACAUAAUAAACAGCCGAAGCUGCCUGUGAAAAGACUAUAUAUAAGUCAUAUAUCCAAAUGGAAUCAAGGAUAUAUGAAAAAAUAAAACAAGUAUAAAUAAAAUAAAAAAAUAUCAUAAAAACAUAGAAAAAGUGUUGUACUCAUUUAAGCCUUUAGGUGUAACAGUAUCCAAUUUGAAAAUCCAAUAAGCUUCUCUUUGAAGUAGUAUUUUAGACCUGUCACCCGCACGAGAUAAAGGGGGGACAUGGUCAAUGGCCAUGAAUUUAAGUGUGGGAAGUCUAUGUGAGGCGGCUAAAAAAUGUUUAGCUACCGGUUUAUCUGUCUUUUGGUCCCUAAAAGCUGUCAUAAUGCCGGAUCUGUGUCCUCGGAUACGAUCUCGAAGGGUAAGGUCUGUCUUCCCAACAUCCGCUAAUCCGCAUGGACAUGUAAUAAGAUAAAUCACAUGAUCCAUGGUGCAUGUGAUAUAAUGUGGGAUGACGAUUCUUUUUCCACUGUGCGGGUGAGCAAAUGAAUUACCAGAGAUCAUGUGGCUACAAGUGACACAGCCACUACAUUUGUAACAUCCGUGUUUCCUUUGUGUGAUGGUUUUCUUGUAGUUCUGUAUGGGAUCACUGCGGACUAGAAUGUCCCUUAAGUUUUUGUUUCUUUUAUAGCUGAUGAUAGGUUUAGACCAAAAUAUAGGAGAUAAUUGUUUGUCCGCAUGUCCCAAUGUCUGUCAAUUGAGUGACAAAUUUGUGUGGAACCUGUAUGGAAAGUAAGUGGUAAGUAAAUCUUUGGAGUAUCAGCCUUUAAUUCUUUUGAUGAACUUUGUGUUUNNNNNNNNNNNNNNNNNNNNNNNNNNNNNNNNNNNNNNNNNNNNNNNNNNNNNNNNNNNNNNNNNNNNNNNNNNNNNNNNNNNNNNNNNNNNNNNNNNNNUUUAUGGGCAUACUCACCGUCAGGCCCUGGGGCCCAGACCUUGAGCUAUGUAAGAGGCCCCAAUAAAUUGAGCUGCUUCUCGUUCUCCCAGAACAUUGAAUUUUGUGACCACAGUUAAAAAACAGCCUCCAGAGAUCCUGUUCUACACCAGACCAGUGGAGCCAGACUGCAGCCAGAGCCCAUCACCAUCCUCAUCUGAUUGUAAGUAGGCAAUCUAGUAUAUUAUUAGUGACACUAAUCUCUAAUUUACCUCACAUUAAAUGGACACUAUAGUCCCCAGAACCACUGUGUGCAGCACUGGCACUAGUUCAUAUGGCAGAUCAUAGGGGCGGGGCGGCAAAUCUUUCUUUUGCCUAUGGCGGCAAAAAUCNNNNNNNNNNNNNNNNNNNNNNNNNNNNNNNNNNNNNNNNNNNNNNNNNNNNNNNNNNNNNNNNNNNNNNNNNNNNNNNNNNNNNNNNNNNNNNNNNNNNACUUUAAGAACUGCGUUUUUUAUUUAUGGUGCAAAUUAUUCUGAAAUUACCAAACACAACAUUUCAACAGAUUAUUUAAGCCACUGACACCUGGGGUGUGGUACAAGCUGAAUUUUAGCAAAAUGAGAACUAACGCCUAUUGGGAAUGUAUAUAUUUUCUCGAAUUAUCCACUUCAGUUUGAUUUGUGCUGAUUUUUUUGUGUCAGAUAUGCAGUUUUGAGUAGAUACUUAUGAGCUGAAUCCUUUUAAAGGGUUAUGCUAAGCAUCACUGCAGUCUUCUGUAGUGGCUAUGAUGCCAGAGAUUUUCUGGCCCCAUUCCCUGGUAAUAGGACAAACAAUUUUGCAGUGGUUUUCCCCCUUCCGUGAGUUCCCACCAGGCUCAGAUGCUCACUGGUGCUCCAGUGACACUCUUCCGGCUUUUCCAGAGCCGCAGAAAAUAUAAGCUGUGGUGUCCUCAUUUGUUGGCAGAGAGCAUUAGCUGAGCACUCUCAACCAAUGACUGCAAUUCUGUGCAAUGAAAGUUGCACAGAAUUGACAUUAGCCAGACCAUCACUCUAUUUCUGGGAUUGUGUAUGGCAACCCUAUGAAGCUCCUAGAGGUGGAGUUAUACCUAUGGCACCAAAAGGGGUUAAAAUCCAUAUGUGCAGCGUUUCAAUGACAAACACUGCACAUAUAGACUCCAGGCAACAUGAUCACUUCAAAUCCUUAUGUGCACAUGCCGGAUAAUAAGUCCAGGAUCCUUUAGCUUAUGUCAUCACUGCUAUUUUAUUAUUUCACGUAGUACGACGUGUUAACAUCGUGUGAUUUGGCUCACUUGACAGUAUUGUUUCUUUAUGAUGAACAUUUACAAAUCAUGAUAAAAUGGAUAAUUCAUGUCUGGGAUUUAUGCCCUUUUCCUAAUGAAAAAAAAGAAGCUGAAUUUCUCAAGUGUAUAAUUAAUUUCAACAGAUAAGAACUACAUAGUCAUGUGUCCUCCCUUUAAUUAAAUUAUAUUCAUGAGAAGAAGCAUCUAUGAGAUAUUUGUGCCAUUAGGGACAUACUUGCUUAAUUGUAGCAUUAUGAAGCUAAAGCAUAUUGUAUACUAUUAUCUUUUUAAUUUGUGUUCUAGUUUCUAAUAUGAUUAUUUUAUUAAGAAUAUAAGUAUUAUUUUUGUCUUUGUCAUAUUAAAAUAACUUACACAUCUCUACAGUAAAAACAUUUUCAUGCUACCAUACAUGAAGAAAUUUCUACCUAUCGACCUAUGUAUCGACUUAUUUAGACAUUAUUAAAACCCCACUAUACAGAGCUAUUUGACCUUAAUUUUCUUAAUGUUUUCUCCGAUCGUUGUCUUGUUAUCAGACUUCUCCUCUGUCAUUUUACUUCCUAUUCUCUCCUUCGUUCUUCUUUUAGUAAUGAAUUAAAAUAUGCCAUUUAAUAAUUAUCCACACAUUAGCGACUGCUGAUGAGUCACUUACGAUGUUGACGCAAUUGCAAUCUCUCUGUUUUUAUACUUUUUGAAAAUUGUUUUAUCAUUAAUGGCUCAGUGAAAAAGGGCCCUAUAACCUCAUUAUAUUUCACUUGCAAUCACUGAACUGGAUUCUAAUGGGUUAUUUUUGUAUGUUGUUGUUGCUGAUGUUUUUUUGGCUGUUGUAUUGGACAUUAUUAUUUUCCGUUGAGAACCUGUUACAUCAAUGUUAAUAUUAAAUCAUUUAAUUAUUUGUUUCUUUCUUUUUUAACAUUAGUACUAACUGUAGGGGCAAACAACAAAAAGGAAUUUACAUUAAGACUGUUUACUCCAGGAGGUUACCCCCCUUGCCUUCAAGCGAGAUGGGUUCAGGGCGCUUGAGAUAUAUUUCAGGGAGCUAGAGAACUCACCACCUCACUCCUCUGUCCUCAAGCAUGGAGGACAUAAUUUAAAAUAGCAGGCCAUAGCUAAGUAUGCCAAGAGAAACUGGAUGCUGAGCAAGCCUUUUGGAUGUUCCCCAUGGUUUUGAAAAAUUCUUUCAUAGAUGUCAUGUAUAAGCCCAUUCUUUAAAAAAAAAAAAAAAAAAGAUUUAUUAUUAGAGUUGAGCGGACACCUGGAUGUUUGGGUUUGCCAAGUGCGGUCGAACUUCGUCAAAAAGUUCGAGUUCGGCUCAAACUUGUCACCGAACUUGACCCCGAACCUCAUUGAAGUCAAUGGGGACCCAAACUUUUGGGCACUAAAAUGCCUCUAAAAAAGUCCUGGAAAGGGCUAGAGGGCUGCAAAAGGAAGUAAAUGGGGGUAAGAGUAGGACAAGUGCCCUGCAAACAAAUGUGGAUAGGUAAAUCACUUAAAAUAACAUAAAAUAAACAGCCGUUUAGUAGAUAACUCCCUAAUUCCCACGGUAUUAGGGAGCUAUCUACCAAAAGGCUGAAAGACCUAAAUUGGUCUGUCAGCCACAUUUACUAAUACUAAGUAAAUUCAGCCCCUAGUCGCUAUACCACGAGUAGGGACAUGUCUAGUAAACAGUGAGCAGCCACUGGCUGCUCACUGUAAAAACCAAAAAAAAACAAAAAACCCUAAAGUAAAAUAAGGGGGGGGGGGGACCUACUGUCCUCCCCCACAGCCCCCACCCCUGGUCGGUGAUUGGGGGUCUUAAAUAACAAUGAGAGGGGGACCUACUGUCCUCCCCCCGGGCCCCGACCCCUGCGCGGUGGGUGGGGCCCUAAAUACCAAUUAGGAGGGGUGGGGGCCCUUAAUUAGAAUAAGGGGGGACCAAAUGUCCUCCCCCCUGACUCCCACCCGUGAACGGUGGGUGGGGGCCCUAAAUAAAAAUUGGGGGGGACCUAAUGCCCUCCCCCCUGGCCCCCACCCUAAAUAAAAAUUUAAACCCCCCCCCUGUAAACCACCUCCCCCCAAAAAAUAACCCCUACCUACCCCCCUCAUCCUAAAAAUAAUGAGGGGGGGGCCCUUAUCUAAAUACCUGUAAAAAAAAAAAAUAAAUAAACUUACCAUUUGAUGUCUUCUUUCUUCAGCCCCAAAAAAGGCCAAAUAAAAAUCCAUAAUAACCGACGCACUUAAAAAAACAAACAAAAAAAAAUGAGUGCAAAUUUUUUUUUUAUGGUGGCCAGCCUAAGGCCUGUGCAAUAAUCGUGUUGUCUAAUCAGCAUCUUGAUAUGCCACACCUGUGAGGUAGAUGGAUUAUCUCGGCAAAGGAGAAGUGCUCACUAACACAGAUUUAGACAGAUUUGUGAACAGUAUUUGAGAAAGUAUUUGAGAUUUUUGAGUUCAGCUCAUGAAAAAUGGGGACAAAAACAAAAGUGUUGCGUUUAUAAUUUUGUUCAGUGUGUGUGUGUGUGUGUAUAUAUAUAUAUAUAUAUAUAUAUAUUAUAAGUUUUUAAGCUUUUGCACUCCUACCUCCAGCCAAUAGUAUCGGCUGCCAAGCCACACUGCAAUAUAGAAAGUAAUCAAUUGCCUUCACUCCUGGAUUUCCAACAUCAAUAUGGCUUAUUGUCUUGAACCGAUGUUUCAGUUCCUAGUUUGGAACUUUCAUCAGGACACACAAAAAACAUCUUAAAAAUGACAGGCUUAUAUACAGAAUAAAUGAAAGAAAUAAUUACUCACCACUAUCAGCGGUUUUCCAUGUGGAACGGCUGUACCGGAGUUAGGACGCUUGAUUGAAUCACCCAGAUGAUUCCAUGUGCGUCGUUGGCUAGGGCCACCCGUUCACUACAUACUUCUGGCGUCUAUGCGUUGCUCUGGCUGCCGCCGAUAACAAUUGGCUAUUGGCUGCUCAAAGGGCCGCUGACAGCAGACGGAAUCUGUGUGUGGAUCCCGCCCAUGCCUCAUGUGCAUCAGGACGUGUUUCCAUAGCAACCGGACGCCAGUUUCACUUAGACGGGAUAAAACUGAGUACAAACUUAGGUUAAUCCGAUAAAUUACUAAGUAUAGCAAUUAGAUUCAACAUAGAGGUAAUAUACAUACCAAUAUAAUUCAGCUUAUACUCCCCUAUAACCAUAAGCAAUAAGUAAACUUUAGAUAAACUAGCAAAUACUUGUGAGUCUUAGAGAGGGAACUUUUGUUCCAAUGUACUUGUGCAAAAGACAAACUUUAAAUAUGAUAACAUAAAACAUAAUCAUAGCAUAUUAAAUUCUGUGAUCCAUUAUUUAAGUGAUGGUCCAUACUUCGUGGGACCAAAGAUAAUUGUGUUAUUCCUACAAGGCAUACAUCUAAGACAGUAGAAUAGUAUAAUCUCACUAAAGAAGUGCAAAUUUAAAGUGACCGUGCAUAGGACUAAAGUGACAGCGCUAAUGUUUAUUCAAAAAAGGUAGAGGGCAUCUCAAAAUAAAUAUGUACCCUGAUAAUCCAUAAUAUGGGCAGUGUCAGUGUCCUAAGUAAGUACUAGGUAAUCAAAUUAAUUAUUAAAAAAAGUGAAAAGUGCAAAAUAAAAUCUUAUAUGUGAACAAAAUGAACGUGCAAAAUACUUGAUCCAAUGUUUUGGAUCCAUAAGAAAAUAAACAGUAUCCCUCCCCAAUUGUCCUCCAACAAAAUAGUUACAAGGAAUUAUAUUAUAUAUCGACUGGAUCUGUUCCUUGUUCUACAUUCUAAACUACGUCCUUGUUGUUGCUUAUAGUACCUGUGUAUUUGGUGCUACAACUCCCUCUCUUCUAACAUACAGUGCCCAUUAAGACAGUUGUGCAUAUCAUUUGAAAGUGCACUAACUGUUUCUGGGAGCUGUAGUUCAUAUAUCAGCCUUCAUAAGUAGAAGGUGAUAAGUGAACAAAAAGUCUCAGAAGCACCUACUCUGACCUGAACUGAGGCCAUUACAAUUUGCUAGUUAGCCUCCCACUACACACUAUGAAGACAAAGAGGCAUUUUAACGGAUUUACAGGUGUAGGUAUUCUGCAUGUAGUCACAUUUCUAAUGUCUUGCAAAUAGUUAACCAGCUGGUGCCCAAACUGUACUUUAACACUUGCAGUGCUGGGUAAACAUUCCCAGCAGUUUAAAUGUUUCAAACCAUUUUGAGAGAUGCCCGAGUGACCAAAUUACUUCUUUGAGAGAGCUGGUGUUCGAGAAGUUGUGCUGAAAGCAAAAACAUUAAAAGUGAAUUUUUGUUUACCGUUAUAUUUGCUUAUAUUUUAGAAGCAUUUUCUAUAACAUGACUAGAAAAUAAUGGGUCCAUUCCAGCCUGCUGGGUCCAUUUAAAAAAUAAACUAAAAAUCAAGGAGUCUUUUGGAAUUAUUGUUCUGGAAAUGAAGUAUAAUGCUAAGUUUUGCUAUUGUUACUCAUGCCUAGUCUCCCUCCUUUGUGACCUGCUGUAAGGGAAUGACUGGUUUGUUGACGGUGUUACAGUUUUUCCUCUACAUAAUCACAGUUAUCACCCCAUUUCUAGAUGUAAUUUAUGCUCCCACAUGAAUGUGCGAAUAACAAGCGAGCAGAUUUUAAUAAAAAACUGGCAUGUUUAUCACUCAGAAUGACAAGAGGUGGCAGGAUGAAUAUUUUGUGUGUCUGCAUAGAUUGAUGCAACGCAAGCAUAAUAUAAUAAUCUGUGUCACAUAACUAUAAAGAUGCAAAUUAUAUUUGUUUUCCAUAGCUGAAUUUUGUAGGCGGUGAUCAUUUCUAAUUUUUGAAAGGGCAAAUAGGCACAUGUUUUUGUUCCAUAUCAUUAUGGCUAAUGAUAAUUACGUGCACAUGAUUAUUCCAUAUAAGAAGGGAUAUACUGAGACCAUAUUAUAUCAGGCUAUGGAACACAGGCAAUAUCAGUGCAGUAACAGGCCUGAGACAUGUGACUGCAACACAGCUGUACUUUGAAUGCAUAUGUAGUCUAAACUUAUAGAAAAAUCUAUGUUACUGUCAUUUGUCAAUUGUUUAUUACCCCCAAUUUCCAGCUAACUCAGUUUCUAUAAUAUUGGAACUCAUAUUAUGUUUUACAAUAUUAGUUAUGAUAAUACUGAAAUUAGAUUAUUUUCAUAAGGAAAUUGUCUCCUGAAGGGAUCCAGUUCCGGAUUUGCCAUAAGGCCACUGAAACCACAGCCUCGGGGUGGCACAGCCAGUGGGGAGAUCAAAGAUCUUCCUCACCAGCAAGCCUACUUUUCUCUUUUUGGUCCUUCUUGGUCUACCCCACCAGCCCUGAUCUAUUGUACCAGAGCAUUGCAACAGAUUACUACAGUGACGCUCUGAUAAAUAUAUGGUACCGAGCUGUUUGCAUGCACAAGGGGUGCAGAUAGCAACAUCUCCCACCGGACCACUAGGGAUCAGGAUUUACCCUUAACUGGCCCAAGGUAAGUCUCAGGAGCAUUGGAUUGGACCCCGCCGGAGGAGGCCCUGCCUCUUUCAUGAUGAUGCCUGGGAAGGAGGGAGCCUGAGCAUUGGAAAUAAGGUAAGUAAAGAAGGGAUUUUAACCCUUCCCAGGCCUAAUGCACAAUACUUUGAGGCGCAUGGACACUAUGAUGCUAGAUUUGUAUUCCUAAUGUUAUAGUGUUCAUUUAAGUGGGCAGGUGGGAAGAUAAGUACCAGGAGCCUUUGCUAGUGUCCUCUGUCCUCUGUGAGCCUCCUAUGCUUGAUAGCAGAGCUCCAGAGAGUUUUAUAAGGUGUAAAAUUCAGUUCUGCCCCAGGUCUUCCAGUAUCUGUGUAUACAGUGUCGCUUUGUAGGCUGGACAGGAAGUGGAAGGCAUACGUACCCACUAACAUAUGAAAUACAUAAAAAUCAGGGAAAGCACUGAGUGAUGUACAUUGUAUAACAGUUACUACAGCUCUGCUAUCAACCAUAUGAGAGUGACCGGAUUACUGAAGACUAGUGAUGUCGCGAACCCGAAAUUUUCGGUUCGCGAAUGGCGAACGCGAACUUCCGCAAAUGUUCGCGAACCGGCGAACCGCCCGAAACGCCAUUGACUUCAAUGGGGAGGCGAAUUUUAAAACACACAGGGACUCUUUCUGGCCACAAUAGGGAUGGAAAAGUUGUUUCAAGGGGACUAACACCUGGACUGUGGCAUGCCGGAGGGGAUCCAUGGCAAAACUCCCAUGGAAAAUUACACAGUUGAUACAGAGUCUGGUUUUAAUCCAUAAAGGGCAGAAAUCACCCAACAUUCCUAAAUCACAAUCAAUAUGGAUUGACACCUGACAUAUGACACAUUGACACCUUGACAUAUGGAUUGACACCUGUCCUCAGAGCCCCUGAUGCACACGGACACAGAGCAGAAUAGAGACUGGUCCCCCUACAUAGGGUCACUUGGCAGAUAUGGAUUGACACCCGUCCUAAGGAUCCCUGAUACACACUGACACAGAGCAGAAUAGGGACUGUUCCCCCUACAUCGGGUCACUUGGCAGAUAUGGAUUGACACCUGUCCUAAGGUUCCCUGGUACACACUGACACAGAGCAGAAUAGGGACUGGUCCCCUACAUCGGGUCACUUGGCAGAUAUGGAUUGACACCUUGUUACAAACUGCUAUUUGUAACGGGCCCUUUAAAUGGCAAAUUGCCCUGCUUCCCUGGGUUGUGGAGAAGCCUACUUGCCAGCCUCCUCCCGCAUGACUAUGGCCCCCUGGGAGAUUGUGAAAAUGUAUGCACUUUUAUUUGGUGUGUAUGGCCCUUUAAGACUGUCGGUGGGCAUAUUGGGGCUUAUGGACUCUUUAUGUGACUGGUGCUGGCCCUUUAAACACCUUUUUUGGGACAUCAGGAAGAUUGAGACACUGCCCCUUUAAGGCCGUGUCCCCAGACUUGUUGGGGACACGGCCCCUUUAAGACGGUGUCCCCUGUGUCCCCAGACCUGGUGCAAACUCUUUGUGCCUGCCUUGCUAUUUCCCACUUGGUUCAGUAAAUGGGAAAUUAUUUCAGCUGCAGAGACUAAGUCCCAUUCAGCGAUGGGACUUAGUCUUUUUUUCAGCCGUUUUUUUCAGCCUUAUUUCAGCUGCAGAGACUAAGUCCCAUUCGGCGAUGGGACUUAGUCUUUUUUUCAGCCGUUUUUUUCAGCCUUAUUUCAGCUGCAGAGACUAAGUCCCAUUCGGCGAUGGGACUUAGUCGUUUUUUCAGCCUGAAAUAGACCGACCUCACAGCCCAAAUCUAUGGAACUGUUUUGGGCAGGAAAAUGUGCUUGCGGUCGGUCAUAAAGGGACCUCCAGCUAACUUUUUAACCCCUGGAUGGAUUUGGCUGAUUUUUGGUUAUGUUUAUGUUUUAAGUGUGCUGAUUCCAAAUAUGUAAUUAUGAAGAUGGGAUGUGUAGUUUUAAAGUUACAGGGUAUGGCUAAAAACUGUAUUUUUACUGCCUGUGUUUAAUUAUGUUAAUCUCUUCCCAAACGUCAUUUCGUUCAAAGUGGAGAGAAUGUUAAAAAAAUAUAUUUUUGUUCUGAGUGUGAGAAAUGCUUUUCAGCGCUUCUAAUCUUAAGCAUCAUUUGAGGAGCCAUACAGGAGAGAAACCUUAUUUGUGGUGUGUUUAGUAUUGUUCUGAUCAGUUUAAUACCUUCCGCGUCUCCUAUCAGUGGACGUGUAUAUGGCAGCCAUUUUAGGAACCGUACACCUGGGACCCGAGCAAGGUCACCUCGUUCAACGGACGACAACAUUUGUCCCUGGAAAACUAUCCUGGACAUUCUGUACAAUUUGUAUGGAUAUGGCAGUGAUUUCUGUAACAGGGAGAUGGAAGAAGAUGCUUGGUCGGUCCUCUUAUCAAAUUUGGGGCACUGCACGGUCAAGCUAAUGUGCCACCAGAUAGGAGUGGUGUGUUUAGUAUUUUUUGAUCAGUUUAAUACCUUCCGCGUCUCCUAUCAGUGGACGUGUAUAUAGCCAUUUAGGGCCAUUACACCUGGGACCGAGCAAGGUCACCUCGUUCAACAGGCGACAACAUUUGUCCCUGGAAAACUAUCCUGGACAUUCUGUACAAUUUGUAUGGAUAUGGCAGUGAUUUCUGUAACAGGGAGAUGGAAGAAGAUGCUUGGUCGGUCCUCUUAAUUCAAAUUUAGGGCACUGCGCGGUCAAGCUAAUGUGCCACCAGAUAGGAGUGGUGUGUUUAGUAUUUUUCUGAUCAGUUUAAUACCUUCCGCGUCUCCUAUCAGUGGUCGUGUACACGGCAUUGAUUUUUGUAACAGGGAGAUGGAAGAAGAGGCUUGGUCGGUCCUCUUACUGCAAAUUUGGGGCACUGCGCGGUCAAGCUAAUGUGACACCAGAUAGGAGUGGAGUGUUUAGUACUAUUNNNNNNNNNNNNNNNNNNNNNNNNNNNNNNNNNNNNNNNNNNNNNNNNNNNNNNNNNNNNNNNNNNNNNNNNNNNNNNNNNNNNNNNNNNNNNNNNNNNNUCCAGCCGCUUCAUUGAUCACAGCAGUGGGUCAGAAGGGUCUCCCUAAUGCUGCUGUGAGGCGCGCUCCUGUAAAGUAAGCAAGGCCGCCAUCUUGGAUGACUCCUCUGAGCUCACCAUGUGGCUGUAUGCUCUUGGGUGUUCGGUCCUGCAGGGCUUGCUGUGAGCAGGUGCGUCAGGUCGGUUUGCCAGUGGGGACCAGGAUAACCCCCACCGGUCCAAGGGGGGGAGAAACAGGACCCUAAAUACUAGGUUAGUGAGGUGAAGAGGCGGGCGUCCCCUCCACUCCGCUUGACACUGUAGGCCUCCGGGGAAGAUUGUGAUGUGUGCUUGGUAUUUUUCUCCAAGACUCUGCUGGGCCUCUGGCACGGUGUAUGCAGUUGAGUUAGUCGAGUUUGUCUUCGAAAAUCAGGUGAAAUACCCCUGUAAUCUGUUUAUCGUCAGGUUUUGUCGAGGAGCCCCUGCGACACACAUCUGCCUCAGUCGGCUGCCAGGCCCCACCCCCGCUCAUUGAUAUUUUACACCGAUAUUUUAUAAUACACAUGGGUAACUAGGUACAGAAAAUUGUUCAACCAUGACUUCCUGUUUUAAAGGGAUAUAAAUAUGAGAUAACAAUAGGCAAGACCAUGGAAUAUAGCUGUGAUGUGCAGCAAAUGGUUGUGGAGCUUCACAAAAUGGUAAGUGACUAUAAGAAAAUAGCAAAAGCAUUGGAAAUGCCCAUUUUCAUCAUAAGGGCAAAAGGUGCGAUGCUGCAGUCAACUGGAAAUGUUGUGAAUCAACCCGGAAGAGGGCCUAUUUCAAUAUUGAUUCAAUGCACUGAAGAUAAUGGUUAGAUUGGACAAAAAAUCUCCAAGGAUCACAUUUGGAGAAAUGCAAAAGUUGGUUGCAUCUUUGGGACAGAAAGUCUCCAAAACUACAAUCUGACGUUACCUACAUAACACAAAUUGUUUGGAAGAGUUUCAAGAAAAAAAGCCUAUUCUCUUCUCUUAUCCAAAAAAGAAUUUAAGUGUUUUCAGUUUGAAAGAUAUUACUAGAACUUCAAAUGGAAUUUGGGUUCUACGGUCAGAUGAAACCAAAAUAGAGCCUUUUGGCAAUAAACAGCAAAGGUGUGUUAGGGGCACACACAGAGGUAGCCAUAAGGGAAAUUACCUCAUGCCCAUGGUUAAAUAUAAUGGUGGCUCUUUAAUGUUUUGGGGCUGUUUUUUCUGCCAGAGGAUCUGGACAUUUUGUUAGGAUACAUAAUCCAAAACAUUCAUGAAAAUCAACACAAAAGUGGUUUAGUGACCACAAAAUCAAGGCACAGCUAUGGCCAUCCCAGUCCCCUGACUUGAACCCCAUUUUGUAUGGAGGAAAGGCCUCAUAUCUCUUGACAUGUGUUCUCCAAAAUUGGGUGUUAAACGAAAAGACUUAGCGCUGUUAUCUUGCCAAAGGGAGAUUGCACAAUGUAUUGACUAAAAGGGCACCAAUAAUCGUGCUAAACAUAUAUUUAACAAAGUUUUUUUUUUUUUUUUUGAUAAACCUGUUUUGUAUUUGCAAUGUUGGAUAUCCAUGAGAGCAGAGUAUUUUAAUGCAUUUUUGAAAAAAAUAAAAAAAUUCUCCUUCUUUGCUCAUAUUUACAAAGUGUGCCAAUAUUAGUGGAGGGCACAUUUAGUAAGUGAGCAGGGCCGGACUGGCCCACCGGGAUACCGGGAAAUUUCCCGGUGGGCCGUCGGCACCUGGGGCCGGGCGGCCAGCUGGCUCCCCUACGGCCGCAGAGGGAGCUCCUUUGGCGGCCGCAGGGUUUGCUGGCUGUUCUUGCGGCCGCAGGGGGAGCUGGCUGUUGUGUCUCUGCUCCUCCUCCCCAGCGCACUACAAAGAGACCGGGGCCGGAAUAUGACAUCAUAUUCCGGCCCCGGUCUCAUUAAGCGGCGCGCAGGGGAGGGGGAACAGAGACAAAACAGCCAGCUCCCCCUGCGGCCGCAAGAACAGCCAGCAAACCCUGCGGCCGCCAAAGGAGCUCCCUCUGUGGCCGCCAGCCGCCAGUCCCCACAGGUAGAAAUUGUGUAUGUGUGUGUGUGUGUUUCAUUUGUGUGUGUGUGUGUCUGUCUGUGUCAUGGUGUGUGAGUGUCUGUCUGUGUCAGCAAUGUGUGUCUGUGUCAUUGUUUGUGUCUCUGUGUCCUGGUGUGUGUGUCACUGUCUGUCAUGGUGUGUGUGUGUCUGUGUCAUUGUGUGUGUCUCUAUGUCAUGGUGUGUGCGUCUGUGUCAUGCAAUGUGUGUCUGUCAUUGUGUGUGUGUGUGUCUGUGUGUGUUUGUCUGUGUCAUGUAAUGUGUGUCUGUCUGUCACGGUGUGUGUGUGUCUGUGUCACGGUCUCUGUGUGUCGUGGUCUGUGUGUCACGGUCUGUCUGUGUCAUGGUGUGUGUGUCUGUCUGUGUCACGGUCUGUGUGUGUCAUGGUGUGUGUGUGUGUUUGUCUGUGUCAUGUAAUGUGUGUCUGUGUCACGGUCUCUCUGUGUCGUGGUGUGUGUGUCUGUGUGUCACGGUCUGUCUGUGUUAUGGUGUGUAUGUGUGUCAAGGUGUGUGUGUCUUUUUUAAGGUGUGUGUCUGUCAUGGUGUGUGUGUGUGUGUGUGUCUGUCUGUGUCAUGGUGUGUGUGUGUUUCUGUCUGUGUCAUGGUAUGUGUGUGUGUAUGUUUGUUUUUACUCACUUUUUUUUUCCCCACGUCAUGCUGGUCUCCCCUCGUCCUGCCUCUACGGCUGAGAUCAUCAAGCUUGAUGAUCUCAGCCAAUCCGCACUGACACAGGAAGCACCUCUAGUGACCGUCUGAGUGUCUGUCACUAGGAAGCAAUGACUCUUAAAAGUCAGUGUUUACAUUGAAAAGCCUGCAGGGACCGGCUAUAGACACCAAUACCACUACAUUAAGCUGUGUGUGUGUGCGCGCGCUUGCUUGUGUGUGUGUGUGUGUGUGUGCCUGCUACUGAGUGAGCUUGUGUUUUUAUGUCAAUAACCUUAUGUAUGAGGCUGUGUAUCAAUCCGCUUGUGUCAGUGAGAUUGUCUGUGUAUGCAUGUGAGUAUGCUUACUGUAUGUCCUGACGAAAGCUUGAGGGGAUCAAGCUGAAACGUUGACCUUGUGUUGUUUUAGUGGAGGUAAUAAAAGUUAUAUUUUAUAUUAGUCCUUGGAGUGCUAUCUCUGGCAAUAUUUUUUGCAUUUUUGGCUGACAAGCACCGGGCAUUGAAUAUUGAAUUGGUGGAGUGCAAGAUCCGUUUGGUUUUAUAUAUAUAUAUAUAUAUAUAUAUAUAUAUCUCAAUCAUCUAGGGUUGCAAGACAUAGCCUACAUUAUUACAUGCGACAAUAUAUGGCGCAAUGACUUAUGGGGCUGGCAUAGAUUUUUUUUCCAGGGCUGCUUUGGAAUCCCCAGUCCGGCCCUGCAAGUGAGAACAUAAUUCAGUUUAGUCCAGUCACAGGCAUGGCACACAAUGUAAUUGAAGAGAACAGUAAAACAAUUUAUGUCUUCUCUUCCAUUUAAAAUUUAAAAUAAAGGGCAAGAUUUAGAACCAUAAUUGUCAUUUUAUUCAAGAUGGAGGCACCUAGUUCCAGGAUAGGGGUACAUACAGCAGGAUGGAUUUCUGAAUUAAAUAUUAUUUUUCAAAUCUAAAAAAUAAACAAAUUUUAUGAAUAUAAACGUAACAUUACAAGUCCUGGAAAGUGACAGUUUUGCUAUAGAGCAUACUGAUCUGGGAAAGUGACAUGUCUCCAAUAAAAGCAGGCUUAUCUGGACCAUACAUUAAAGUGUGUUUUCAUCAAUGUCCCUUAAAUUUGUCAAAAGAGCAUCCUUGCAUAUCAACAUUCAGCUCUUCUAAGACUGCGGAAGCUUUUUUUUUGAUGACUAGGUUUUGAGUUAGGUUCCAUUAUCUUUGCCAUUAUGUUAGGAUAGUGCACAGCUGUGCAAGACAUUGACAUGGAACAUAUUCAAUACUAUCAAUUAGCGACUGGAUUUGCAAUGUGGGUAUUUUUUAUUUUAUUUUAGAAUUUGCAGAGUUAGUAGAUGUGGUGUAUAUAAGGGUAAAGUACAUAAGGCAAUUAGUAUUUACUUGUCUUGACUAUUAAGGGAAAAAAUAUAUAUAAAUAUAUAUAUAUAUAUAUAUUUUUGUAGUAGCUCAUAUAUUAUUAACUAUGUACUCUACAAUGUCUUUAAAAUAUAUUUACAAUAAUGAGUUUCACUAUUUUAAACCGUACUUAAGUAUAUAACUAUUACUAUUCUGUAUUGAUGUAUGUGUAAUGUUUUUUAUAGAAACUUUUAUAAACUUAAUAUAGAUUAAACGAUUUAUAAACCAGUGAACAAUGGAGAGAUGUUGAUAGAAAGUCGAGCACAAGAUUAGAGGAUUUCAUAACAAGGGAUCUGUUUGGUUAUCUCUGUUCUUCUUACACUUUAUUUAAAUAUAUGCUGCUGAGUUAUGGCCGUGGGAGUAGCCAAACCUGAUGGCAUCUUGAGCUAGCUCCACACCUGCUCACAAUAAUGGGCUCAUCCUUAGCCCAUGUUACUCCAUAAAUGGGAUUAAAUAAUGUCAGAAAUGGUCAGCAAUAACCCUUCAACUGUGUACCAAGUAAAACAUAUCACACGUGUAGGGUGCUAAAUGGAGUAUAACAAGAAAAUGGAGAAAGAAGAAACUAUAUAGAAACACCAUAGCACACCUCAUCUAUUCAGAUGAUUCUUUAUUAAUACAAUAAUAAAUAUGCAAUAAAAAUACGAUGAGAAAAGAGGAACAAAGCAAAGAGUGUAUCUAUAAAUGUGAGACAGGAAAAAUCCAUUAAGACUUAACUUUUAUUAUAGUUAAAUUAAAAAGACAAUGUAAAGUAUAAUAUAAAAUCAAAUAUACAGAUUAAGUCCUCUCUGUAUUUGUUAGUAAUAGGCAAAAGAUCCGGAAAAUAGCAGUGUAUCCAACAGAGACAAUAUAUUAUUGUUGCUAUAUGGUAAUAUCAAUAUAGAGCAGCUUAGGGGUGGAGAGGAAAAAAAAAUAUAUAAAGAGAGGAUAGUAAAUAACCGAAUACUCAUGAUAGUAACGGCUAAUGUGCCUUCGAGGGCCACCACUUAAUAAAACCUACUCUCACACUAAGCCACCCAUCUUGCCCAAUCCCAGAGGAAACUAAGUGAUAGAGCAAAAUUUGAGGACUAAUCAGUUGUAUAGAACAGAGGUAGCUGAAUUUCCAGGUAUCAGUUGCCGCGGCUGGAUGUGCGGUAGUGAAAGGCUGACACAUAUGGUAUGCUGAAUCUACUACCUGAGCCCCCAACAGGAAGUAUUUAAGGACGUAAGCAGCCAUCCAGUUAUAAAUAGCAGAGAGGCAGUCAGAGACACAAAUCAAGGGGGGUGGCAAGAGAUCAGGAGAAGACAGAUUUGCAUGUCAUCCACAUAGAAAUGAUUUGGAAGCCAAAGGAGCUGAGGAAGUUAGCAAGGGAUGCAGUAUAGAGCGAGAGCAGUAGGGGACUAAAAUUAGAACCUUGUGGAACACCAACAGAGAGGGGUUGCAGAGAAGAGGAAGAGCCAGAGAAAGAAACAUUGAUGAGAACCAGGAGAAAGCAGUGUCUUGUAGACUGAGAUCACUGAGCAUGAUAAUAAGUUGUUGAUAGUCAACAGUGUCUAAAGCAGUAGCAAGGUCAAGGAGAAUUACGAUAGAGUAAAGACCACUAGACUUUUCAGCAAUUAAAUCAUUGGAAACUUUGUGUGUCGGACCGCCUGGUACCUCGCCUGGGUAUCUCCGCCAAUUGCGCUUCCUAGUAGUCGCCGAGUACCAUAAGCACUGUAGCCCCCCCUAGCCGCCUGGAUCCAGCUCCCAGUGGGAAGACCUCUCCUCCAAGAGAGUAUCGCAGAUAUAGCAGUGAUUAUAGCAGUAUAGCGGUUCCCCCCACACAUGAAUCAAGGAUUAAUGCUGGGAGUAGUCUGUUUAUUCCAGCCAAAUAGCUCACUUAUAUACAAAAUCUGAGCACAGUGACAUGCUCAAAACACACCCAAGAAAAACAGUGUCACCAUGACUCAGCAAACCUAUACAAAAUAUAAAAACACAUAAAAAUACAUAUUUCCCCACAUAGGAACCCCCACAGUCUAUACAUCCCAGGAUAGCCUGGUUCUGAGUGCCCAGGUUGUCCAAAUAGCACUCAAAUCCCACAAACACAGCCAAAUCGCCACCGGGGUAAAGUUCAGACCGGCCGCACAUGAUGCUUCUGCCCAAAAUAGUUCCAUGAAAUCAGUGCUAGCGGUCAGUCUCUUUCGGGAGUACAAAAGUGAAUAAAAUACCGAACAUAAUCAUAAUUACAAUGUGUAGCUUGUUCACCUCAUCCAUGUAAACGAUUCCACCGAACAGUCCACUUCCAGGUUGAGUAGACACGAACGCAGGCGAUGAUGGAAGUCCAGUGGUGUUCAGGAGUUUCAGUGUCCGUUUUUGGUUCCGCUGCCUGCGUUCACGGGAACAAGAUGGCUGCCACCUCGUGGUCGUUAAUACGAACUGUGGUCACUCAGACGAACAAUUAGAACACUGAGGUGGAAAUCGCUACAAGGUGUCAAAUGGGCUUAACAAGCACAAGGGUAGCCCCUAGUUUGUGCGGUUGUUUGGUUCCUGAACGGUAUAGGGAAAUUACACGAACCAAGCCAUUUAAAAUGCAUUUUACAGUUCUAUCUGCAGGGCCCAUAGUCCCGAGGCAGGAAGCUGGUUACGUACGUCACACUUUGAUCAGAGCCGUUUCAACAGAGUGACGAGCGCAGAAUCCAGACUGAAGUGGGUCAAGCAGAGAGUUGGAUUUAAGGAAGUUGGUCAGUCUUGUGAACACAACUCUCUCAAGGAGCAUGGAGGCAAACGGUAGUAAGUAAGAUCGGCCAUGUGAUGGAAGCUCUUAUGCCACAGCCUUCUUAAAUGGCGUUAAGACUAGCCUACUACCCACAGACUAUCGGCCUGGCCCCAAGAGCUUCUAAAAGGUACUGUUGUCUCUGUGGAGGUGGGGCCCCGACUGCUUGUUGUAUUUGUAAUAGAAGUUUUAUAUACUCAUAUAUACAGAGUUAUGAGUGUCUGUAUGUUUCCCUAUAUGACAUAGUUAUAUGUAUUAAAUUGAAUGUAUUAAUUGUCUGGGUUCUAUGUGCUUUUCCAUAUUCCCUUUUUUCCUGUCUUAUUUUUUUCCCAGCGGGGCAUUUUUCCAAUUGUUCCUGGGACACUUCCAGACCAGUCCUAAUUGUCUGCCCUGUCACUCCUUUAAAUUUCCCAUCUGGUAUUCAGCCGUUGUUAAUGUUGUACCACAGUUCUCCAGUCAUACUUCUUGUACUAUAAUUAAGAUUUUUAGUGUGAUUGGUUGCCAUCCCAAGUCCAAACUGCCAUUGGUGGACUUGGGCUCACUGUCCUGUUUGGGAGGCAUUGUGGUUGAGGAUCUGAAGAGGAAUUUUGUGUUCCCCUGUAACCCUAUUUUAUGUAAAUGAGGCGGUUGGUGGUAUAAAAGCUGUUUUCAACAAAGGUUGUUGUUCUCCCCUUGACUAAGUAUCAUUAAAGUGUUUGGGGAGGUGGGCUAUGAUCAUGGAAGCAGCAUUUCAUCCAGCCUGAGGGGACUUUAGCGGAGAUACUAAGCUGGAGUAUUAGAGCUCUGCUACAUUAGGUGGCAUCGGCAGGAUGCUCCCUCUCCUGGGAGAAUCUCUAAAUGAGAACCGCUGAAAACUGAAGCAGCCAUAGCAUCUGAAUUUCAACUGUGGGAAGAAUUUAAUCUGCUUAACAGGCCAGUUUUCGAGAAGGAAAGCUUGGGGCUAAGAAAUCAUAUCCGCUUGGAGUUGUAGGAAAGGCUCUCCAGUUUGAGAGGAUAUGAUGCAACAUAUAUCUCUCAACUACAGGGCUGCACAUUCAGGAUCAAAUAAAGUGGCAGAUGCCAUUUUUGGGAGAGCAGCCCAUGGAUGAAUGGAUUGGUGAACUCAAGAUACUUUAAGUACAGAAGAUUGGCUGGAUGAGUAUUACCAGUAGUGGCGUACAUACCUGGGUCACAGGGGUUGCGACUGCGACCGGGCCUGGCCCACCAGGGGGCCCAGCUGCCCUGCGACCCGGUAUGUACCCACUGUGGCCAGCCUCUUCUCCUGGGGGGCCCAGGAGCCGGCCACCUCAGGGCCCUGGUGUCACCCGGCUGGCAGGCUGGCAGGCACGCGAGGGAGCACUCUCCCCUGAGUGCUUCCUCUUCAGCUCCCUCGCGCACUGCACUGAUACCGGAGCCGGAAGAUGACGUCAUCUUCCGGCUCUGGUAUCAGUACGCGGCGCGCGAGGGAGCUGAAGAAGGAGCACACAGGGAAGCGUGCUCCCUCGCGCGCCCGCCAGCCUGCCCGCCAGGUGACACCACUGGACCCCAGGGAAUCCCCUCAGCUCUCCAAAAGGUAGGGAGGCUGGGGGGAUUAAACUUUAAAAAAAAAAAAAGUGUUAGUGUGUGUGUGUGUGUGUGUGUGUUAGUGUUAGAGUGUGUGUGUGUUAGUGUGUGUGUUAGUGUUAGAGUGUGUUAGUGAGUGUGGUACUGUGUGUGUCUGUUACUGAGUGUCUUAGUUUGUGUGCGUCUACUAGUGAGUGUGUGUUUUGUAAAUGAGUGUGUGUGUCUAUCAGUGAGUGUGUAUGUAUGUCCCUCACUGAGUGUGUGUCUGUCAGUAAAUGUGUGUGUCUGUUAGCUAGUGUGUAUGCAUCUGUUCAUGAAAGUGUGUGUGUGUCUUAAGCACUUACCUUUCUCCAGCGCUGGACUCCCUUGGCGCUGGGGAUCUCUCCGCCCCGAUCCGCCUCUAAGCUCCGAAUGCGAAUGCCUGGCAAGAGCCGCGCGCGCAUUCAAACCGCCUAUAGGAAAGCAUUACUCAAUGCUUUCCUAUGGACGUUCAGCGUCAGCGUCUUCUCACUGUGAUUUUCACAGUGAGAAUCGCAGAAGCUCCUCUAGCGGCUGUCAAUGAGACAGCCACUAGAGGCUGGAUUAACCCUCAGUGAAACAUAUCAGUUUUGCUGAAACUUCUAUGUUUUCAGCUGCAGGGUUAAAACUAGAGGGACCUGGCACCCAGACCACUUCAUUGAGCUGAUGUGAUCUGGGUGUCUGUAGUGGUCCUUUAAGUGUAUGUGUAUCUGCAUGCACUGGCGUACAUACCGCGGUUGCAGGGGUCGCAGCCCUGCGAACGCUGCGACCAGUUGCCCGCCGCCAUGUGUUGCGGCCCCAGCCCGCACAGAGUAAGCGCGCGGGGGGUCCCACGGAUCAGUUUUUGCACCAGGGCCCCAUGGGUUGUGUUUACGCCACUGAUUACCAGGCCUUGUGGUGGCAUGCGAUCCAGCUAUAUCCGUAGCUGAUCGAUAACAACCAUACCGAGGGUAAGGACUACGAUGGACCUGGUCUAUUGUGGGAGUCCUUUGAUGACAAUAUUGAGUUCGGAAGUCCUGAGGAGUUUGGAUUCUGGAAUAAUAGGAAAGACCUACUGGACCUCUUAGAAGUAACAAAGCUGAAACCAGCUCUGAUUCAUCUGGCCACCAUGGAGUGGGAGCUUCAGCUAGACAAUGAUCACUGAAGUGGCAUUUCUUACAGCCUGAAGUGACUUUAGCAGAGAUACUCAGCCAGAGAAUUGAAGCUUUGCUACAGGGGGUUAGUUGGAUGUGGAGCUUUUAGAAUCAGGGUCGCGGUUGCAUGCUUGAGGUUUGAAGGAAAAAUGCCAGAUGAGAGGGAAUGCCACGUCCUGUUCCAUUCUACGGAUAUUUCUGGCCUUGGUUUCUGUUAUCCAAUACUCUUUUUACAAUUCUUGUUUAGUUUUUCUGGUUUUCUAUUCUAUGUCUGGUUUUCUUUAUGCUGGGUUUUCUGGAUUCAUUCCUUUAUUGCGUUCCUGGAAUUCCCAGUCUCCUGAAUUCCCUUUAAAUGUUUGUUUUUUGUUGUCACACCCAUUCCUUUUCCAUUAAUCCUUUUUAUUUUAGAGUGUUUCCUGCUUGCAGUGGUUUCAUUUCCUCUGCACCUUUCCUUGCAGGUAAAUACUGUGUGCUUUAUGGUUAUACAUUUGGUCAUUUAUAUCUAGGCAGUUAGGACCAGUGGCGUACAUACCAGGGUCGGUAUGUACCCACAGGGCCAGCCUCUUCCCCUGGGGGGCCCAGGAGCCGACCACCCCAGGGCCUCCUGAGGCUGGCCCUGCUGACACCCGGCAGGCGGGUGGCCGGUCGGGCAUGCGGGCGCACGAGGGAGCACUCAGUGCUUCCUCUUCAGCUCCCUCGCGCACCGCACUGAUACCGGAGCCGGAAGAUGACGUCAUCUUCCGGCGCCGGCAUCCCUACGCGGCACGCAAGGGAGCUGAAGAGGAAGCACUGAGUUCUCCCUCGCGCGCCCGCCUGCCCGACCGGCCACCCGUCCAGGAGCCCAGCAGUACCACUGGACCCCAGGGAAUCCCCCCAGCACUCCAAAAGGUAAGGAGGCUGGGGGGAUUACAUUUAAAAAAACAAAACAUGUGUGAGUGUUAGAGUGUGAGUGUGUGAGUGUUAGAGUGUGCGUGAGUGUUAGAGUGUGUGUGAGUAUUAGAGUGUGUGUGAGUGUUAGAGUGUGUUAGAGUGAGUGUUAGAGUGUGUGAGUGUUAGAGUGUGUGAGUGUUAGAGUGUGAGUGUUAGAGUGUGAGUGUUAGAGUGUGAGUGUUAGAGUGAGUGUUUGUGUGAGUGUUAGAGUGAGUGUUUGUGUGAGUGUUUGAGUGAGUGUUAGAGUGAGUGUUAGAGUGAGUGUUAGAGUGAGUGUUAGUGUGUGUGUCUGCUAGUGAGUGUCAGUGAGUGUGUUACUGUGUGUGUCUUACUGAGUGUGUGUGUUAGUGAGUCUGUUUGAUGUCUGUUAGUGAGUGUGUGUUUGUCAAUGAGAGUGUAUGUUUUGUGAGUGUGUAUGUAUGUCUGUCGCUGACUGUGUCUCUGUCAGUAAAUGUGUGUGUCUGUUAGCUAGUGUGUAUGCGUCUGUAAGUGAGAGUGUGUGUGUCUUCAGCACUUACCUUUCUCCAGCGCCGGACUCCCUUGGCGCUGGGGAUCCCUCAGCCUCUCAGCUCUGAAUGCGACCGCGCACGCAUUCAAACCGCCCAUAGGAAAUCAUUACUCAAUGCUUUCCUUUGGACGUUCAGUGUGCUCCUCUAGCGGCUGUCAGUGAGACAGCCACUAGAGGCUGGAUUAACCCUCAGUGAAAUAUAGCAGUUUCUCUGAAACUUCUAUGUUUUCAGCUGCAGGGUUAAAACUAGAGGGACCUGACACCCUGACAACUUCAUUGAGCUGAUGUGAUCUGGGUGUCUGUAGUGGUCCUUUAAGUGUGUGUGCAUCUGCAUGCACUGGCGUACAUACCGCGGUCGCAGCCCUGUAACCCCUGCGACCAGGUGCCCACGGGGGGGGGGCCCACGGAUCAAUAUUUGCACCGGGGCCCCAUGGGUCAUGUGUACGCCACUGGUUAGGACCCACCCUAAUCAGAGUACUUUGGCGCAGUGGUGGGCUGCAUACAUCUUCGCCAUUUAUGUAUGUCUAAAUCUCCAAUGUUUAUUACAUAUAUAGUACUUAGUUAUUUCUCCUCUUGUUUUGCCUUGUAUCUCUUGUCUUGUUUUAUUUUGUCUUGUAUUCCCAGUUCAUGUACAGUCCUGUCCUGUCCUGCCUUGUCCAUGUUUCUCUCAUGUAUUGUGUACAUGUUCUGGGUUCUGCUUUCUGUCCUGCUCAGGUUCUGGGUACUUCCAGUCUUGUCUUGUUUUCUUGUUUGGUGCCUGUUCUAGUCUUGCCUUGUUUCUGUACUUGAUACUUAUCUGCUUAAUAUCAGCUCCUGGCAUCCGUUAAGCUGCAUCAGGCUCUGGUAUGUGGCCGCACAAACCCUGGUGCUCAACACCAGGGGGCGUGUCGUUACCGUGCACCAGACCCUGAUUGUCCAUUUCCACUCUGAGACUCCCAUCAUCCUCAUCAGGUACACAGGGGUCACGGUCUUCGGACCGCCACCCGUGACAGGGAAAGAUUUUAUAUUUUAGUGAGGGGCAGAGCAAGAGAAGGAGACCGAGUGUGAAUGACAUAUGAGGGAAAAGGAUUGAGGAAACAAGUAGUGGGGUGGCAAGACCAGAGCAGAGCAAAAAACUCUUCUGGUGUAGUAGGUGCGAGUGAACAUAGAACGGCGGAGUAAGUGGGGAUGGAGGAAGUAUUGGUAGGGAAAUGAGAGAUAUUAGAGAUUUCUUUCCUGAUCACAGAAAUCUUCUCAGUGAAGUGAAUUGCGAAGUUUGUAGUGAUCAAUUUAGUAGAAGGAAGAGCAGCAACAGUAGGCAUGUGCAUGGGGAAAAUUUUCGGUUCGGCAUUCUGAAAUUCGGGAUUUUCGCAAUUCGGGACUUCGGCAAUUCGCACUUCAGCAACUUCGGAACUUCAGCACUUCAGCACUUUGGAAAUUCAGUCAUUUCGGAACUUCAGGACCUCUGCAACUCGGCACUUUGGCAGUUCGGACAUUCGGAAGUACCCGUAUGUCCGAAUUUCCCGAAAUUCGUCCGAAUUCAUAUUCGGACCGAAACGAAUUGCACAUGUCUAAGUAACAGGGCGAAGAUAUCUGGACAUAAUAAUAAUCAACAGUUCCUUAACAGGUCUUAAAAUUAGGUAAAUGCAACCUCAGAUAAACAACACACCUACCUUACAUUGAACUUGUGAUGCACAUGAUCUGUGAAUGACUUUGGAUGCCUCAACUGCCCAACAGUGCUAAGGAUCCCAGAGGGCUUCACUGAGGACAGACAGAGAACAUUCCCAAUAAUUAUCUGUUCAUUCUACAAAUGGUUGUGAAUGGGACAGUGACCUAGGUCUGCAGAUCAACUGCAUGUAGAUCUGAUUCGGUGUACUUCUGUCCGUCCAAUCCUACAGCAAUAAAUCACACUUAAAAACAACUUGUUUUACUCUUCUCCCAACCACACAAAAACGUCCUACUGAAAUGAGCUAAGGGUGCAGAAAAUGCCAACAUAUUCCUGCCCUAUACAGAAGAAGACCUACGUGGUGGCAUGAGCGAAAAAAAUCUAUUGCAUUUAUAAGAUUUUACUGAAAAGCGAAUUCCAUUAUGAGUGUGCAAGUAAUGAAAUAUAAUAGCAUAAUCAAAAUAUGUGUUUAGGAAUUGUCUUAACAAACUAUGACUAUAUCAUAAGUUCAUGCACCUAGCUGAUGAAAUGCAGACAUGUCUUCCUACAGCGAUCCAUUCUCUCCAAUAUUAGCAGAACCUUGGAAUCCUGCCAUUGAUAGUUAAGGUGUUUUUCCCAAGUAAUUGUGUAUAAGCUAAUUGAUUGUAUUUAUUUGAUUUAUAGAUCCUGUGUUCAUAACACGAUAAUUGUAUAUCCUUGACAGGAAAUUACAGCAAUCGGUUGUAUUUUAAUGAUCAAUUUAAUGGUUAUUAUAGAAAUUAUUUAAAACCCAAGCUUGCUUUACCAUCAUGUUCACCCUUGCUCAAUAAAUUUAGUUAUUUACUAAAGAGUGAAAUGUCUGUGAUUUUGGCAAAAUAGCCAAACUGAAUGUUGACUUAGAGAUAUUAUUUUUCUAAAUUGUCCGUUUUAGUCUAAAAUUUGAAAUUCACUUGAAUUCCUUACAGUUCACUCUUUAGUACAUAGCCUUGUUUGUCUUUAAAACAAAAUAGCUUUUGCAGGUAAGCCUAGUGGUAAUGCUGAAUGUAGAUUUUAAAUUUAAGGUAAAAAUACCUGAACUGAAAAAAUUAUCUAAGUCAGCUAUGCUUUCUACUUAUGCAGGUGGAGCGCAAAAUCAGUUCCAAAGUCUCAGAAAGAUCUUGAGAUUGCUUCAACUCAGAUAUAUAUAAAAAUAGAAAACAUAUAAUAGUGAAGCACAGCAACAAUUAAAUACAUUUAUUUUCCACACUAGACAUAAAACACUCCUAUCCACAUCAAAGGGUCAGAGUCGUGGACAUUACAAUAAUAACAGAAAAAAUAGCCUCUCAAGAUUAAAAAAGUGAGUAUAGGCAGUCGCAGCUGCUACUCACAAAUGCUUAGUGGUGCCUCUGCACGGCUCGAUCAACACAGCAGCCGGCUUCCACACAUCCUCCACCAAUAGACAGUCUCACUGUGAACUCCGCCCACCAGUAAUUUCGCCGUUAAGCUUCAUCAGGACGUCAGACAGUAUCCCAUACUGUUCAAGUGAGCUGUGCAGAAACACUGGCAUUUGUAUGAUAUAUGAAGAUGUGACUUUAACCAGGUAGUGCAGAAAUAACCAUAUGAUUAAAUUAUAUAUCUCUCAUCCCCUUGAGCCUUCCCUGUGGUAAAGUAACACAACCUAUGGUUGGAACAAAUUAGGUUUGCUCAUCUUAACAGUAAAACAGUAAGAUAAGGCUAAGUAAUGGAUGUGAACACUUUUGAUGUAGUCAGAGGGACAAUAGAUCAAUAGUUAAACAUAAUACUCUCACCUUACAGAAACUGCACAAGGAUGCUGUUUGUAUGUGCUGUGUGUUUGUAAUCACAUAGACCUUGGCCCUCUUUCGACUUUAUUCUAGCACUCAUCCUCAUGCUAUUAUCUUGGCUAUCUCUUCUUUAACCCUUUCAUUUUCUCUAUAUAUUUUUGUGUUAAAUGGUUUUUUAUUCCGUUUGCAGUAUAAUAGCAGACAUAGAAUGAGUUUGAAAGUUUGGUGCAUUAUUGCCUGCGCAGAGGCUUAGUAUGUCUAAUAACAGUAAUUUUACAUGAGCCUACGCAGAGGCCAUAUAUGUCAAGACAUUAUAAUAUCAUUCAUCAUUACGUAGUGAGUACAUAAGAUCAGAGUCGGGUACAUGAGUUGCAUAUUACUUGGUGAACAUUUCUGGCAUGUGAGAGGUAAGUAGGGAUAAUUACUAGGCAUGUUUGUGUUGCCUUCCUUCUUGUUUCCCGUAUUUAGUGGUUUAGUUAGCUAGUUUAACAUUUUCCCUGAUGAGGGUGUUUUGCAUAGGUAGCGGGAUUCAUGCCGUGUGUGAGUACGAGUGUCGGGUGGGUAUGAGUGGUGUGGGCGUCUUCCGCGUCGUGUGACGGUGCUAUCAGGGUUAUCCCACGGUCUUCGAGUUGGGUAAGUAUGGGUUGGUUUUUCAGUCCGUGGAGAGUUAGAAAGAAAGAAGGAGAAAAAAAAAAGGGGGGGUUGCGUUGCCCCAGUCACCGCCCCUGCCUGCCCUAUAUAUAUUUUUGUUUCUAUAUGAUUGUCUUGUUUUAUGCCAGCUGUCAUCUUUCCUUCGUCAUUCCUUCUACCUUCUUUAUUUUAUUCCAGCUCUCUCUUUUCUUUCAAUUGAUCUAAUCUCUUCCAUUUUAUUUCCGUUAUCCGCAGACCUUUAUUUCAGUUAUUUCUCAAUUUAUUUUAUCUUUUAUUUAAGAUUUCUUCUUUUCUUUUAUUUCUACUCACUCUUCAUCUCCCUGUCCCAGCUACAACUUCCCAUUUGUAUUCCAGCUAUAAUUUCUUUCUCUCUCUUUAACAGCUUUUUAUAAGAGGCGCACUUUUCCAUAACUUCAGAAAUAGACAACAUAAAAUAAGCAUGAUGGUAUGUAUGUAAAAACGCAGUUCAUAAAUGCAUGUUUGUAGUUCAAACACGUGUCAGUGAAGUCAGAAUUCUUUAACUGCUCCGAAGUCAGUUACCAGAUGUUACAAUCCCAGAGUGUUAUCCAAAGGGGAAUUCACUAUAAAUAUGCAUGUAUCCAGUGUCUGAAUACAUGAAUGUCUACAUGCUUUUGUAAUGUUGUGUGUGUGUGUGUGUGUAUAUAUAUAAUUGUGGUGAAUAGACCUUGGAAGAUUGUUUUGCUACAAACUGCUAUUUGUCUGAAUUUGGUGAUCAGAGGAUUGUUUGAAUUCCUGAUUUCCGAAAAAAAGAUGAUUGAUGGCUAGGGCAGCCACUAAAUGUUAAUGUUUAUAAUAAAUGCUCUUACUCACAAAUCUAGUUUGUGCACUUGUUUAAACAUGAGUUGCACAAGGUUUAAGUAGUUUUUUAAAUUACUGUAUGAUAGCAGAAAAUAUUUGAGGACUGUAUUACUUUAAGAACUGCGUUUUUUAUUUAUGGUGCAAAUUAUUCUGAAAUUACCAAACACAACAUUUCAACAGAUUAUUUAAGCCACUGACACCUGGGGUGUGGUACAAGCUGAAUUUUAGCAAAAUGAGAACUAACGCCUAUUGGGAAUGUAUAUAUUUUCUCGAAUUAUCCACUUCAGUUUGAUUUGUGCUGAUUUUUUUGUGUCAGAUAUGCAGUUUUGAGUAGAUACUUAUGAGCUGAAUCCUUUUAAAGGGUUAUGCUAAGCAUCACUGCAGUCUUCUGUAGUGGCUAUGAUGCCAGAGAUUUUCUGGCCCCAUUCCCUGGUAAUAGGACAAACAAUUUUGCAGUGGUUUUCCCCCUUCCGUGAGUUCCCACCAGGCUCAGAUGCUCACUGGUGCUCCAGUGACACUCUUCCGGCUUUUCCAGAGCCGCAGAAAAUAUAAGCUGUGGUGUCCUCAUUUGUUGGCAGAGAGCAUUAGCUGAGCACUCUCAACCAAUGACUGCAAUUCUGUGCAAUGAAAGUUGCACAGAAUUGACAUUAGCCAGACCAUCACUCUAUUUCUGGGAUUGUGUAUGGCAACCCUAUGAAGCUCCUAGAGGUGGAGUUAUACCUAUGGCACCAAAAGGGGUUAAAAUCCAUAUGUGCAGCGUUUCAAUGACAAACACUGCACAUAUAGACUCCAGGCAACAUGAUCACUUCAAAUCCUUAUGUGCACAUGCCGGAUAAUAAGUCCAGGAUCCUUUAGCUUAUGUCAUCACUGCUAUUUUAUUAUUUCACGUAGUACGACGUGUUAACAUCGUGUGAUUUGGCUCACUUGACAGUAUUGUUUCUUUAUGAUGAACAUUUACAAAUCAUGAUAAAAUGGAUAAUUCAUGUCUGGGAUUUAUGCCCUUUUCCUAAUGAAAAAAAAGAAGCUGAAUUUCUCAAGUGUAUAAUUAAUUUCAACAGAUAAGAACUACAUAGUCAUGUGUCCUCCCUUUAAUUAAAUUAUAUUCAUGAGAAGAAGCAUCUAUGAGAUAUUUGUGCCAUUAGGGACCUACUUGCUUAAUUGUAGCAUUAUGAAGCUAAAGCAUUUUGUAUACUAUUAUCUUUUUAAUGUGUGUUCUAGUUUCGAAUAUGAUUAUUAAAUAAGAUGGUAUGCAAUUUUAUUGCACCAAGAAUAUAAGCAUUAUUUUUGUCUUUGUCAUAUUAAAAUAACUUACACAUCUCUACAGUAAAAACAUUUUCAUGCUACCAUACAAGAAGAAAUUUCUACCUAUCGACCUAUGUAUCGACUUAUUUAGACAUUAUUAAAACCCCACUAUACAGAGCUAUUUGACCUUAAUUUUCUUAAUGUUUUCUCCGAUCGUUGUCUUGUUAUCAGACUUCUCCUCUGUCAUUUUACUUCCUAUUCUCUCCUUCGUUCUUCUUUUAGUAAUGAAUUAAAAUAUGCCAUUUAAUAAUUAUCCACACAUUAGCGACUGCUGAUGAGUCACUUACGAUGUUGACGCAAUUGCAAUCUCUCUGUUUUUAUACUUUUUGAAAAUUGUUUUAUCAUUAAUGGCUCAGUGAAAAAGGGCCCUAUAACCUCAUUAUAUUUCACUUGCAAUCACUGAACUGGAUUCUAAUGGGUUAUUUUUGUAUGUUGUUGUUGCUGAUGUUUUUUUGGCUGUUGUAUUGGACAUUAUUAUUUUCCGUUGAGAACCUGUUACAUCAAUGUUAAUAUUAAAUCAUUUAAUUAUUUGUUUCUUUCUUUUUUAACAUUAGUACUAACUGUAGGGGCAAACAACAAAAAGGAAUUUACAUUAAGACUGUUUACUCCAGGAGGUUACCCCCCUUGCCUUCAAGCGAGAUGGGUUCAGGGCGCUUGAGAUAUAUUUCAGGGAGCUAGAGAACUCACCACCUCACUCCUCUGUCCUCAAGCAUGGAGGACAUAAUUUAAAAUAGCAGGCCAUAGCUAAGUAUGCCAAGAGAAACUGGAUGCUGAGCAAGCCUUUUGGAUGUUCCCCAUGGUUUUGAAAAAUUCUUUCAUAGAUGUCAUGUAUAAGCCCAUUCUUUAAAAAAAAAAAAAAAAAAGAUUUAUUAUUAGAGUUGAGCGGACACCUGGAUGUUUGGGUUUGCCAAGUGCGGUCGAACUUCGUCAAAAAGUUCGAGUUCGGCUCAAACUUGUCACCGAACUUGACCCCGAACCUCAUUGAAGUCAAUGGGGACCCAAACUUUUGGGCACUAAAAUGCCUCUAAAAAAGUCCUGGAAAGGGCUAGAGGGCUGCAAAAGGAAGUAAAUGGGGGUAAGAGUAGGACAAGUGCCCUGCAAACAAAUGUGGAUAGGUAAAUCACUUAAAAUAACAUAAAAUAAACAGCCGUUUAGUAGAUAACUCCCUAAUUCCCACGGUAUUAGGGAGCUAUCUACCAAAAGGCUGAAAGACCUAAAUUGGUCUGUCAGCCACAUUUACUAAUACUAAGUAAAUUCAGCCCCUAGUCGCUAUACCACGAGUAGGGACAUGUCUAGUAAACAGUGAGCAGCCACUGGCUGCUCACUGUAAAAACCAAAAAAAAACAAAAAACCCUAAAGUAAAAUAAGGGGGGGGGGGGACCUACUGUCCUCCCCCACAGCCCCCACCCCUGGUCGGUGAUUGGGGGUCUUAAAUAACAAUGAGAGGGGGACCUACUGUCCUCCCCCCGGGCCCCGACCCCUGCGCGGUGGGUGGGGCCCUAAAUACCAAUUAGGAGGGGUGGGGGCCCUUAAUUAGAAUAAGGGGGGACCAAAUGUCCUCCCCCCUGACUCCCACCCGUGAACGGUGGGUGGGGGCCCUAAAUAAAAAUUGGGGGGGACCUAAUGCCCUCCCCCCUGGCCCCCACCCUAAAUAAAAAUUUAAACCCCCCCCCUGUAAACCACCUCCCCCCAAAAAAUAACCCCUACCUACCCCCCUCAUCCUAAAAAUAAUGAGGGGGGGGCCCUUAUCUAAAUACCUGUAAAAAAAAAAAAUAAAUAAACUUACCAUUUGAUGUCUUCUUUCUUCAGCCCCAAAAAAGGCCAAAUAAAAAUCCAUAAUAACCGACGCACUUAAAAAAACAAACAAAAAAAAAUGAGUGCAAAUUUUUUUUUUAUGGUGGCCAGCCUAAGGCCUGUGCAAUAAUCGUGUUGUCUAAUCAGCAUCUUGAUAUGCCACACCUGUGAGGUAGAUGGAUUAUCUCGGCAAAGGAGAAGUGCUCACUAACACAGAUUUAGACAGAUUUGUGAACAGUAUUUGAGAAAGUAUUUGAGAUUUUUGAGUUCAGCUCAUGAAAAAUGGGGACAAAAACAAAAGUGUUGCGUUUAUAAUUUUGUUCAGUGUGUGUGUGUGUGUGUGUAUAUAUAUAUAUAUAUAUAUAUAUAUAUAUAUAUAUAUAUAUUAUAAGUUUUUAAGCUUUUGCACUCCUACCUCCAGCCAAUAGUAUCGGCUGCCCAGCCACACUGCAAUAUAGAAAGUAAUCAAUUGCCUUCACUCCUGGAUUUCCAACAUCAAUAUGGCUUAUUGUCUUGAACCGAUGUUUCAGUUCCUAGUUUGGAACUUUCAUCAGGACACACAAAAAACAUCUUAAAAAUGACAGGCUUAUAUACAGAAUAAAUGAAAGAAAUAAUUACUCACCACUAUCAGCGGUUUUCCAUGUGGAACGGCUGUACCGGAGUUAGGACGCUUGAUUGAAUCACCCAGAUGAUUCCAUGUGCGUCGUUGGCUAGGGCCACCCGUUCACUACAUACUUCUGGCGUCUAUGCGUUGCUCUGGCUGCCGCCGAUAACAAUUGGCUAUUGGCUGCUCAAAGGGCCGCUGACAGCAGACGGAAUCUGUGUGUGGAUCCCGCCCAUGCCUCAUGUGCAUCAGGACGUGUUUCCAUAGCAACCGGACGCCAGUUUCACUUAGACGGAAUAAAACUGAGUACAAACUUAGGUUAAUCCGAUAAAUUACUAAGUAUAGCAAUUAGAUUCAACAUAGAGGUAAUAUACAUACCAAUAUAAUUCAGCUUAUACUCCCCUAUAACCAUAAGCAAUAAGUAAACUUUAGAUAAACUAGCAAAUACUUGUGAGUCUUAGAGAGGGAACUUUUGUUCCAAUGUACUUGUGCAAAAGACAAACUUUAAAUAUGAUAACAUAAAACAUAAUCAUAGCAUAUUAAAUUCUGUGAUCCAUUAUUUAAGUGAUGGUCCAUACUUCGUGGGACCAAAGAUAAUUGUGUUAUUCCUACAAGGGAUACAUCUAAGACAGUAGAAUAGUACAAUAUCACUAAAGAAGUGCAAAUUUAAAGUGACCGUGCAUAGGACUAAAGUGACAGCGCUAAUGUUUAUUCAAAAAAGGUAGAGGGCAUCUCAAAAUAAAUAUGUACCCUGAUAAUCCAUAAUAUGGGCAGUGUCAGUGUCCUAAGUAAGUACUAGGUAAUCAAAUUAAUUAUUAAAAAAAGUGAAAAGUGCAAAAUAAAAUCUUAUAUGUGUCCCCAACAAGUCUGGGGACACGGCCUUAAAGGGGCAGUGUCCCAAUCUUCCUGAUGUCCCAAAAAAGGUGUUUAAAGGGCCAGCACCCGUCACAUAAAGAGUCCAUAAGCCCCAAUAUGCCCACCGACAGUCUUAAAGGGCCAUACACACCAAAUAAAAGUGCAUAUUUUCACAAUCUCCCAGGGGCCAUAGUCACGCGGGAGGAGGCUGGCAAAUAGGCUUCUCCACAACCCAGGGAAGCAGGGCAAUUUGCCAUUUAAAGGGCCCGUUACAAAUAGCAGCUUGUAACAAGGUGUCAAUCCAUAUCUGCCAAGUGACCCUAUGUAGGGGGACCAGUCCCUAUUCUGCUCUGUGUCAGUGUGUAUCAGGGAACCUUAGGACAGGUGUCAAUCCAUAUCUGCCAAGUGACCCGAUGUAGGGGGAACAGUCCCUAUUCUGCUCUGUCAGUGUGUAUCAGGGAUCCUUAGGACAGGUGUCAAUCCAUAUUUGCCAAGUGACCCGAUGUUGGGGUAACAUUCCCUAUUCUGAUUCAGGCCAGUGUGUAUCAGGGAUCCUUAGACAGGUGUCAAUCCAUAUCCGCCAAGUGACCCGAUGUUGUGGGUAACAUUCCAUUCUGCUCUUGUGUCAGUGUGUAUCAGGACCACUGGAUAGGAGACGCUGAAGGUAUUAAACUGAUAAAAAUAGUACUCAAACACUCCACUCCUAUCUGGUGUCACAUUAGCUUGACAGCGCAGUGCCCCAAAUUUGCAGUAAGAGGAUCCCACCGCUCUUCCAUCUCCCUGUUACAAAAAUCACGCCGUACACGCCCACUGAUAGGAGACGCUGAAGGUAUUAAACUGAUAAAAUAGUACUAAACACACCACUCCUAUUGCUUAUAUUAGCUUGAAGCAUGCCCCAAAUUUGCAGUAAUGGUCCCAUUCCAGCCUCUCUUCCAUUUAAACUAAAAAUCAAUGAGUAUUUUUGAAUCUGGUUCUGAAGUAAUGAAUGUAUAAUUAAGUUUUUGUUACUCAUGCCUAGUCUCCCUCCUUUGUGACCUGCUGUAAGGGAAUGACUGGUUUGUUGACGGUGUUACAGUUUUUCCUCUACAUAAUCACAGUUAUCACCCCAUUUCUAGAUUUAAUUUAUGCUCCCACAUGAAUGUGCGAAUAACAGGCGAGCAGAUUUUAAUAAAAAACUGGCAUGUUUAUCACUCAGAAUGACAAGAGGUGGCAGGAUGAAUAUUUUGUGUGUCUGCAUAGAUUGAUGCAACGCAAGCAUAAUAUAAUAAUCUGUGUCACAUAACUAUAAAGAUGCAAAUUAUAUUUGUUUUCCAUAGCUGAAUUUUAUAGGCAGUGAUCAUUUCUAAUUUUUGAAAGGGCAAAUAGGCACAUGUUUUUGCUCCAUAUCAUUAUGGCUAAUGAUAAUUACGUGCACAUGAUUAUUCCAUAUAAGAAGGGAUAUACUGAGACCAUAUUAUAUCAGGCUAGGGAACACAGGCAAUAUCAGUGCAGUAACAGGCCUGAGACAUGUGACUGCCACACAGCUGUACUUUGAAUGCAUAUGUAGUCUAAACUUAUAGAAAAAUCUAUGUUACUGUCAUUUGUCAAUUGUUUAUUACCCCCAAUUUCCAGCUAACUCAGUUUCUAUAAUAUUGUAACUCAUAUUAUGUUUUACAAUAUUAGUUAUGAUAAUACUGAAAUUAGAUUAUUUUCAUAAGGAAAUUGUCUCCUGAAGGGAUCCAGUUCCGGAUUUGCCAUAAGGCCACUGAAACCACAGCCUCGGGGUGGCACAGCCAGUGGGGAGAUCAAAGAUCUUCCUCACCAGCAAGCCUGUUUUUCUCUUUUUGGUCCUUCUUGGUCUACCCCAUAGCCCUGAUCUAUUGUACCAGAGCAUUAAACAGAUUACACAGUGACGCUCUGAUAAAUAUUGGUACCGAGCUGUUUGCAUGCACAAGGGGUGCAGAUAGCAACAUCUCCCACCGGACCACAGGGAUCAGGAUUUACCCUUAACUGGCCCAAGGUAAGUCUCAGGAGCAUUGGUUGUAACCCGCCGGAGGAGGCCCUGCCUCUUUCAUGAUGAUGCCUGGGAAGGAGGGAGCCUGAGCAUCUGAAACAGGUAAGUAAGAAGGGUUUUUAACCCUUCCCAGGCCUAUGCCCAAUACUUUGAGGCGCAUGGACACUAUGAUGCUAGAUUUGUAUUCCUAAUGUUAUAGUGUUCAUUUAAGUGGGCAGGUGGGAAGAUAAGUACCAGGAGCCUUUGCUAGUGUCCUCUGUCCUCUGUGAGCCUCCUAUGCUUGAUAGCAGAGCUCCAGAGAGUUUUAUAAGGUGUAAAAUUCAGUUCUGCCCCAGGUCUUCCAGUAUCUGUGUAUACAGUGUCGCUUUGUAGGCUGGACAGGAAGUGGAAGGCAUACGUACCCACUAACACAUGAAAUACAUAAAAAUCAGGGAAAGCACUGAGUGAUGUACAUUGUAUAACAGUUACUACAGCUCUGCUAUCAACCAUAUGAGUGACCGGAUUACUGAAGACACUAAAAUGUAACCCAUCCCAAACCUAAACAAACCCAUUCCUUAUUCCUUGAUUUAAGCACUAAUGGUUUUAUGACUGCAAUGUCCAAUGUGCAAUAGGAGAAGGGUGUCAGGGGACACAUUAGAAUUCUGUUACAAAAAAACAUGUCCUGCGCUCAAACUUCCAUCACUCCUGGGCAGCAGCAAUGACCAUAGUACACAUCAGUCUCAAUACAUACAGUAAAAACCAAAGAAAAAAGUUACCUGCGCUCUUCCCAAAUCCCUAUGCAUAUUUAAAAAAUUGAGGUUAUUUAGUUUCUCCAAUGGCCAUGAGAGACUUUAGCCCACCUGCCACGUCAAGGCAAACCUCUCAGGUGGGUCCUACACUAACGUUGCACCUUGCUUCCUUGAGCUUCUGGCAAAGAUAUGUCUAAUGAGAUAGAAAGGGGUAUUUUUUUAUAUACAUCCCUACAUGCUUAUUAAUCCUUAAUAGGGAACACAUGGGAUGGGCGGCAGCAUUGUAACAUAGCUCUGUGAUACAAAAGUGAAUACAAAUACAAAAAAAAAGUCCUGCACUCAUACUCCCAUCACUCCUAGGCGGCAGCAAUAACCCACCUGGGAGGUUUGCUUUGACGUGACAGGUGCGCGAAAGUCUCUCAUGGCCAUUGGAGAAACGAAAUAACCUCAAUUUGUUUAAAUAUGCAUAGGGAUUUGGGAAGAGCGCAGGUAACUUUUUUCUUUGGUUUUUACCUUCAGAAUUCUGUGCCUACAUGCACCGGACAUGUAAAUCCAUCCCUGAAAGUUAGAAAUGAGGUUUAAAGAGCUUGAGGAUGAAAGCCAGCACCCUACCAUCUUAAAACCUCACUAGAAGUCAUUGUUUGUGACAAAACACCUGAAAUAUGAAGAAGUCAGAAGUUGCAGAGAUAAGACGUUGCUGAGACUGUUGGUUUCCGAUGGCUGCAAAGUGGCAAUUUUAAAAUCUAGUUUGUUUCCCCAAACAUGCCCUAUUUGGGAACUUACUAAAAAUGCUAAAUAUGCAGUUUGGAAACCACUGCUGCAAAUGAUUCUGAAAUUAUUUUGGAAACUUGGUCUCCUUGAAAGAAAUGAAAGCAAAUCUAAAUAUUAUGCAUUUUAAUUAAAGGGAACACAUACUUAUAUUAAAACCUUUUAGACACAUUUGUAAAGGCAAACUCCAACUGAAGUACCAAUAAUGUCACAAAUAAUGCAUGUAAAAUUAGAUGAAAUCUUAUACUACCAUAAGAUAUUCUACAGGCAGCAUCCUAAAGUAAACAUGUAAUCAGGAAAAUAUGUCGGAAAUUGCACACAUUAGACAGAUAAUGCACACAUCAUAAUUCUAUGCAAAGUGAGAAAUGAUACAAAAGAAAAUUUACAGAAGAUCAGUAAUGUAACUUGAAUAUUUGCAUAAUUCGACAUAUAAAAUCACUAAAAGUAUUGCAAUAAUGUUCAUUUCAAGACCAGAAUAAAGAAAUGUUUCUAUUUUGUGGAAAAUGGCAAUUAUUCAUAACAUUCACAGCUACGUUUCAGCACCAUGGACAGAUAUACUGAUUCUUGUAGACAGUCGUGCCUAAGGCAGCUGAAAAUAUUUUAGUGUAGAUGCGACAUAUAAAAUCACUAAAAGUAUUGCAAUAAUGUUCAUUUCAAGACCAGAAUAAAGAAAUGUUUCUAUUUUGUGGAAAAUGGCAAUUAUUCAUAACAUUCACAGCUACGUUUCAGCACCAUGGACAGAUAUACUGAUUCUUGUAGACAGUCGUGCCUAAGGCAGCUGAAAAUAUUUUAGUGUAGAUGCAUCUACUACUUUAAGAACUGUAAACACUUCAAUGUGCUAUGUGGUCAUGAUGCCGGGAGAGUACUGGCGUUCCUCUAAAAUAAGUAGUCAUACCGUUUGCUAAUGUUUAGGCUUCUUACUUGGAGUCUACUGGGCACAGGUCACUUCCUCUAUGGAACUAAUACUAGGGCCAGAGCACUAGUAUAACGUCUCCAAAUAUCCUGUUGAUGACAGCCUUCCCCCCUCCUUCCAAACAGCAAAGGAGGCUUCAAAGGUCAUAUCAUUCAUACUGUCCUGGAGGGUGGUGGGCAGUGAAUGAUAUGUUUCAUAUGCCUCUUUAAAUUACAUUAGCAAUACAGAAAUGCCAGAAAUUACUAUACACAUUUCAAAUACCUUUAUUUAAAAUAAUAUAUGAUUUAACUGUACUUACUGUGUGUGGACAUUGUUCUAAAAUAUAGACAUUAUUUUUACAUACUGUUUACAUUUUUAGGUGUACUGCUGGUAAUAUCAUCAAGGUCCUUACAAUUCCUUAUAAGCAGGAUAUUUGACCAUUUUUAUAUCUAUGUUUGUCACACCUACUGUACAAGAGAAAAAUGCAUUUUUGUUUUAUAGUAACAUUUGAGACCAUAUGUGAAACAAUAUUAUUAUGUUAUUAUUUGUAUAACGCCAACAAAUUCCGCAGCGCUUUACAGUGGGUGGACGAACAAACAUGUAGUUAUAACCAGACAAGUUGGACACACAGGAACAGAGGGGUUGAGGGCCUUGCUCAAUGAGCUUACAUGCUAGAGGGUGUGGGGUAAAGUGACACAAAAGGUAAGGAUAGUGUUAGACUAAUGACAGUUGCAAGAGAGGAAUCAGUCGGGAGCUAUUAAUAGUUUAAUUGAUUUGCUUUUAUGAAGAAGUGGGUUUUUAAUGAUUUUUUUGAAGGAGUUCAGACUGGGUGAGCAUCUAACGGAGGAGGGAAGUGAGUUCCACAGGAACGGUGCAGCCCUCGAGAAGUCGAGAGGUGGGAGUAUGGAUAGAAGAUAAACGUAAGUCUUCAGCAGAGCGUAAGGGCCUAGAUGGGACAUACUUGUGUAUUAAGGAGGAUAGGUAGGUGGGAGCAGUAUUAUGUAGAGAUUUUAGGGAUAUCGAAAUCCCCAAGUAUAAGGGAAGGAGUGCUAGACGAGAGGAAGUGGGGAAGCCAGGAAGAAAAAUGUUCAAUGAAUAGCCUAGGAUGGCCGGGGGGAGGGAGGGGGCAGUAGAUUAUAUCAAUUCUUAAAGGAGUGGGUUUAAAUAGGCGGACAGUGUGAACUUCAAAAGAAAAAAAGGAUUGGGCAGGGGCAGUUAUGAUUGGUCGAAAGGUACAUUGAGGGGAGAGAAGGAUGCCUACACCACCUCCUUUAUAGUUGAGUCUGGGAGUUUGAGAGAAUUGUAGCCCACCAAAACAUAAAGAGGCAGGAGUAGCGCUAUCAGAGGGGGACAGCCAGGUCUCUGUAAGUGCAAGUAGAGUUAGUGAGUUUGAGAUGAAAAAGUUGUGUAUGGCUGUUGAUUUUAAAUUACUGCAGAUGGAGCGGAGGUUCCAGAGUGCCCACUGAAUGUUGGUAAGUGAGGGUAAAGGGCAGGGUAUUGUGAUUAGGUUCGUGGGGUUUCUGUUUUUUUUUAGUGUGUGUAGAGAAAGUGAAGGGCCCUGGAUUGGGAGAGACAUCACCAGCUGCUAGAAGCAGGAGGAGAGAAAGUGAUAGGAGUUGUGAAUGGGUUUUGUAUGCAUGGGAUCUAGGAUGAGAUCGAUUGUGGGUAGAAGAGCAGAAACAUGAGUGCAAGGCAUGAGAUGAGAGAAGGGGAGUGUAGCAGAGAGGGGCAUAUGUAAAUAUGGAUGGGGGGAUGAGUGAAGUGGGUGUAAGGAGAGGUUUUUAUACUGAGGGAGAAGGAGAAAAUAAAGAGAAGGAGAAGACAGAUCAUUGCUAAACUGGGAAAAAGUAAAUUGGAAAUAAUUGGAAUAUCAAGAGCAGGUGAAGGUAGGGUAAAUAUUAAGUUUUAUGGGUUAAGAAAGUGCAGGAGUGUACUAAUAAGAGGCAGUGUGUACACAUGCUAUUUUUACUUAUCUAAAAUUUGAGUGUGACAGACAAUCUAUAAAUGUAAUAAUGAGCAUGGGGUGGGGUGGGGAGGGGAGGAAGGGUAUCAGACUUUCUUACAUCAGUAUUGGGGCUUGAUAGUUUUGAAAUCAGGCUGUGGAAUAAAGAUAUGUGAGGGUCAGAUAGGCUUGCAAUAAAGCUGAGGGAGGGGGAUAUGUAUCUAGGCAGAGAGAUGAAGAGAUAGUUAUUCAAAUAAAAACAAACAUAUCAAUAAAAGAAGGGAGGGGUCAGAGGUCAGUCAGAAAUCAGAGGGGAAAUAGAGGAAUGCAUAUAGGUGAAUAAAACCAUUACAUACAGGGCUAGAAAAACUACACUUUAGCAUGACAGACAAGAUAUAAAGGCAAGAAAAUAUACGAUGCACAGAGGAUAUAUAAAAUAAAUGUACAGGGUGGUUAAAUUAAAUAUAAAUGAUGCUGUGCAGUAUAUAGUCUUAGUGUUGUCUUCCAGAAGGCUACCUUUGCUUAUUGCAGUCGAUCAGCCGAUGGAGCACAGACUUUCUUACAGCAGUAAUGAGGCUUGAUAGUUUUGAAAUCAGGCUUUGCUUAUUGCAGACGAUCAGCUGAUGGAGCACAUACUUUCUUACAGCAUGGAAAGUUUCCUUCUCCCAAUGUUUCAAUAAAGCAUGAAGGAAUAAGUGAAAAAUAAAAAUGGUGUAGAUUUGCAUCAUUUUAAUUUCUUUGCUUUCAUGGCAAUCGAUACACAAAGUUGCUGUUUCCAUCAUAAUUCACAAUAGACAUUUCAGGAAAACAUAUACUUGUCUCUUAUGCAAGAACAAACACAGCGCAACUAAAAAAGCAGGGUGAUAAUUUGCAUUGGUGCUCGUUCAUAUGUUCUUUUAAGGAGAGUAAUGAUAAAAUCUUGAUUCUAUAUUGCCCAUUAAUUCUGCUGUGUGAUAUCAGCAGCCCUUGAGGAUAUGAGAUGUACACAUCACUGAUUUAUGGUAAGCUGUACAUCUUGCUCUUUCAGCGAAGCUCUGAGUCACUCAUUGAUUCACAGAUAGAAGUAUAUUAGUAUAUUAGUCAUGUCAUUUUUGCUAUAGCUUAGAACCAUAGAGAAUGUGACUGAGACUGGGGAGGAGAAAACUGGAUGUUUUAAACUGGAUGCAGUGGUCACAGCCAGAGUACACAAACAUUUACCCAAAUUAAUGGAACUUUAUGAGUCAUUGGCUCCCUGUUAAUGCUGUGAUAUCACUUUAUUUAAUUUCAUUUUAAAUCAACCAAUGUAAUAGGAUCCAGAUUUACAUUGCAUGCUACAAGCAACAUAUAUCGAACUUUUUUUCGGUCUGUUGGUAAUUUAUGGGCAAAAUUUAAUCUGUAAUGUAUACUUAAAAAUAUAUAAUUAGUGACAAGUAAAGUGAGAUCUGAGAAGGCCUUUAUUGUCUUUACACUUGAUUAGGUUUAUUUAUGAAAAUGGCUGUGACCGAAUUACUUUUAAAACACUAAGUGAUCGAUUUGGUAAUACUUUCACCCUUGUACCUGCAUGGUAAAUAAAAAGUCAGAGCAGGAGCGUUGCUGGGUUCCAUAAACAUGUGGAGAUUGUGUCAAACAGCAAAAUCUGUAAACGCCUACACUAAAAGAAAUGUGGUGUAUGUCAUGACACAUCUUCAUGUUAACACCCUUAGAGGAGGCUUUGGCACCCCUAUAUCUAUGCCACCCCUUGCAGUGAAAAGGCCUAAAAGCUUUGGCAUACACAAAAUGACCUUCAUGCACAUAGAAAUCUGAUAGCAUGCUUCUGGAUAGAUUAAAGGCUAGGCCUGUAGUUGUGGGAGGGCUUAGGUCACUUUUAAGGGACACCAAUCCUCUCUCUCUUACCGUUACUGGUUUGGUGAUUUGCCCCUCCCACCGCUCCCUCUUUUCACAUCAGCCUCAAAGGUGGGCCCUCUUUAUUACAGGCCUACCCCAUCAUCGGUUCCGGUACACCACAACCGACUUGUGCUUUUUACUAUUGUGUUACAUCCAUAACUUCAUUCAUUACAGCAAUAUUGCCUCAAACACAAAUAUAUACAUAUAUAUAUAUAUAUUCUAGCAACUGUCAAGCAUGUUGAAUAUUAUCUUAUAUUAUUUAUAUUAUUAUUUUUUUUAAUGAUACCUACCCAAUCUGUAUAUGUAAUGCUGAGUUUUUCACUGUAUGAUUAUACUUGACUCUCAGUCAUGACAUGUGUCUGUUGCAUAAUCUUUAUAGACCUAUGCAUUGCUAUUACCAUUCUGUUACCAUUAUUCUUAUUCUGCAUUUACAUCUUGUGUCUCUAUUAAAUUUCCGUGAAAAAAAAAAGAAAAUCAGAGACCUGUCCAUGCAUAGAGAGAGUGGAUAUUGCUAGCACAAGCCUUGCACCCUCUUUCCUACAGUACCCUGUCAAAGACAACCCAAUCCACAUCUCUCUUCAUUUAAUCAACAGUCGAAUGCUACUGGUGAGGCAGUGGCCACAAAUUGUACAUGUUAGUGGCCUGGGGAGCAAUUACUCCUCUUGCCAGCCCUCCCCUUAUAUGUCUUAUGUAAGUCCUCCUUUUAUGCAGUAUAAUAGGAAAAAGGCUGUAUGCAAUGAAUUGCUUUAGCAAUAAGUGACACACGAAGAGAUUAUUGAAUUGACAUUGUGACAUAUUAAACAUGUAGGUUGCAAUGUUGCUUUCACAUAUAGCAAUUCCAUUGCUCCAAUAUUGUCACCUACUCUUUGGGAAUAUACUUUCAUCCUAUUUUCCUUUCAUAGUGAUGGUGCUCAACUGGUGUGCUCCUCUUGGCAUCAUAGCUCUAUAUACUUCAAUGAUAUUUCUUGAUGGUUUUCAAAUUACCCCUGUCCAUGUCUAUUUUUCAUAAAUUCAUUCUAAAUUUUGAUUUCUGGAAAAUGAAUGUGACCUUUUUAUGCCUCCUAAUAGGUGUCAUCUUGAUGGGACAGUCACAAACAGCCUAAAGUAUUACUCUAGGCAUUAGGGAAGAACAGAAGAAAAAGGGCAAGUUUUGUAUAGUGUGUGAUCUGUACUCUGUCAUAUUCAAUUCACUGUGACGCCCUGCUCCAGGGAACAUAGCACCUCGCAAAUGGCACUUGUACUGCCGGUGAUGACUGUGGCUACUUAUUCCUUUAUUUUGCAUGUUUUGACACACGUUCACCAUGAUUUAACCUUUUGUCUACGAGAAAGAGUUUUUUUUUAAAUUUUAUUUAUUUAUUUAUUUUCAAUAUUAAAUUCACACAUAUUGAAUCGAAAGAAGGUAUUUAAAAUGUGUGCAUCUUAUAUAUUUGGUAAUGCUGCCUGUAAAAGGAACCUUCUAUAAAGAUUAUAGUUGAGCUGAAGAAUUAAGAUCAAACUAGAACAAAGGGGAACAAUGUUUGAAAAGGCAGAAAUCACAUUCAAUGAGACCCUAGAGCAGAGAUAGGCAACCUUAGGCACUGCAGAUGUUUUGGACUACAUCUCCCAUGAUGCUUUGCCAACAUUUUGGCUGUAUGAGCCUUGUGGGAUAUGUAGUCCACAGCAUCUGGAGUGCCAAAGGUUACCUACAUCUGCCCUCGAGUAUACAAUUUGCAGUCAUGUACAUGCAACAUUAGCUGUCAGAUAAUACAUUUUUUUUUCAUUACAAAUACAAAUUUAUCUCUCCCUUAAUAAUGUGUAUAACGCUUGAUGUAGAUUUACUACAAUGUAAAAACUCCAUCUGUGAUGAUUCACAAAAACAACUUCAUCUCUCUAGUGCAGGUUGAAGGUAUAAUAAAUGUAGAGUAUAGUUUGUACUUUCUGUUCAAUUACAAGCACUUACAGUGAUAUAUACCAGAGACUGUCAGAAGGAACAAAGACUUACUUUGUAGUCUACGUUUCUAAUAUAGCCAUCUCUAAAGCAGAUUGCAACUUCAGCAGGUAAAUAUGGGCCUACCCGUGCUCAGUAAGGUUCUAUGAAGUUCUGAAACAGAUCGUUAAGUUGAGUGAAAUACUCUGCAGCUUUACUGCAGAUUAACACAACUGCGGUUAUAAUCAACUAACUAAGCAAAGUAGCAGAUUAGUUCCGCUUCCCUUUCAUCAAACUAAUUUGUGUAAUUGUUAUGUUGGGUUAGACCUUGUUUUCAUGAAGCUAUGCCUGGUAAAGCAAUAAAUGUUUAUUAGGCAUAGUAACAUUCGUUCGGUGUAAUGAGGAUUAUAGGCUACCAGCUGCAUUGUUUGUAUGUCCUUCUAACAAAAUGGCCGUUGAUGGCAACUACGUGACCCAACUGGCUCGCUCUCUGCUAUAUUUUAUGGAUGCUUUUGCCUGUUAUUUUAAAACAAUGUUUUUGCUACAAUAAUGUAUUUAAAGCACUCCUCGUUCAUUUAAAAAAAAAAUGUUGGCAUAUCUGUUUAUGAUAUAUUGCAUAACAUAUGUUCUUUAAUACUUUAUAGUGAACAGUUUUAUGUGUGGAACACUGCACAAAAAUGUCUUACCCAUCCAAAACAUUGUAAAAGUUAACAACGCUAUAAAACUUCAUGCAAAAUAAAAGGGGAGGGAGAGAAUGUAAGAGAGGAAACAGGUGAAGUCUGAAUUAGGUGUCUUUGUAUUGGGUAUCCCAACAAAUAUAAAACUGUAACACACAACUGACUGUUUUGGAAUGACAUUCUUAGGUUAAGUACUCUUUGUUUUAUAGCCUGUAGGGAAAUGUAAACCUUUUUUUUUUUUCCUUUCCUUUUUUUUUUCUUUCUUUCCUUUCUUUUGUCGAGUACAAUUGCACUGAUUGUUUUUUGCUGUGUAACUUCUCUAAUGGAUAUAAUGCAAGGUCCUGAAGUAUUCAUCUAAAUGUUCUGACUGUCACUCCUCAUUCUAUUGAAGCAAGGAAUUAAACACAGACCUGGAGCUGCUGACAGACUGCAAGAGCAUUAGGAGGUUUGAUAUUGGAUGCAGAAGCUUACUUACCACUAAUGCUAUCUAAAAUCAGUCUCUCUGGUAUUGUAGCUGACAUUUUGAAUAUGUCCCCGAGGAGGUAUCGGCCAUCUUGGAUUUCGUUGUGUUGGAAUGCACUAGAUCUUGGCUUCAUGUUUUGAAAUGUUCUUUGCCAGAUCUGUGUGUAAACUCAAAAGGGUAUUUUUUUUUUCUACCAAUUAGGGAUUUGAAAGAAUUGAAUUUAUUGUCAGGAUAUUGUAUUUUUUUUUGAUUGGUUAACUAAAAUAAUAGAUCAGGCUUGUGCAGUAGACAUUGCUUACCUAGAUUUCAGUAAGGCGUUUGACACUGUUGCACAUAGAAGGCUUAUCAAUAAAUUGCAAUCUUUAAGUUUGGAUUCCAAUAUUGUUGAAUGGGUAAGGCAGUGGCUGAGUGACAGGCAACAGAGGGUUGUAGUCAAUGGAGUAUAUACGAAGCUUGGGCUUGUCACCAGUAGGGUACCUCAGGGAUCUGUACUUGGACCCAUUCUCUUUAAUAUUUUUAUUAGUGAUAUUGCAGAAGGUCUUGAUGGUAAGGUAUAUCUUUUUGCUAAUGAUACUAAGAUAUGUAACAGGGUUGAUGUUCCAGGAGGGAUAAGCCAAAAGCCAAAUGAUUAUAGGUAAACUAGAAAAAUGGUCAGGGUUGUGUCAAAUGACGUUUAAUGUGGAUAAGUGCAAGAUAAUGCAUCUUGGAUGUAAAAACCCAAGGGCAGUGUACAUAAUAUUUGAUAGAGUCCUAACCUCAACAUCUGAGGAAAGUGAUUUAGGAGUAAUUAUUUCAUAUGACUUAAGGGUAGGCAAACAAUGUAAUAGAGCAGCAGGAAAUGCUAGCAGAAUGCUUGGUUGUAUAGAGAGAUGUAUUAGCAGUAGAAAGAGGAAAGUGCUCAUGCCAUUGUACAGAACACUGGUGAGACCUCACUUUAUUGUAUUGUACGCAGUACUGGAGACCGUAUGUUCAGAAGGAUAUUGAUACCUUAGAGAGGGUUCAGAGAAGAGCUACUAAGCUGGUUCAUAGAUUGCAGGAUAAAACUUACCAGGAAAGGUUAAAGGAUCUUAACAUGUAUAGCUUGGAGGAAAGACGAGACAGGGGGGAUAUGAUAGAAACAUUUAAAUACAUAAAGGGAAUCAACACAGUAAAGGAGGAGACUAUAUUUAAAAGAAGAAAAACUAACACAACAACAUAGUCAUAAAUUAGAGGGGCAAAGGUUUAAAAAUAAUAUCAGGAAGUAUUACUUUACUGAGAGGGUAGCGGAUGCAUGGAAUAGCCUACCAGCGGGAGUGGUAGAGGUUAACACAGUAAAGGACUUUAAGUAUGCGUGGGAUUUGCAUAAGGCUUUCCUAACUAUAAGAUAAGGCCAGGGACUAAUGAAAGUAUUUAGAAAAUUGGGCAGACUAGAUGAGCCGAAUGGUUCUUAUCUGCCGCCACAUUCUAUGUUUCUAUGUUUAAUAAUUUAUUUCUUAAUUUAACUGCUAAGCAUGUUUUAAUUGUUUGUUUUAAAUAUAUUGCAGUUGCUCAGUUUCUUGUGCUUCUAGUGUUCUCUACCAGGGAUCCCGCCUAUUGGGUUACACUUUGAUCCAUCACGGCAACCCCUCAUAUUCAAGCUGACUUUUUCUUGGCUUGUUAAGCUGCUCUUUCUGCAAAACCCGACUUAUAUUACUAGUCAACUCAGUCCAGGAAUGGGAUACUGCAGCUAUUAAGGAUCGUUCAAGCUUCUCACUGCCCUCUGUACCCUUUAAGCAAUACUCAAAACAGAUCACACCUUAGACUUACAUAGACUUUAUUUAUAAAUAUUUUUUUUUAAUUUAAUUUUUUUUGCAGUGCAUAGUUUAACAAGCAUGCAGGGAUAUUUCAAAAUAUAUGAUAAGUAGAACAACAACAUUGCCAUGUGAUAUCUCAAUAGUAGUACUGCACGUUUUGUAUCAAUAUGGAAUAGACUUAAACACAUUCCUCAGACAUGGAAUGGGUUUUUAAUCUUAAGACACUUACCCUGAAGGUCUAAAUGCAGAUUUUGACCUUUUUAAUUUUUUGUAAACUAACAUUUUUAUUAAUUAAUAUUAACUAAUAUUUUAUAGAUUUUACGUAUUAACCCUUUUAUCUUGUUAUAUACUUCUCCUAUUUCCAUCUACAUCUCCAUAUCAUCAUAAGAACCAAUAUGUUUUAUAAUGUACAACCAAUUAUGUACAUACUCCAUGAAAAGUAUUUUAGGAAAUAAAAAGAUGAAGUGGUUCUUUAAUUUUAAUUUAAUUUAUAUGCAUUAGUCCCAGAAGGUAUUAAGGCUGAGUUUAAAGGACCACUAUAGUGCCAGGAAAACAUACUUGUUUUCCUGGCACUAUAGUGCCCUGAGGGUGCCCCCACCCUCAGGGUCCCCCUCCCGCCGGGCUCUGGGGAGAGGAAAAGGGUUAAACUUACCUUUUUUCCAACGCCGGGCGGGGAGCUCUCCUCCUCCUCUCCGCCUCCUCUCUUCCCUUUUGGCUGAAUGCGCACACGCAGCAAGAGCUGUGCGCGCAUUCAGCCGGUCUCAUAGGAAAGCAUUCAUAAUGCUUUUCUAUGGACGCUUGCGUGUUCUCACUGUGAUUUUCACAGUGAGAAUCACGCAAGCUCCUCUAGCGGCUGUCAAUGAGACAGCCACUAGAGGUUUUACAGGCUGUUUCUCUGAAACUGCUAUGUUUAUUAAAAAAGGGUUAACCCUAGCUGGACCUGGCACCCAGACCACUUCAUUAAGCUGAAGUGGUCUGGGUGCCUAGAGUGGUCCUUUAAUUGUCUUAUAUUGUUUUCUAACUUUUCAUAACUAAAUACCUUCUGACUAUAUUCUAACAUUUAAACCACCAAAACAUAUAGCUGAUGUAAGUGUGUGUAUAUUAUACUUUAUAGGUUUAAAUGCUUACUUGACACAUAAGUUUGUCCUUUAUAAAUAUGCUAAUAUCCGUUACUUGUAUGCCUGUCACUUUAAAACCUGUCCCCUGUCCUUUUUUACAAGUAACUAUAUAUUCACUUAUAACUUUCUACUCCCCUCCCUCACUUUGCCCUUAAACAAGAUGGCCGCCACCUCAAUAUCCUAUAUAGAUUACCCUUGUACUAUUUCACUCUUCUAUGAGUGAUUCCACCCACUUUCAUUCAGUAUCUAAUCCCCUCCAAUUUCUGCAAUUAGGACCGCCCCCUUUCUGAUCACGAUCUGUAUUUCGGACGUGAUCAGCACUACAUUUCCCAUCCUGCCUCACGGAAAUUGCCGGUCUCAUCCACUCCUCCUCUAAUAUUCCCCUCCCACUCCUACACUUCAUAAUAGUAAAGGUAUUUGUUACGAAAUACCUAAAAAUAUAUAUAGGAGUCAAAAGUGUAAAACUACAAGAGCAAAAAUAAAGUGCAGAAUAAAUAAAUAUGGAACCACUCACAUUCUCUUGAGCUAUAAACAUAUGAAAGUAUUUAUCCAAUUGCAGUUUAAACAUCUGUAUGGACUCUGAUAAAACCACCUCUUCAGGCAGAGAAUUCCAUAUCCUUAUUGUUCUUACAGUAAAAAAACCUUUCCUUUGCCUUAGAUUAAAUCUCCUUUCUUCCAGCCUAAAUCUGUGACCUUGUUUAUAGCCCUGUUUAUGAAUAGAUUUCCAGAUAAUGGUUUGUACUAGCCCCGAAUAUAUUUGUAUGAUGUUAUCAUAUCCCCUCUGAGGUGCUGUUUUUCCAAACUAAAGAGAUUUACAUUUUUUAACCUUUCUUCGUAACUAAAAUGCUCCAUUCCUUUUAUCAAUUUUGUAGCUCAUCUCUGCAAAUUUUCUAGUGCCAUGACAUCCUUCUUUUGAAUAGGUGCCCCAAAUUGCACAGCAUAUUUAAGGUGUGGUCUUACCAGUGACUUAUAAAGAGGCAAAUUUUUAUAUUUACAUCUCGAGAAUUUAUGCCCCUAUUUAUACACGACAAAACCUUACUGGCCUUAGCAACUGCAGAUUGACAUUGCCUAUUGCUGCCUAAUUUGUUGUCUAUAACAAUGCCCAAAUCCUUCUUGUGUGUGGUUACCCCUAAUUCCUUUAGGGUGUCAGUUGCUUGUGCAUUCUUGACCCCGAAGUGCAGAACUUUGCAUUUCUCUACAUUAAAUUUCAUCUGCCAUUUUAGUGCCCAAUCUAUCCAAAUCCCUCUGCAGCAAAGCAAUAUCCUGCUCACAUUUUAUUAUUUUACAAAGUUUUGUGUCAUCUGCAAACACUAAACAUGGCUUUCAAUGACUCUUGCAAGAUCAUUUAUAAAUAUGUUAAAUAGAAGCGGUCCCAAAACAGAACCCCGAGGGACACCACUUGCCACUUUUGUCCAGCUUGAAAAUGUACCAUUAAUUAACCAUAAAUUGUGCUCCUUUGAUUGGUGCUAGGAAUAGAACCAUAAAUCUCGAGGCAACCAAACAUAUUAGGCCAAUGCACUUGUCGUUUGCUAGAAACAAAAUGAAUCCGAACGGUCUCAAAUUAAGUUUAAUCAAGUGCACACGUCUGAUAUCUAUACAUACAUAUAUACAUAUGUAUAUAUAUAAAAUAGUAUAUCUGCAUACACAUAGCCACACAAAUAGUUGUAAAGGUCACUACUCUUAUGAACUGAGUUAUUUCACUUGCAUCUCUAUCAGAAAAAUAUCAUCCAGCAAAGUACUGCACUAGGCCAAUCAAACAACUGAUUUAUGGUCCCCAUCAGAGUAAUAGUAAGCUACAAAUCAUACACACAAUGCAGUUUCAGCAAAAAGAUUAUGACUGCUCCAUUUUGAUUGCAAAACCCAUUGAUGAGAUAUGUGAUAUUUUGAAGCUGGUGUGUUAAAUAAAAAAAAAAUGUAAAGGAAUGUUAAUUAUUUGUAUACCAAAGAAUACCAAAGUAAAUAUACCAAAAAAAUCUAUUUAAAAAAAAACAAACAAACAUAACCACCAGACUUAUUGUGGGUACAAUCAUCUGUUUCUGUAAGUAUUAUCCCAUUUGUUACUUUAACUUUAACAUUUAUAUACACCAUUUCACUAAUAGGAACACAGAAAAAUUAGUUAGGGAAAAAAAACAACAACAAGACACAUGCUAUGGAACAUUAUUAAUGAAUGACUUAGAGGUUCUGUACAGCUACAUUUCAUGCUUUGUGUAAGGCUCACAUAAUGCGAUUGGGCAACUAUUCUCUAAAGAUGCGCAGGAUAGGUACAUCAUUUCAGAAAUGUACUUAUUAAGCUCCAGAAGGUGUCUUCUGACAUAUCUCAUGAGUUCUAUUCUGAAGAAAAAUGUGUACUACGUUUAAAGAACAGCUGACUGAUUAGUGCAUGAACAUUAGCAGCUAGUCAAGAGUGAAACACUAAUUAUUCCCAAGACCUUUAGGACCGCUUACUUUAAGGAACAUGUAUGACCUAGAUAAUUUUCUUUUCAAAUCAGAGUGCCUUUUGUUCAAAAUAUUUUACAAGUAACGUUAAAGAAAAAUAUAUGGGGGAAUAAUAAAAAAAAGAGGAGGGACAAUUACCAUUCAUAAAUCUAUAAUCAAAGAAUACAAUUGUUUUAUAGAAUUAAAGAACGGAACUUUCUCCACUAUAAAUUUAUGCUGCGCUCAUACAGCUUGGCUCUUUCCUCUGCAAAAGUAAAUUACUUCAAUACCCUUAUAACCACACUCUCCCGCGAACCCAAACAACUAUUUCACUCACUACUCUCUUCUUUGCGCUAUUGUUCCUCCUCCACCUACUAACUUGACUGUCUCAGACUUUGCAACUCACUUCACUGACAAGAUUUCUACAAUCAGGAAAGAGAUCUCUCAUCUUUCUUCUUCCCCUUACAAUACUUCCCCUAACCUCACUCCCUCUGCUGUUCUAUGUUCAUUCGCAUCCACCACAGCGGAAGAGGUUUCUGCUCUGCUCCAGUCCUCCCGCCCCACCACCUGCUCCAUAGAUCCAAUUCCCUUGCAUCUCAUCUGUACUCUGUCUUCUUCUCUUUCUCUACCUCUCACUAAAAUUCUCAAUUUCUCUCUCUCCUCUGGCAUAUUUCCAUCACCCUUCAAACAUGCAACUGUAACCCCAAUUCUAAAGAAGCCCAACCUUGACCCUAACUCCCCGUCCAAUUACCGUCCUAUCUCGCUACUGCUGUUUGCAUCCAAGAUCCUUGAAAUAGUUGUGUAUGCGAGAUUGACAGACUUCCUCGAGUCCAAUUCUCUGCUAGACCCGCUUCAGUCUGGUUUCUGUGCUAAGCACUCUGUAGAAACAGCACUGACCAAAGUAUCUAAUGAUCUACUCACUGCAAAAUCGCUUGGUCGCUACUCUAUCCUAAUCCUCCUUGACCUUUCUGUGGCUUUUGACACUGUUGAUGAUCAAGAUAUUGCUCUCUCCUGGUGCUCCUCCUACCUCUCCCAGUGCUCUUUCAGUGUUUCUUUCUCUGACUCUGCUUCUUUUCCCCAACUCAUCUCUGUUGGUGUCCCCCCAAGGUUCAGUACUUGGUCCCCCACUGUUCUCCAUCUAUACUGCCUCCCUUGGUAAACUCAUUAGCUCCUUUGGCUUCCAAUAUAAUUUCUAUGCGGAUGACACGCAAAUCUAUCUGUUCUCUCCUGAUCUCUCCCCGUCCCUCUCUGCUAUUGCUAACUGGAUGGCUGCCCACUUCCUUAAACUAAUCUUGACCAAAUCUGAAAUUCUGGUCUUUCCUCCCUUAAGUGUUGCUACUCCUGUGUCUGUCUCCCUCCAAGUCAACGGUGCUACCAUCAACUCCACCAAACAGGCUCACUGCCUAGGUGCUCUCUUUGACUCCGACCUCUCCUUCACACCUCAUGUUCACACCUCAUGUUCACACCUCAACUUGACCAAAUCUGAAAUUCUGGUCUUUCCUCCCUCAAGUGUUGCUACUCCUGUGUCUGUCUCCCUCCAAGUCAACAGUGCUACCAUCAACUCCACCAUGCAGGCUCGCUGCCUAGGUGCUUUUUGACUCUGACCUCUCCUUCACACGUCAUGUUCAGUCUAUCGCCAAAUCCUGCCGCUUCCAUCUCAAAAAAUUGCGUGCAUCCGACCCUACUUAACGCCAGAUGCGACUAAGGUGCUGGACCAUUUCACUGUCCUUUCUCACCUUGACUACCUUCUCAGUGGUCUUAUGUGCUCCCAACUUGCUCCGUUACAGUCCAUAAUGAAUGCGGCUGCCAGGCUCAUCUUCCUGUCCGCCCACACCGCCCACGUCUCACCCUUCUUUCAGUCCUUACAUUGGCUUCCUGUAAAAUAUAGUUAUAUCUAGAUACAUAUAAUUUAAAAUUUUGAUUCUUCCUUUCAAAUCUCUACAUAAUGCUGCUCCCACCUACUUAUCAUCCCUAAUACAUAAGUAUGUCCCGUGUAGGUCCUUACGCUCUGCUGAAGACUUACGACUAUCUUCUGUCCGUACUCCCACUUCUAAUGCUCGCCUUCAAGACUUCUCGAGGGCUGCACCGUUCCUGUGGAACUCACUUCCCUCCUCUGUUAGAUGCUCACCCAGUCUCCACUCCUUCAAAAAAUCAUUAAAAACUCACUUCUUCAUAAAAGCGUAUCAAUUAAACUGUUAAUAGCUCCCAACUGAUUCCUCUCUUGCAACUGUCAUUAGUCUAAUAUUAUCCAUACCUUUUGUGUCACUUUACCCCACUCUCUCUAGCAUGUAAGCUCAUUGAGCAGGGCCCUCAACCCCUCUGUUCCUGUGUGCCCAACUUGUCUGGUUACAACUACAUAUUUGUUCAUCCACCCACUGUAAAGGGAUGCAGAGUUUGUUGGCGCUAUAUAAAUGAUAACAUAAUAAUAAUAAUAAUAAUAACAAACAACAUAAUAAGUAUGUUUUAGUUAAUCUAAUAUUAUUAUUAUUAUUAUUAUUUUAUUAUUUAUAAAGUCCCAACACAUUCUGCAGCGCUUGGCAAUGUAGAAGAUGACUGUCUAAGGGCCAUUUCAUAAGGUAUGUUUUCUAACAUUCGGUACAGAACUUCUUUGAGAGAUGGGAUAGUUGGUGACUUCCAGUACCUAGAUUGUUUUCUAAAGCACAUAGGACCAAAAUCCAUCCAUUCAUUACAAUCCCAUAGUUGACAUUUGUAUCUAGAAAGAGCAACUUUAUAGGGAUCCGAAGGAGUUUUGCUUGUUUGUUUUUUUCUCUUCUGUUGAAAAGAUGUUUCUAACAUCUGUCAUGACUUCCCUAUUAGAGGUAAGUUGCUGCUGACCAGGAUUUAACUGAGAUUUAUUUAAGCUAUGUUGCCACUAAAUAUACAAAUUAACAUGAUAUAUUUUUAUCUGAAAUGGCAUGCAUUUUAAUUUCAGUUUCUUAAACCAAGGCACUGUACCAUCACGUGUUCUGCUGACACACGCUAAUGAGAGCAAAUUAACAAACAUGUUUCUUGUGCACCCAUUCUGAGGACAACCUGAAUUUAAUUGAAUGUAAUUCAAUCCACCCUGUUUACGGAUCCUCUGUCAGCAGAAUCAAAACUAAAAUGUUUUAAUUAAAGGGAUUGGCAAUAAUUUGGUAUAAAGCCAUAAUUUUCAGUAGGUGUUUUCUAGAAAAUUACUUAACCUUUGCCUCUGUUGCUACGGUAACUAAUGGAUAUAAUUACACUACAGUGUGCGAUUGCUCCUCUUCCAGUAUCUGUGGUUAGCAAAGCUGCAGAUUAAAAUCUUAUACAACACUGUGAGCAAGAUUUGUCCUGGCAACAUUUUGCCCAUCUUUUACAGAUUUUCAUCUAACUUAUUGUUUUGGUGACGCACGUAAAAAGUGGCAUCUGAGAACUGUGCUUCAGUCAUAGGAUGACAAGUAGACUGGAAUUUUAAUCUGUAAAUUGUACCAGGCAGGCCUGCUGGGACUCCCAAUAAUGUGUUUUGAUGAGAUCUUCCUUCUAAAUUCAUCCUGAAACCUUAGGAUAGAACAUGCAAUUACCAUUUAGCUCAUCAACUCUGGCACGCUGCCUGCUGCAUUUUCCAAUAGCUCUAAAGAUACUGGGGUAAAAUAAAGACUUGUUUUUUCUUUCAGACAGCUUCCCAUAGAAAGUUGUCAAAUUUUCAAAGAACACAGGUAUAGUAAUUAUAUCACAUUCCAAUGUUGUUAAUGCCUGCUUGUCAAUCUGCUGGCCCCUCUAUUCUCCUUAUCUUGAGAUGGGUAAAAUGUUACCCAGGCUUGCUGCCCGUUGAAUCCAACAUGUUGAAUAUUCGAAGGUAUGAGGGGAUAGAAUGUUGUAAAGUGAAUAGUUAUGGUCCAGAAGGGCCUUAGUAAUGUGAUCACAAGUCCCAAAUUCUACGUAUAUCGGAGCUCCAUUGUUUCAUAGCUUAACAUAGGUUAGUGGUGUCUUGAGGAAAGUUCACAGUUGUGAACUGAAACGUUGACCACUUGGAUUGAAUGCCUAUUUUUUCCUUGAGUGCUGGCUUUUUUUUUAUAGACUGUAUUUGUGUGCAGCUGAGCACCGGGCCAAGAUCUGGAGGAGAGCUGGAUUGCAAAACUCCCAUCAUAUUGUUAAUAUAGGUUAGUGGAUGUACAAAGAAAGAUAGGAGUAUUUACUUAGUUAGUUAUGUAGACUGAAAAAAGACUUACAGAAAAGAAAGAAAUGGAAUAAGUGGCGCUAUUUCAAAUACAACCCAGUGGAGCAAAAAAAACACCCAAAUGUAUUGUCACUAAAUGCACUCAAUAAAUAGAUAAAACCCAGUACAAAAGGUCAAAGCACACACAUUGAUUAUAUUUUACCUUUUUAGAAAAAAAGACUUGCACCCAUCAAGUUCAGCCUUUCUCACAUCAGUUUUUCCUGUUGAUUUAAAAGAAGGCAAACAAAUCCCCCCCCAAAAAAAAACCAAAAAAGAAAAAAACAGUGGAACAUGUUAAGUGGCACAUGCCAUUUAACAAAAAAAACAAAAAAACUGAAUCUUUCCCAAUAUUACACAAAGUGCUUAGAUAUAAUAAAGUGUAUAUAAGUGUAAUUGCACUAAUGUUUAAGAUAAUAAAGUGCUUUAAGUGAGCUAAAGUGCACAUAUUGAAACACUUAACUUUCCCUUCUAGCAAUGGGGUUACCUGAAGUUCUCACAUCUUCUAUCAGUAUAAUUGCAAUAUAUAGGGUUGGUCCAGCUAGGGGAGACAAGAAUAAUACAACCUAGUGCAACACUGUGUAACCUAAUAUGCCACAUGCCAAUUACAGUCAGGUCCAUAAAUAUUGGGACACAAUUCUAAUCUUUUUGGCUCUAUACACCACCACAAUGGAUUUGAAAUGAAAUGAACAAGAUGUACGUUAACUGCAGACUUUCAGCUUUAAUUUGAGGGUCCAGAGUUUAUUUCAAGUGUGCUAUUUGCAUUUGGAAUCUGUUGCUGUCAACUCUCAAUAUGAGAUCCAAAGAGCUGUCACUAUCAGUGAAGCAAGCCAUCAGUAGGCUGAAAAAACAAAACAAACCCAUCAGAGAGAUAGCAAAAACAUUAGGUGUGGCCAAAUCAACUGUUUGGAAUAUUCUUAAAAAGAAAGAACACACCGGUUGGCUCAGCAACACCAAAAGACCCGGAAUACCACGGAAAACAACUGUGGUGGAUGACGGAAGAAUUCUUUCCCUGGUGAAGAAAACACCCUUCACAACAGUUGGCCAGAUCAAGAACACUCUCCAGGAGGUAGGUGUAUGUGUGUCAAAUCAACAAUCAAGAGAAGACUUCACCAGAGUGAAUACAGAGGGUUCACCACAAGAUGUAAACCAUUGGUGAGCCUCAAAAACAGGAAGGCCAGAUUAGAGUUUGCCAAACAACAUCUAAAAAAGCCUUCACAGUUCUGGAACACCAUCCUAUGGACAGAUAAGACCAAGAUCAACUUGUACUAGAGUGAUGGGAAGAGAAGAGUAUGGAGAAGGAAAGGAACUGCUCAUGAUCUAAAGCAUACCACCUCAUCAGUGAAGCUUGGUGGUGGUAGUGUCAUGGUGUGGGCAUGUAUGGCUGCCAAUGGAACUGGUUCUCUUGUAUUUAUUGAUGAUGUGACUGCUGACAAAAGCAGCAGGAUGAAUUCUGAAGUGUUUCGGGCAAUAUUAUCUGCUCAUAUUCAGCCAAAUGCUUCAGAACUCAUUGGAUGGCGCUUCACAGUGCAGAUGGACAAUGACCCGAAGCAUACUGCAAAAGCAACCAAAGAGUUUUUUAAGGGAAAGAAGUGGAAUGUUAUGCAAUGGCCAAGUCAAUCACCUGACCUGAAUCCGAUUGAGCAUGCAUUUUACUUGAUGAAGACAAAACUGAAGGGAAAAUGCCCCAAGAACAAGCAGGAACUGAAGACAGUUGCAGUAGAGGCCUGGCAGAGCAUCACCCGGAAUGAAACCCAGCAUCUGGUAAUGUUCCAGACUUCAGGAUGUAAUUGACUGCAAAGGAUUUGCAAACAUGUAUUAAAAAGUGAAAGUUUGAUUUAUGACUGUUAAUCUGCCCCAUUACCUUUGGUCCCUUAAAAAGUGGGAGGCACAUAUACAAACUGUUGUAAUUCCUACACUGUUCACCUGAUUUGGAUGUAAAUACCCUCAAAUUAAAGCUGAAAGUCUGCAGUUAAAUCACAUCUUGUUUGUUUCAUUUAAAACCCAUUGUGUUGGUGUAUAGAGCCAAAAAGAUUUGAAUUGUGUAGAUGUCCCAAUAUUUAUGGACCUGAUUGUACGUCUGUCUCCAUCAUUUGCUGCAACUAGUAAGUGCAAGCUCACAGCCCGGUUCCUUGGCCAGCUCAAAGUGUGGUACACUGUGCACAGCAGAGUACAGUGCUACCUGCAUACAUCCUGCCAAUGAAGUAGAAUGGAUUGUAUGGUAUGAACAGCUAGUGCUCAUUGAUAGUUUAUUAGAUACACCUUGAAUUACAUGCAUGUAAAUUUUUUAUGCAUUUUUUUCUUUAGGGGAUAAUGACAAUUUUGCUUCCUAUGGUUGCAAAUCUAGUAUCUCAAGUGUGUGUGGCUGUCUAAUUAGAGAUUUGUCAAUGAGCUGUACAUGUGUGCACAUGCACACAGCCACAGUAUAGCCUAGCUCAGUACAAGUGACUGCCACUUCUGUUUUGCUCAAGAGAGCAACUAAAAUCAGGAAGAAAACACCUUUAGCUGUCUAACUGACAGCCGGGAUAGAUGUAGCUGAGAGCUUUUUGAAAUUUGCACUAUUUAAAUAAAAAAAAAGCUUUUUAGCAAGCUGUGUUUAGGAGUAUUUCUUUAAGAGAUAAAUAAAGAAAAUCCAAGGGAAUUAAACGUUAUGUUUUCAAGGCAGCUUUCCAGCAUGUAGAACAACUCCACAAGCCAGCGAUUCCCAAUUGGUGUUCCGCAGAAAAAAUGUAAAAACAAAAUGGCUACAGGGACUUCAUGCCAGCAGCCUCACUGGACCCCAGGGACUCCAUGCCAGCACUCCUAAAGGUAGGGGGGCUGGGUGGAGUAAAAUGUAAAAAAAAUAAAAUUGUAUGUGUGUCUGUUAGGGAGUUUGUAUGUGUUUGUGUGUUUGCCAGUGAGAGUGAAUGUGUGCUUGUCAGUGAGUGUGUGAGUGUAUGUGUUUGUCAGUGAGAAUGUAUCUGUUCUUGUCAAUGAGAGUGUAUAUGUGUUUGUAUGUGUGUCUGUAAAAAAGUAUGUGUGUCUGUCAAAGAGUGUGUGUUUGUCAGUGAGAGUAUGUGUCUGUCAACAAAUGUGUGUGUUAGUCAGUGAGAGUGUAUGUGUGUCUGUCAAAGAGUGUGUACCCUGUCAGUGUGUAUAUGUGGGUGCAAGUGUGUGUAUGUCACUGUGUGUAUCUGAGUGUGUGUGUGUGUGUAUUUGUGAGUCAAUAUGUGUGUGUCAGUGUGUAUCUAAGUGUGUGUAUCUGUGUGUAUAGGUGUGUGUCAGUGUGUGUGUAUAUCUGUGUGUCAGAUACAUAUACACACUGACACAGAGAUACACACACACACUGGAACACACACCGGCACAUACAAACACAGAUACACACAGCUUGGGCUACUGAUGUGCUGUGAGCUGCUGUGGGCUCCUGUGGGUGCUGGGAGCUCCUGGUGUGCUGAGAGCUGCUGUCGGUGCCGGGGGCUCUUUGUGUGCUGGGAGCUGCUUUGGGCUCCUGUGGGUGCUUGGGCCUCCUGGUAUGUUGGGAGCUGCUGUGGGUGCUGGGGAGCUGCUGUCAGUGUUGGGGGCUGCUGUGGGCUCUUGGUGUCCUGGGGGCUAAUGGGCACGUGGGCAAUGAUAGGCAACGAGGAACUAAUCAACACUGUGAGGGAUAACCCCACAAUUUACCAAGAACAAACAUGUGAAUGUCUUACAAAUCCCCGGGAACAUCAGCAUUCCAAUCCACAUAGGGGUUGCUCAUAAAUUGUGAGUCAGGGCAACUUAACCACCUACAGACAGGUAUCCAGCUCCCUAUGUACAACCUAUAAUGAGCCCUCUAUCACUCCUGGGAACCUCUGAUUAGUACAAUGAAAUUAUGUGUCUAUAUCAGGAAUGUAUAUAGCUAUGUUCCCUUUGAUGAUGUAUGUUUACUAUGUAUGUUUACCAACAUGCGAAUGUCUUACAAAUUCCAGGGCAUAUCAGCAUCCCAAUCUACAUAGGGGCCACCCAUAAAUCGCGAAUCAGGGCAACUCCACCACCCGCAGACAGGGACUUAGUUCCCUACUCACAACCUUUAAUGAGCCCUAUAUCACUCAUGUGAACCCCUGAUUAGUCCAAAUAGAUGACGUGUAUAUAGCAAGAAUGUAUAUAGUUAUGUUUACGUUGAUGAUGUAUGCUUACCAUCUAUGAUUCCCAACAUGCGACUGUCUUACAAAUUCCCGGGAACAUCAGCAUACCAAUCGGCAUAGGGGUCACCCAUAAAUUGUGAGUCAGGGCAAUUCCAACACUCUCAGACAGGGAUUGAGCUCCCUACUUUUAACCUAAAUUGAGCCCUAUAUCACUCCAGGGAACCUCCAAUUCGCCCAAUGAACUGAUGUUUAUGUAUACAUAGGUGUCCUUCAGUAUACAAGUCUAUGUCCUAUGAAAACUCAUGCAUGUUUACUUGUAAAUCUCAAUGUAUAUUGAUGCAGAGAGCCAGAGUGAUGUCAUAUUCCGGCUCUGGGCAUCACAGUAGGGCGCUCGAGGGAGCUGAUCAAGAAGAGCUCAGAGGACAGCACUCCAUUUACAAUACGAGCACAGAGAGCUUCAGGGAAGCCCUAACAUUGCCAGCCAGCCAGCUCUUGGGCCUCCAUGAAAGGAGGCUAGCAAGGCACCUGCCAGGGCAAUGGGGAUGGGGGAGGGAGGGUGGGUGGGCAGGCAAAGGUCAGGAGUAGAAAACAGCAUAAAUUAAAUAUAAAAAACAAACAGAGAUCAGGAUUCACAGAGUAGCAAGCCAAGGUCAAAACAAUGUAUAACAAAAAUAAGCAAGGUAUGUCCUAUUAGGUCAUGGAGAACAAUAUCAGUCAGGGCCGGACUGGGAGAAAAAUUCGGCCCGGGCAUUUUUUUAACACAGCGGCCCACUAAAAAGGGGGCGGGGCAGAGGAGGUGUGUUUUGUCAUCACCAAUGACAAACACGCCUCCUCUCAAAGUGAGCAUGUUGGUUCAAUGCUCUUCCAGGGCAGACCAUGCGCAGAGCUCUGCUGAAGAGCUCCAGCAUGAGAAAAAAGCCCUGUAUUUGUUCUGCACAGUGCAAGCAAAUUUAAUAACAUGCUUGCACUGUGUUUCCUUGCAACUUGUCUCUGGUGUCUUUAUAAAUGGAUACCAGGAGACAAAAGGCCAGGAAAGAGUAUUGUGCAUAUGUUUGGAGCCUGCUUGUGGUAUUGCGUGUGUGUAGAGUGAGCUGGUCGUGGUGUGGUAUUGUGUAAUAAGGUCUGUUUUAGUUGUGUUGUGUUUGUGGUGUAAUGUGAUGCAUAUGUGGCUCAGGGACCCCCUCCCGCCCGGCUCUGGAAAGGGGUUAAAACUUACCUUUUUCCAGCGCCGGGCGGGGAGCUCUCCUCCUCCGAUCCGCCCCGUUGGCUGAAUGUGCACGUGCGGCAAGAGCUGCGCGCGCAUUCAGCCGGUCGCAUAGGAAAGCAUUUAUAAUGCUUUCCUAUGGACGCUUGCGUGCUCUCACUGUGAUUUUCACUGUGAAAAGCACGCAAGCGCCUCUAGCGGCUGUCAAUGAGACAGCUGCUAGAGGCUUUGGGGGAAGGCUCUGAAACUGCUAUGUUUAUAAAACAAUGGGUUAACCCUAGAAGGACCUGGCACCAAGACCACUUCAUUAACUGAAGUGGUCUGGGUGGCUAGAGUGGUCCUUUAAGAGUGUAGUGUGUGUGUGUGUGUGUAUAUGGAAGUAUUGUGUAUGUGUGUGGUGCAGUGUGUUGGGGGGUUCUGUGUGUAUGUGAGGGGUGCAGUAUGUGUGUGUGUGAGGGGUGCGGUGUGUGAGUGAUGGGUGUGAGAGUGCUGUGUGAGAUGGGUGUGAGAGAGUGCUGUGUGAGAGAGUGCUGUGUGUGUGUGUGUGAGUGCUCUGUGAGAGUGCUGUGAGAGAGUGCUGUGAGAGAGUGCUGUGUGUGUGAAAGUGCUGUGUGUGAUGGGUGUGAGUGCUGUGUGAGAGAGUGCUGUGUGUGUGUGAGAGUGCUCUGUGAGAGUGCUGUGAGUGUGAUGGGUGUGAGAGUGCUGUGUGAGAGAGUGCUGUGUGUGAUGGUUGUGAGAGUGCUGGGUGUGAGAGUGCUGUGUGUGAUGGGUGUGAGAGUGCUGUGUGAGAGAGUGCUGUGUGUGAUGGGUGUGAGUGCUGGGUGUGAUGGGUGUGUGAGUGCUGUGUGUGAUGGGUGUGAGAGUGCUGUGUGUGCUGGGUGUGAGAGUGCUGUGUGAGAGAGUGCUGUGUGUGAUGGGUGUGAGAGUGCUGUAUAAAUGUUGUUGUGUGUGUAGGGGGGCUAAAUAAAAAAAAACAAAAAACAGUCAUUAUUCCCCCCCCCCUUCUUAUCUUUAGCCUGGGAGGGGGGGGGGACCGGCACGCUGGGACUGGGAGGGGUGGGUCCGGCACGCGGUGUUCCCUGGUGGUCCUCGUGGGUGAGUGAACUCUAGCCGGAUGUUCGCGAGAGGAAACCCCGGCGCGAGAGGAACUGGAGCUGCAAGUUAGAGCUCCGCCGAGUCCUCUCUCCAGCCUAGCUGGCUGUCUCCCUCCCUCCCCGCCGGCGGCCGCAUGUGGGCCGGUCAGGGAGAUCCUUGAUCUCCCCACCGGCCCGUCGUGGCAAACAGCGGGGCCGGCGCUAGGAGAGUGCCGGCCCUGCAUAGACCGGCAGGGGAGAUCCUGGAACCUCCCCUGCCGGCCUCGGCCCCACGGCCACCGCGGCCCACCGGGCAUUUGCCCGGUGUGCCCGAUGGCCAGUCCGGGCCUGAUAUCAGUGCACCUGGCUAUAGAUAGAAGGGCUGCAAAACCCCCAAAUUAAGUUUUAUUGGUUUUGUUUCAUUUCUUUGCACCAAAAUGUACAUGAGAAACAUGUGGCAACCUUCAUGUCACUUCUGACAUCAUAAUAACACAACCACUCCAUAGGAUCCAUAGGAGUGCAUCAAGUCUCGUCACUAAUGACUGCAGAAGAAUGUGACCCUUUGUCAGUAUAUGUUAGACAUAUGCAAUUAUUUUCGGUCCAAAUUUAAAUUCGGAUGAAUUUUGGCAAUUCGGACAUUCGGGUGCUUCCGAAAUGCCGAAUUUCCAAAGUGCCAAAUUUCGGAAGUGCCGAACCAAGACGAAUUUUGAAAGUCCCGAUCCGAGCCAAAUUGCCAAAGUGGCGAAUUUUGGAAGUGCCGAAGUGCUUCAGAUUUCUGAAAAGUGGCAAAACAGGAGAGGGAGGUAAAAUGAAGGGAAUGAUGACAGGAAUCUAACCCUAGCCCUCACCCUUACCCCAACCUUCCACUAACCCUACCCUAGUAGGGGUAGGGUUAGGGGUCGGGGUAGGGUUAGGUGUUAGGUUAGGGGUAGGAGUAGGGAUAGGGUUAGGGUUAUGGAAUUGCCGAAGUCUCAAAUUCCCUAAGUGCCGAACCGAGCCAAAUGUAUUGCCCAUGCACAUCCCUAGUAUAUAUGUGUCCAUAUAGGUGUAGCGUACAGAGUUGAAUAUUUACACUAGAAUGACGCGUGACGCAGUCCUGUAGGUAGACUGCCCUAGUAUAUGUAACAGAAAGUUGGUAAUAUCUCUUUCUUGAGGUUAUAUAGCCUUUAAAGAAAAGAUACUAGUAACCAGGCAUUCAUUCAUUUGAGGAAGUCAGGAACAUGCAGUAAUGAUGAGCUCAGAUUCACCCACAAUCAUACAAUGUAACCUUUUCAUUUGAGAACUCUGUUAAUAUCCUUUUUUCUGAGGUACAAUGUAACCUUUUCUUUUGAGUCUUGGCAAUGGGUCCUUACUAUUUGUGUUUAGUAUUUAUUUAUUCUAUGGAUUCCAUCCAUGUUUGCCAGCCAACAGCAAUUCCUUAUUCUGGUUUUGAAAAUCGUUGCUGUGUUAUAUGAAAUAUAACAGUACUGUAAGCUUGGGGGAGACAUCCUACCUCAUUGCCAUUUAUUAGUAAUUCCUUUCCUGUGCGACAUGAUGAGGGAAGGACUGGUUAGACACGGACCAAUUAAAAGUUCUAGAUUGUUGUAUGUAUUCACCAUAUUCAAUAACAUGGUUCUAACACCCAAGUUUUAAGGAAAAUGCAUGGCUAUGAAUGUUACUGCUUUUGUAUUUCGAUUUGGGUAAAUAUAUGUUCACGUUUAACAUGAAAAAGGACUGUGUGUGAAAAAAGGUGUCUGAAUUGCAAGCUCUUAGUUUAAUUAAAAAAAAUUUUUUUUUUUUUUUAAAAACAAACCCAAAAAGGGUUACAAGGUAUACAAGCCUUGAAAGAGAUCUAAAGAAUUAAACAUUUAUUUGGAAAGCUAAAGCUGCUUCCGUUUGGAAACGCCAGAAAAUUAAUUAAUGCAGACCAGGUUAAAAAAGAAACAUUUAUAUAAUGCACCAAAUAUAAUGCUUCCAUUUUUUUUAUAGCUAGGCGAAUUUAACUGCAUUGUGAUUACCGCAGGCAGGGAAAAGAUAGAAGAUAUUUUUUUAAGUGUGGUCAUAAAUCCCUGCUCAUUAUAUAAUCUAUUGCAGUUUAUCACAGCCUGUUUUGAAUGAAUAGGAAUACUUUAUGACUUAAAAUAAUUAGAGAAUAUAAUUGAAAUUCUCUACAGUUCCAAUCAUGCAAGUUACCGAUUAUUAAACCUUGUACUAAUAAGACAAUUUUGCCGAAUUAAAGGGACACUCCAGACCCCUAAAGGAGUUUGGCUUAUUGAAGUACUUUAUGUGUACAUAGUGUGUACUUUAAAAAAAAAAAAAAAAAAUUACAAAAAGUGCAGAUUUCUAUAGAAAUUUUAAUUUUUUUUAUAAUUAACCUUUUCACAACCCCUAAUUGUCAAAUCAACAACUGAUCCUGUUACUUCCUUGUUUUUUUUUAGUUCAGUGGACCUAAACACAAGAGGCAGCAAUUGCCAAGAGCAUUUACCUUACAACAGCUUCUCAGUGAGCUGCAUUAAGAAGUCUGUGAUUGGACAGUUAAAGAAAGUCUGGGCAGGGUUAGAAGAGGAGGUCUUGCAAAGGCAUCAGAGCCCCUUUAAGUCAAAGUUCUGUGCCAUACAAUGCCAAACUUAAUAAAGUAAUGAUGUAUUAUGAAUAUUAUGCUUGCAUAGGGCUUGCUAUAUUUGAAGGUAAUCUUAGUGGUGCAAUAGCUUGAGAGGCAAGUACUUAAUAUGGAACUGUCAUGUCCCAGGAUUUUUAAUAUUAUGCUUACUUAUCAUUAUGUCUAACAAAUACAUAAAUGUGAGGUAUGAAAAAAAAAAAAUUAGGGGGUGGAGCCUAACCUUUCGUGGAGACAGACACGGGAGCCCUUAGCUCUCCUACCCCGGGCGCACAGUCCGCUUCCAUCAGCUAAUAUAGCGGCGCAUCUCGCUUCACUAUGAUAUACCCUCUGCGCAUCAUACCUUUUUUAUACCUCUCCGACAUGGGGGACUCCAAAAAGCGCAAGGAACACACACCAUAGGUGGCCUCAAUGUCUCACGCCAAAGAAGCAGAGCGGCCAUCUUUGUCCCAGGGCCUAACCGACUCAGGUUCCGACUCAACGGAGAACAACGCUGGGGAAAACCUGGGAGCCCCUCUUACCAAAGACGACCUCAGCAAAAUGCUUUGGGAAACAUCAGAAGACAUUAAGGCCUACACCACGGUUGCAUUGGAGAAGCAAAUCGUGGGCCUGAAGGAGGACAAGGAAGCCCUAGCCUCGCGUACUAGCCACACCGAAAACUUACUCUCAGAAAUUCAAACCAAAUCCGAGACUCAUGACCGGGACAUUGACAUACUUAAAGAAAAAACUACUGUUCCUGGAGGAUGGUAUGGAAGACCUCAAUAACAGAUCUCGAAGGCAAAACAUCAGGAUUAGGAGGUUGACGGAGUCUGUCGGCCCUGACACUGUACUCCUCACUGUCAAGGCAAUUUUUCAGUCUCUCCUCCCGGAGGCCUCCAAACAGGAGUUUUCUAUUGAAAGAGCACACCUGCCCUUACUACUACACUUCCCUAUCAAAUAGAAACUAAUCAACACUGCAAGGGAUAACCCCACAAUUUACCAAGAACAAACAUGUGAAUGUCUUACAAAUCCCCGGGAACAUUAGCAUUCCAAUCCACAUAGGGGUUGCUCAUAAAUUGUGAGUCAGGGCAACUUAACCACCUGCAGACAGGUAUCCAGCUCCCUAUAUACAACCUAUAAUGAGCCCUCUAUCACUCCUGGGAACCUCUGAUUAGUACAAUGAAAUUAUGUGUCUAUAUCAGGAAUGUAUAUAGCUAUGUUCACUUUGAUGUAUGUUUACUAUGUAUGUUUACCAACAUGCGAAUGUCUUACAAAUUCCAGGGCAUAUCAGCAUCCCAAUUUACAUAGGGGCCACCCAUAAAUCGCGAAUCAGGGCAACUCCACCACCCAAAGACAGGGACUUAGUUCCCUACUCACAACCUUUAAUGAGCCCUAUAUCACUCAUGUGAACCCCUGAUUAGUCCAAAUAGAUGACGUGUAUAUAGCAAGAAUGUAUAUAGUUAUGUUUACGUUGAUGAUGUAUGCUUACCAUCUAUGAUUCCCAACAUGCGACUGUCUUACAAAUUCCCGGGAACAUCAGCAUACCAAUCGGCAUAGGGGUCGCCCAUAAAUCGUGAGUCAGGGCAAUUCCACCACUCUCAGACAGGGAUUGAGCUCCCUACUUUUAACCUAAAUUGAGCCCUAUAUCACUCCAGGGAACCUCCAAUUCGCCCAAUGAACUGACGUAUAUGUAUACAUAGGUGUCCUUCAGUAUACAAGUCUACGUCCUAUGAAAACUCAUGCAUGUCUACUUGUAAAUCUCAAUGUAUAUAUGUUUUUUUUUUUUAACAAACUCUUGGCCCACCCAAGGCCACGCACCAGGGUAGUACUGCCACCCAAUGCCCUAGAACGAGCACUCGACUUAAAACCCACAGAGAAUCCCACAUGACCACGGGGACUCACAGAGUAAAGCCCUUCAAUCUACAAAUUAGGUAUUUUCAUGUCUACCUGACCGAGGCUGGGCUGCCUCACAGGGCCCUGGAGACGAGCCCAUUCCUCUCACCACACCCACAAACUUAUUCCAUGAACAUCACAGUGUACAAACUGGCCAAGGGGUACAUUAGCACACCCUUCCUACAGCCAAUCUAUUAAGCCUCCACACACAAACACCCACUCAAGCCUUCCCUUGACAACCAAUCCAAGACGAGCCUCCGCUCUAGUGAUGAACAACCCAACUGACAGAGGGACUACCCCGACAACAUCCACCAAUGAGAUUUGUCUAAAAGACAACCCGGGGGCAACCAGCGACCUUACCAACGUCCAACCUCCUUCUGUGACCCUCCACUGUACUCAACCCCACCACUGCCCAGUGGGACAGACCAAACUCCCACCGGACACAAUCACCCUACCUCACUACUCCUCACUUCCUCCACCCACACGACCCCUGGCUACCAAACCGUAAGAUCAGGAGACCUACCCCCUUCUCCCUCUUCACCCAACUCUCCCACUCCCUCUCUUCCACCCCUUUUUGAAUUUUUUAGUUUUUAAAAAAAUUCUUCUUUUCUCUCUCUUCUCCUUCUCUCCUUCGUAUCCAUCCACCCCACCCUUCCCCCGUCACUCCCUCACCCCCAGGCCAAAUCACCCUCACACAACAGGCACCCCACAGCACGAGCCUCCACAGCCCCCAUUGUGUCAGCUUCUCUGACCUGCCUAUCCAUGAAUUCCAAGGGCCUCAACAAUCACUCCAAGAGACAUCAACUCAUGUGCUAGGCAAAAAGAUCGAAAGCAGAUAUACUUCUACUACAAUAGAUGCACUUCACCCAAGCCAAACAGUUCCCUCUCCUGAGCCGCGUAAUCUUCGAUAGCUCCCCCAUGGAAAAGCAAAAUGGGGUAGCCAUAGUGGUACGUAAAACCUGGCCACUAUCCAUAGACCAAACGGUCGCGGACCCCCAGGGAAGUUACCUCAUGAUCGCCGGCAAGAUCGGCACGCAUAAAUGCGCGUUCACGUCCGUAUAUGCACCGAAUACCCCCUCCAGCUCAUUUUGGCAAACACUUAGGGCACAUAUGGCACUCUUUACCUCACACCACCUUAUAUGGGAGGUGACUACAAUGCCACUUUAUUCCCCUCAGUAGACAGACACCGCGCUCAACCCCACACUCAUCUGCCCCCAACGGCUCAGGCAGACAAGAUGUUCUCCAUAUUUGUCUCCAAAACAAGACUGAUAGAUGCGUGGAGACCCCAACACCCCACAGUCUUAGAUUACACUGUCUUCUCACAUCCAAACCAAUCACACUCCCGCAUUGACCUGUUCCUGGUCUCCUCUGCCACCAUUGGCUCCAUACCAUGGUCUGACCAUGCAGACAUAACUCUCACAAUCACACUAACAUGUACAAUCCGCCCCUGGUCAUGGCGCCUGUAUCCCACGCUCAUACACAAUCCGCCGAUCCGAGAGUCGAUCUCCCAAACUAUGCAUGAAUAUUUUCAUUUAAACACGGAUUCAGUAGCCUCCAAAUGUUCACCAUGGGCAGCUCACAAAGCACUCCUCAUAGGCUCAAUGAUAAAUUUAGCAAUGAUCCACAAAACAAAAAACCAGGUAGCCCAACUAGAAAACACGCUGAUGACUCUCUGUUCUCGAGGCCAAACAUAAACUUGACACCACACCGGAACCGAACGCGCAAAUAUCAAAAUGUCAAACGGACAUAAAAGAGUACAUGACACAAGACUUGUUCAAGGCCCUACAAUGGAUGAAACAACUCUUUUACGAUAAAUCUAACAAGGCCAAAACGUUAUUAGCACACAGACUAAAACAAAGAGCGGCCCAGAAACAAAGAAACAAAAUCACGACUCCGGACGGCUCACCGACGGAAGACCCUGAUCGAAUUGCAGAAGUGUUUGAAAAAUACUUCAUGGACCUCUACGACCAUGACCCCAACACGUAUCAAAACCCAUCCACGUACAAAACCCUCAUAGACCACUACUUAGGUCAAAUUCCACUACCCUUCCUGUCUAGAGAAAUGGCAAAGACACUAAUAGAGCCGAUCACACCCGAGGAAGUAGCAGGGACAUUAAAAACUCUCAAGUCCAACAAGAGUCCUGCACCAGAUGGAUUCACAGGACUUUACUAUAAUACAUUCGCCCCAACUCUGAUCCAACAUCUAUGCUACCUCUUUAACGCCAUCCUAUCGGGAGAGCAACUACUGAAAGAAAUGCUUCUGGCAAAUAUAUGCCUCCUCCCCAAACCCAACAAAAACCCAUCUAGACCCGGGACACUAUCGACCGAUAUUCUUAUUAAACGUGGACAUCAAACUGUUCACGAAAACUUAUGGCAGACCUCCUAUGCCCCUUCCUGCCAAAACUUAUACACCCAGACCAGGUGGGGUUCAUCCCUACAAGACAAGCUAGCGACAAUACGAGACGGACAUACAACCUAAUUUGGACCGCACACAUCAGACACAUCCCGACUCUCCUGUUUUCCCUUGACACACAGAAAGUUUUCGACAGACUAUUAUGGUCAUUCCUCUUCGCCACCCUACGACAAUAAGGUUUCCCGACACGCUUCAUAGACGCACUUAAAACACUGUACGCCUCGCCCAUAGCUAACUUCUUACUUCCACUCAAACACCUGCCCACCUUUACAAUACAGAACGGCACAUGGCAGGGAUGCCCCCUCACCCCUAUCCUAUUUGCCCUAUCAUUAGAACCGCUCCUACAACACCCAUAUCAAAGGACUCAAAGUUCGCGGGGAGGAAUACAAAACUGCGGCGUACGCAGACAAUUUACUGAUCACUAUAACAGGACUCCAACAAUCCCUACCGACCCUGCUUUCUGCACUAUCUGCACACGCGGUAGUUUCUGGCUACAAAUGAAAUAUCGAUAAAAUGGAAGCCUUGCCGAUACACAUCGCCUUAGACACACUCGAAGCCUUGCAAUGAGCCUACCCUUUCAACAUACAAUCUACUCAUAUUCAAUACCUAGGCGUCUGCCUACCGACAGACUUCUCUCAAUGUUACCCCUUAAACUACACCCCCACCACACAGAAAAUUACACAAGAUAUGGCCAAAUGGCAAGACAUGCCUAUCUCAUGGAUGGGCAGACUAGCCUCCAUCAAAAUGAAUGUACUCCCAAGACUCCUGUAUCUAUUCAAUCUCGGGUCCAGAUUUUAAAAAGUUACAAACGACAAUCGACAAGUUCAUCUGGUCCAACAGACGUGCUAGAAUAAAGAGACAAACCCUAUAUGUACCCAAUAAGGCAGGAGGCAUGGGCCUGCCGCAUCUCACGCAUUACUAUCAAGCAGCGCACAAAGCACAGGCACAGAACUUGCAUGCUCCGUACGGGGUCAAGAGAUGGGUGGACCUGGAACACAAUAUUUUUGGUAGGGAUUUCCCCUCCCUUUAUCUUUGGCUGCCAAAACAAGCCAGCCCCCCCUUACCCCUGACGACCCGACCCUGAUCAAUACCAUCAAAGUCUGGGACAAACUGAUGCAUAAAUGUGGACUUGAACCCUUAACCACUCAGCCCAUUACUCUGCAACACACAAUUCGCAUGAAACCCAGGGACUUCGUAUGUUUCAAAGACAAUAACCUCACUCGCCUAUAUCACUUUUAUACUAACCAACAACUAAUACCAUUCACAGACCUCCUACAAACUACCCCUUUCUGGACGUUCGACUUUUUCAGACACAUACAGAUUAGGAACUUUCUUGAACAACCAACAAACAAACAAGCAGGUACCACUGCCCUGAAAUCCUUUGAAAGACUAUGCAUGAAAGCACCAGUCCAAAAAGGACAGAUCUCAGCACUAUACAUGUAUAUAAUUCAACCCGUCAAGAAGGGGGCCUUCACAUACGUGUCAGCUUGGGAGAGGGACUUAAGCUCGGCAGAAGACCCGUCCGAUUGGGUCGACAUCUGGGAAGCCACUUCCACUAUAUCCAUAUGUGUUAACCGGAAAGUGCAAGCUUAUAAAACAUUAAUGAGACCGUACCUCACCCCCACUUAAAAUGAAACAGAUGGGCAAGUCAGACACAGACUUAUGCUGGAAGGGAUGUGGACAAAAAGGCACCUACCUCCACUUGUGGUGGGAGUGUGCCCCAAUCGCCCUACUAUGGUAACAUGUCGCAUCUAUGGUCUCCGGGAUUCUACAUUCGGACAUUCCUUUAAACCCAUGGAUAUGGAUCCUUUCAAAGCCACACACUAACACGCCCCAAGCACAAAACAAAAUGAUUGCCAGGAUCGUACUAGCGAAAAGACGGGCAACUGCCAAAAAAUGGGGAAGCCCUGAUACCCCUACCAUAGACACGGUACGCCACAAAAAUACUGAUUCCAUCAAAAUGGACGAAAUGUCUGCAAUCAUACAUGACACAACCAAACACUUCCAUAAAAUAUGGGACCCAUGGUUCUAUGAAUUCCCCACCUCUGCGUAAACCCACAAGAAAUUACUUAGUUCCGGAACAUGACCCAACCACUACAGGGCAUCCAAAAAAAAAAUCUAGAUACCACGGAUAACACCACCUGUAUUCACCUCCCUACUCACUCCCCACCCCUGCAGCCUCCCCUCCCUUUUUUCUCUUCUAUCUUUCUCUUCUUCUCUUCCUUCUCUCUCUCUCUCUCUCUCUCUCUCUCAACCUCCUUACCCACCCAGUCUUAUCUACUGUCCCUUCGAAUAUGUACAAACUGCUAUUCCCACGCUACACGCCCAGCAUGCAGGUCAAGGACCUGGACACACACACAAAACACUUGCUUAGCAAUAGCCCAAAAGGACCAGGCCACGACCUACCAGACAAACUUACAAAACACCAACACGGAGGUCCUUUGACAGAGCCUACAUCUUCACACACCACAGGGUGCCCUUCACAACCCCCAAACGCUUUCCUCUAUGCUAACAAACCACUUCCAGCACAGACCCUGAAGAUUAGAGGGCUUCCCAGUUUCUUACCAGCUUCAUGUUCUCCCGCUCCCAUGCCUUCCCAGUUACCCCCUCAAAUUGGCAGACCGAUUAGAUGAACACGGUGUAGUCUAAAAAAGAGCCUGAUUAACACGCAUGCAAGAGUCUGUAAUCCGUGUAACUCGAAACUGUGCUGAUUACUUCUGCAACAUGCCAAUUAAUCCCUACUGUCGAAUGUAUGUUAAACCUAUGUUUUUGAAUUGUUAUACCUUGCUUGAUCUCCUAUUUCUGUAAACACUGAAUAUUUACAAAUAAUGACUUAUAAAAAAAUAUAUAUAUAAAUAUUAAAUCUAAAAAUUCACAACUCUUUAUCCUGCAACUGUGUACCUCCAUCUUGGCUGUCUGUCAAACAUUGUUAUAAGCUCCGUCCUUUGCAGCUGGCAGUCAGCACAGAUAACCAAAACCAAGGAGAAAUUAAACAAUGUUGCUGUGUCUAAUGUACAUUUGCAAUGUAUGUCGUAGCAUUGCCUUGUCGGAACUGAAUUAUGAUGUCAUUUGCUAAAUCUUUAAUUGGAAAACCUUUCAGUCACAAAGUAAGGAAACAAUAUCCUGACGCUAGAUACUUUCCUUUACAUGAAACCAUAGGAGAAUUCUUAUGUUUUAUUUAUAUAUAUAUAUAUAUAUAUAUAUAUAUAUAUAUAUAUAUAUAUGAUAUACAGAUUAAUUCUAGAAAAUGUAAUCAAAAAGACAAACUAGUAACUCCGCUUCAUUGUUGUUGCAUACAUAACUAAAAUUGUUUUGGUUUUCCGCGACACAUUUACAGUAUAAAACACAUUUGUUUAAUAGACAAAUAUUCUCUUAAUGUUAUACCUGAAUUUCAUAUUUUCUGUUACUCUCAGAGGUACCUUUUUGGACAGAUAUAAUGUUUGUAGAGGUUGUUAACUUGUGAAUCACAGUGUAAAACACAGAUAUCAGAUUCAAAUACAUCCACAAGACUAAAUUGGGAUAACUGGGCUGAAGCAAAUCAGGCCAUGUCAUACAUAAUCAAUGUGACGGAGAAGUUAGUGAGUUAAUAUCUGCAAGCAUCUCACUUUGAAGCAGAUUUUGAAAGUAUCAUGUAUGCUUUUGGGACUUUUGUCAGCAUUAUUUGUAUUUUUUUUUUCUUGUGCAUUUGUCUAUACUCCAUGGCUAUAACAUUUUCUUUGUAUUUAGCUCGGUCAGCUGAACAUUCAUAAUCAAUCAAAAUAUCCUUGAUGACAAAAUGCUGUAUGCUAGUUUGAGAUUCAACAGGACACAUUAAAAUAAAGAUUAUGUGAAUCUUGUAGUUAAACUAUACAACUGAAUAUUUUGUUUACUAUUUAAGGGCAUAUGUCAAUGAUUAUAAAGGUGACAUGUUCCUGAGUAAAGACAUACUAAGCCUAAUUCAAUAUUGAAGUAAUUUUACAAAUAUAUUAACAGUAAUUAACAAAUUUUUAAAAGUACAUGGCUGAUACAGCAGUCAGUUGGACUAUAUCAAUUUGCCCAUUUUCUUCUUCAACACAUUUUCACAAUCUUUAGGAUGCACUUUGAAUUAUUAGUCUUUAGAACCUUGGGUAUCAUUGCACCAAACCACCACUUCAGUAAACUCAGAAAUGGGUUUUUGGUGCUUAGUUUGUCUGUGAAUGGUCGAGCCAGAGCCCAACUGACCCACCGGCAUACCUGGAUACCGCAAAAUUGUCCGGUGGACUGUUAACCUUGGUGCCGGGAGGGCUGCGUAAUACCAUUUAAAUUAUUUAAUUAAGGAGGAAAGUGCCGGUAGGUGGUGCAGAUGCAUUGAGACUGCCGGCGGCCGCAGGGUGCACUGUAAAACUAUUCUGGGACUCUUCUGCUCUGCCCCAUGUUCAAGCUCUGCCCCAUGUUCAAGCUCUGCCCCACUCUUAAGAUCUGUCACAGCAUCAAGCCCCACCCAUGUGUGUCCCUUUUUUCAGGUAACACUAUUUAUAAGAAAUAUAUUAUGUGAAAUACGUUUUGCAAGAUUUAUAAUUUUACAGUAAAAUUCAUUUUGUACUAUGCAUUUAUAUGUACUAUUUGAACUUUGGUAUAAUUGUAAUAAUUAUGUAAAAGGUGUUUGUUGCUUACUCCAAUUAUGCUUCAAUGUGUAGGUUCAGAUAAGGAAAGAGAACCUUACUAUUAAUUACUUUAUAACUAUUUAUAUACAUUUAAAUGCAUGAUCACAAAAGUGGUGAGCUCCAUAAAUUUGACUUUUUUAAAUAGUUAAUGUGUAAAAGCAGUGGCGUACACACAACCAUUGGGGCCGCAACACAUGGCGGCGGGCACCUGGUCGCAGGGGUCGCAGGGCUGAAAAUCACAGUGAGAAGACACUGAAUGUCCAUAGGAAAGCAUUGAGUAAUGCUUUCUUAUGGGCGGUUUGAAUGCGCGCGCGGCUCUUGCCACGCAUGCGCAUUCGGAGCUGAGAGGCGGACCGGGGCAGAGAGAUCCCAAGCGCCAAGGGAGUCCGACGCUGGAGAAAGGUAAGUGCUGAAGACACACACACUCUAACAAAAAGAUGCAUACACACUAGCUAACAGACAUACACACUAGCUAACAGACACACACAUUUACUGACAGACACACACUCAGUGACAGACAUACAUACACACUCACUGACAGACAGACAUACACACUCACUUACAAAAGACACAUACACACUCACUUACAAAAGACACACUCACUAACAGACACUAAACAGACUCACUAACAGACACACACAGUAACACACUAACACACACACACACACUCUAACACUAACACACACACACAUACACUCUCUCUCACACACACACACACACUCUAACACACACACUCUAACACAAACACACACACACAGUCUAACACUAACACACACACGAACACACUAACACACACACUCACUAAAACACACUUUUUUUUAAAUUUAAUCCCCCCAGCCUCCCUACAUUUGGGAGAGCUGAGGGGAUUCCCUGAGGUCCAAUGGUAUCACCCGGCGGGCGCGCGAGGGAGCACUCUUCCCUGAGUGCUUCCUGUUCAGCUCCCUCGCACGUUGCGUACUGAUACUGGAGCUGGAAGAUUACGCCGGCUCCGGUAUCAGUGCGGUGCGCGAGGGAGCACUCAAGGGAGAGUGCUCCCUCGCACACCCGCCGGGUGACACCAGGCCCAGCCUCGGGGGGCCCUGAGGUGACCGGCUCCUGGGCCCCCCAGGAGAUGAGGCUGGCCACAGUGGGUACAUACCGGGUUGCAGGGCGGCCGGGCCCCCUGGUUACAUAGUUACAUAGCUGAAAAGAGACUUGCGUCCAUCAAGUUCAGCCUACCUCACAUUUGUUUUUUGCGGUUGAUCCAAAAGAAGGCAAAAAACCCCAGUUUGAAGCACAAUUUUGCAACAAGCUAGGAAAAAAAAUCAUUCUUGACCCCAGAAUGGCAGUCAGAUUUAUCCUUGGAUCAAGCAGUUAUUACCCUACAUUGAAAGAUUAUAUCCUUGAAUAUUCUGUUCUUGCAAGUAUGCAUUUAGUAGCCGUUUGAACAUCUGUAUGGACUCUGAUAAAACCACUUCUUCAGGCAGAGAAUUCCACAUCCUGAUUGUUCUUACAGUAAAAAAACCUUUCCUUUGCCUUAGACAAAAUCUUCGUUCUUCCAGUCUAAACGCAUGGCCUCGUGUCCGGUUUGUGAAUAGAUUUCCACACAAUGGUUUGUAUUGACCCCGAAUAUAUUUGUAUAAUGUUAUCAUAUCCCCUCUCAGGUGACGUUUUUCUAAACUAAAUAGGUUUAAAUUUGUUAACCUUUCUUCAUAGCCGAUAUGUUCCAUAGCCGCGACCCCUGCGACCCCAUAUGUACGCCGCUGUGUAAAAGGUAAACAAAUUGGAUAUAAUUCAAUGCUACAAAGGUAGAAUGAUAAAAUAAUAUAUAUAGAAAUUUGACCCGAAAAAUAUAACUCAAAAUCUAUACCUUCCAAAACGACAAAAGUCCAAAUGUAAGCAACACAUAUUUUUCUUUUAUUAAAACUGCUCAUCGCAAAAAAGAAUUGGAAAAGGUAAAAAAAUAAAAAUUCUCUCAGGCUAUUUGUUAUUUACACAAAAUAGGUUUAUACUUUUAAACUCUUUUUUAACCUUUUGACAAAUACCAUAUCAUAUAUUAUGUUUAUAUAUUAUGUUAUGUCAAAGUCAUUAUAUCUGAUGCCUGAAACCACAUCGAGCAUACGGUUUAAUAUAGUUUUGUGUUUUGGCUUUUGUGGCAUUUAGAACUCAAUUACAGUGCAAUCUCUAGACUCCAUAGACUUAGUGAUUGCAGAUGUAUGUUAAUUCAUACAAUAUCUGUGCAACAGCAAAGAAUAGAGACGUGAGAGGCUGGAUCUAUACUUAAUGCUUGGUGAAAGCUUAUAUAUACAAAGGGGGGGUUGGGGUUUCAGAAAAUAAAACAUUAAAUAAUUACUGGCUGCAGCUAAAAAAUUUAUAUUUUUUCCUGUGCGUCUUUUUCUGGACUUUAUUGGUAUUUGGCAACUACGGAGGGGGUGAAUACUGGUUCUUCCACCAUACUCCAUGGAAUGGUAAGAAAAAACUCCCAUAAAACUCUAGCCUGUGCAUGCUAGAACCUUUUAAGCAAAUCAGCAUUCUCCUUAUUGAUUCAUAAGGGAAAAGGAAUUAAUAUGGACCGCCAUCUGCUUAGUAAGUAGGGGUAUUUAACAAUGAAUUCUUCCUAACUUCAUAAAAGCCACUUUGACAAAUCAGCAAGACCAUAUUGAUCUUAAAAAAAAAAAAAAAGCUGGAGAUUGCUAAAUGUAUUUCCUCAUUGCAUUGGAGGACCAUUAUUUUCUUGAUCUAGGAUUUAUUUGUUUAACCCAUGUAAUGCUUAUCUAGAUUCCGAUCUUCGGUGACAUUCCUAUUGAAAUAGAUCUUAUAUAUACACACCUUAAAGGUAUAUUUUCUUUCUUUAUUAUGAAAGUACGUUUUACAGUUAAUACAAUACGUUUUAUUGUAAAUCGCAAGGCAUAUUAUUUUGUUUUUGUUUUUUUAAUCAUUCAAUGGAAAGUCCUGGUCAUUUAUAUUUUGUACGUUUUUUUUUUGUUUUUUUUGUAGGGAAUUUUUUUUAUUUUUAUAAGUCUAGGAGCCAUCUUGAAACUGAUAACUGGCAUUCAGGCACAGAAAAAAUCUUAAGAAAAGAGAACAAGUUCAAAUAGUGUAAUUUUUUCAAUAUGUAGAUAUUUUAUAUAACCAGGGAAUUAAUAUAUUUAUUAUAUUUUCAGUCCAUUGAAAUUAGAGCAUCUGAUUCUUUACACAGAUCAUUUUUAAACAUUGUUUUUGACACAUAAAAUAUCAUAUUCAAUUUUAAAAAUGCAAUAUUAGUGUUUUUCUGUCUUUCUUAAUAUUUGCUGUUGAAAAUGUUUCAAAUAUACUCAGCCCAAGGUGUAACCAUUGUUUAAAGGGCUAUGAUGGCACAAUAACAGUUUAGUCACAAACAGUGUAAUGUUAAUGAGAAUUAUUUAUUUAUCGACUGGAUUUUAGUUUGUUUUAUGAUUAGCUUCAAGAAUAAAAAGGGUUAAUACCUUUACUUUGGUACUUUAAAUGAUUCUUCUGCAUUUUAAACAUUGCACAGCAAGGUACAAGCAAAGGCGGUGCUUUUAGAUGGAGCUAGCAUUUAUCUACUUAUAGUUAGUAUGGGUGCAAGUUUUAAUAAAGUACAUUUCAGUCCAUUUGUGGGCUUUUUGUGGUCAUUAUUGUAAGAGCUGUUCUGUAAUUUUCUUUGAUGCAGGAUUAACAGCGGUAGAUUUGGUUAUGCCUUGGUAAGUAGUUUUAUUACUUGUUGUUGUUGUUAUUCUGCUGAUUGUAAAAUUACAUUGAACAGGAAACGCUAAAUUAUGAAAACUCUGUCACCUAUCAGUGCAGUGUUUAUGUAUAUUUCCAAUAGCUGCAAAUUGCCAUUGUAGACAUCGAGUGUCCUGUUUUCCUGUCCACUCAUGCUAUAAGCAUUUUUUAAUUUUUGUAUUUUUAUUUUAACCCUUUAGUGACUGAUGAUUUACUAAAAUUGAGCAUUCAUUACUAAAGCUGUUUUGGUGCACUUGUUGGGUGUUCAUUUUACAGUAAUUUCCUGUAUUCUCAUUAAAGGACCACUCUAGGCACCCAGACCACUUCAGCUUAAUGAAGUGGUCUGGGUGCCAGGUCCCUCUAGGAUUAACCCUUUUUUUUUUUUUUUAUAAACAUAGCAGUUUCAGAGAAACUGCUAUGUUUAUAAAUGGGUUAAUCCAUCCUCCAAAUCCUCUAGUGGCUGUCUCAUUGACAGCGCUAGAGGCGCUUGCGUGAAUCUCACUGUGAAAAUCACAGUGAGAAGACGCAAGCGUCCAUAGGAAAGCAUUAUGAAUGCUUUCCGAUGAGACCGGCUGAAUGCGCGUGCACAUUCAACCGAAUGGGAGGAGAGGAGGAGGAUCGGAGGAGGAGAGCUCCCCGUCCGGCGCUAGAAAAAAGGUAAAUUUUAACCCUUUCCUCUCCCCAGAGCCGGGCGGGAGUGGGACCCUGAGGGUGUGGGCACCCUCAGGGCACUAUAGUGCCAGGAAAACGAGUAUGUUUUCCUGGCACUAUAGUGGUCCUUUAAGUGCAGCCAUGCAUAUUAUAUAUUGUCUUUAUAGGGCUUUCUUUCGGAUGGCCUAUUACAAUAUAUAACACAAUAUUAGGUUUAAAUUAAAUAUUAUAAAAAUGAAAAAUAAGCUCCAAAAAUAGUUUUGCUCACAAUUUAUGCAACUCGUAUACAACUAGUGCUGUUAAAGAGAAUACUUUUAAAUAUAUUUGAUUAAAUUAUUAAUCCUGAUUUGUGGAAAUACCUCAUGCCUCAAAUUCUAACAACUUUUUGGAAAUUAAAAAUGAUCUACUUUAAUUUUAUUGCCAAUACAAACAAUAUACAAGUGUCUCUUAACAAAGAAAAAUGAGGAAACUGCAAGCUCAAACAGGCAGGGCUGGAUUAAGGGCCUCAUCGGGCUACAGCUGAAAGUUUUUAUUACAUAAGAACAUUAAAGGAACACUCCAAGCACCAUAACCACUAUAAAACAGGUCAGCUGCUCGAGAAAAAUCCUGUGAUAAAUGUACUUUAGAAGCACAUUUACCUCUUCUAGUGACCCUGUUAGACAUUAAAAAAAGAAAUAAAAACCUAUGGGGGUCAUUAUGACCCCCACAUUAGUAUAUAAGAGGUUAACUGUGAUCAGCUUGUGGUGGCUCUAAUAAUAAUAAUAAUAGUAAUGAACAGCAGGGACAAAGUGAUGCCCCAGCCCCCACCAUGGCCAGCAGCUGGUGGAUUUAAUAAUAAUGUAUGGGGGAUCUAUUGUCUCCAUCAGUCCCACCCAUUGGCAGUGGGUGGGCCCUUUAAUUAAUAAACCGAGGGGACCUAUUUUUUCCACCAGCCACCAACCAAAAGUGGUGUGUUGGAGCUUUAAUUAAAUAUACAAGAUUGUUGAAUAUGUCCGGGUUCGUACUGAACAUUAGGUUUUUUGGACCCAAACACGGACAUAUCACUGUAUGUUCGGGUUGGAGUUCGGUGAUUUAAUGAUGCAUUUUGAAAGGCCGCAGGGCAGCCAAUCAACAAGUGUUGGACUUGUGUGCCCUUAGAAGCCAUCACAGAAGCCAUCACAGCCAUGCCUACUAAUAACAUGGCUGUGAUUGGCCAGUGCAGCAAGUGACCCAGCCUCUAUAGAAGCUGGUCACUUAGUAUUAGUAAAUUAUGCCGCUACUCGCUAUACCGCGAGUAGGGGCGUGUCUAUUAAACAGUGAGUUGACCUGUUAAUCAAGUGAAAAUUAUACAGUAUCAAUCAACCAGACAUUCUUGUACCAGUAUUCAAAUACUUAUGUUAUUUUUUUUUAAAACAUGGUGCUAUUUCAUAUCCAAGUUAUGAAUUAGUAAAAUGGACAGUGUAAUCACCAAAACAACUUUAGCUUAAUCAAGUAGUUUAGGUGUAUAGAUCAUGCCCCUGCAGUGCUCAAUUAUAUAAUAUUUAGGUGUUAAUCACAUUAUUUAUGCAGCCAUAGCCACUUACCCCCCCCCCCAGCUAUGACCAGGGCCGGCCUUAGGCCUUUAGGCGCCCUGUGCGAAAAAUCUUCACAGCGCCCUCUUCCCCCUUUACAUCAUCCAUGUAUGAUGUAAUGUUUUUGUUGUCUGUGUAUGUGAUAGAUGUGAUGACUGUGUGUGAUAUGUAUGCUAUGUGUUGGCUGUGUGUGAUAUUUGUAAUGGAUUAACAGUGUGUGAUAUGUGCAUUGGUUGCAUGUGAUAUUUGUGCUGGGUUUAUUGGCUGUGUGUGAUGGUUAUUUGAAUGCAGGUGUAUAUUUUUGCAGAGUUAUGUGCACACAGUCCCACAGUCAGAUGCACAGUUAUACAUAUACACUGUCAAAUCCACCACAUGCACAUAGUCGCAGGCAGAUAGUCACAUACACAGUUACAGGUAGAUAAACACACUCACACACAAUUACAGGCAGACAGCCACACACACAGGCAGACAGCCACACACACACACACACACACACACACACACAAACAACACAAACAGUCUUACACACACAUACUUACACGCAGACAGCCACACACACACACACACACACACACACAGGCAGACAUCCACACACACACAGGCAGACAGCCACACAAACACACACAGGCAGACAGUCACUCAAACACACACACAUAGGCAGACAGUCACACACACACACACACACACACACACAGGCAGACAGUCAUACACACAAAGGCAGACAGUCAUACACACAGGUAGAAAAUGGAUCAGCGCUGUGUGAUGUGAUCAAGUGGAAAGCUGCAGCCUAUAGGUAUGAGGUUCCCUCUGAAGUCCUCAAAAGAGAAAUAACAAAAACAAGAAUAAUAGGUUGCGCUACGUAAAUAUCAAAUGAAAAAGGGAUAAAUAUGGCAAAACACUUUAAAACGUAAAAGAGGAAUAAUAUGUAUAAAGAAAAGGGGAUUUAAUAAAUAUAUAUAACAAAUAUAUAUAUAAAAAAAGAUAGUCCAAAUUCUUGAUAUAAUUUAAAAAGUUCAAAUAAGUGGAUGAUAGUGACAGUACUUGGUAUAUUUCUCUUUCAGGUUCCGGUAAGUAUUUGGAGGUAGAAAGUCCAAUAAGAGACUGAAUCUUCUAAUCUUUAGAGGAGUCUUGAUUCAGAGAUGAACAUGGAAAAUAUAAGCAACAAAGACGAUCCAAUAGUGUAGACUGUCUGUGAUAAAUAAUAAUAAUAAUAGGUAGGUAGUACACUCACCUAUCUUAGAGCAUGAACUUGCUCUAGUAUGUUGGGCGUUCAGUGGCGUUUAUCCCCCACUGGUAGGAUAUAGGUGAAGGUAAUUCCUCGGUAAUAAAAAGGAGAUAAAAGCAGAAUAUAGUGCUCACUGAAUCAAAAUGAAAUAAAGUGAAAUAAAAGGAAUAAAAAUACUCACAUUCGAAUGAGCAGGAUAAACUGCUCAGUAUAUUCGCAUAGGUGGUACAAUCCCCACCAAGGAUUCUUGGUCGUGGGUAGAUUCCAAGUUGGUGAAUGACCAGGUGACAGGAAAUAUUUUUAAAACAAAAUUAUUUAAAAAUAAGAUAAAAAGGUAUAUGGCAAAAUUGAUGUAAAAAAGCCACUAUUCCUUUAUUAGUACAAUAAAAAAUAUAUAAAAUAGCCAAAACGCGUUUCGCCACACAGGGCUUUAUCAACUGGCAAUAAUAAAAAUCAGCCUGGUACAUAGAUACUUUUAUAAACUAUGAUAAAACAUGCUUAUUCAAAUUUUGGCGCCAAAAUGACGUCAUCCAUACAGUGUGUAAAAAGCAAAAUGAUUAAUAACAUAAAAAUACAUAAAAAUACAAAAUGCAUAGUAUUCAUAAUUUAAAAUGUAAAGUAAUACAUAAUAUUUAAUAAUAAAACGAGUGUUAUUUGUUGAAAUAAUAGAUAGAAUCAAAAAUCAUGUGAUCGCAAGCUAAUGCGAUCACAUGGUGAACACUGAGGCAAUAUGGGAAAUGGAGUGACAGGGGAGAAAGCAAAAAUAGAUGGUCACGUGAUCGCGGACCUUCGCGAUCACGUGACUGAUUGCACACAUCGAUAUAGGGUGUAGCCGCUCAGACGGAGGUCGGCAGCCUACGGCACGCCUCCGUCUGACAUCAAUGGUGGGGGCGGUGUAUACCGCGAGUGCUCAUGGGGUAUGUAGUGUUCAGACGGGGGCCGGCAACUAGGGGCACGCCUCCGUCUGACAUCUACAAAAAAGGGGCGGCGCCUAAUGCCGUUCGUGAUCCACCUUGUAAAAAAAUAAAAAUAAGUGGCAUAACAGCCAAAAUUAGAACUAUUAUGAAUAAAACAAAUAUGAAUAUACAGAACAAAUAUGAGUAUAAAAACAAAUAUGAGUAUAUGAAGAAAUAAGAAAAAGGAAUAAUAGAACUAAAAAAAGUGAAAGGUGUAUUUAGGAGCUAAAUAGCUAGGUAUAUAUUGUUAACCUUAUAAAUAAAUGAAGGGUAAAAAGUGAGAUAUAUAAUAAAAAAUAAAAUAUAAAAUAUAAAAAUAAAAAUAAAAAUAAUUUUAUAAAAAAUUGAAAAUUUAUUGGAAUGUCCAUGCGGGCUCCAAUAUGUGGGCAUGACUAAAAGAUGCCUUAAAGUGAGACUAGCAGAACAUUGCCGUAACAUUAGGAGAGGUUAUGAGAAUCACUCAGUUUCCAAGCAUUUUUUAAUACAUAAUAAAGAUCCGACACUCCUAAAAGUAACUGGUAUAGAACAAGUCACUCUCCCAUGGAGAGGUGGAGAUAUUAUAAAAACUUUAGGCAAAAGAGAAAUGUAUUGGGUUUUUACACUUAAGACUCUUUUUCCUGAGGGCUUGAACGCUGAAUUUGACCUUUUCAAUUUUUUAUAAAAUUAUUUUUAUUUUUAUAUUUUAUAUUUUAUUUUUUAUUAUAUAUCUCACUUUUUACCCUUCAUUUAUUUAUAAGGUUAACAAUAUAUACCUAGCUAUUUAGCUCCUAAAUACACCUUUCACUUUUUUUAGUUCUAUUAUUCCUUUUUCUUAUUUCUUCAUAUACUCAUAUUUGUUUUUAUACUCAUAUUUGUUCUGUAUAUUCAUAUUUGUUUUAUUCAUAAUAGUUCUAAUUUGGGCUGUUAUGCCACUUAUUUUUAUUUUUUUACAAGGUGGAUCACGAACGGCAUUAGGCGCCGCCCCUUUUUUGUAGAUGUCAGACGGAGGCGUGCCCCUAGUUGCCGGCCCCCGUCUGAACACUACAUACCCCAUGAGCACUCGCGGUAUACACCGCCCCCACCAUUGAUGUCAGACGGAGGCGUGCCGUAGGCUGCCGACCUCCGUCUGAGCGGCUACACCCUAUAUCGAUGUGUGCAAUCAGUCACGUGAUCGCGAAGGUCCGCGAUCACGUGACCAUCUAUUUUUGCUUUCUCCCCUGUCACUCCAUUUCCCAUAUUGCCUCAGUGUUCACCAUGUGAUCGCAUUAGAUUGCGAUCACAUGAUUUUUGAUUCUAUCUAUUAUUUCAACAAAUAACACUUGUUUUAUUAUUAAAUAUUAUGUAUUACUUUACAUUUUAAAUUAUGAAUACUAUGCAUUUUGUAUUUUUAUGUAUUUUUAUGUUAUUAAUCAUUUUGCUUUUUACACACUGUAUGGAUGACGUCAUUUUGGCGCCAAAAUUUGAAUAAGCAUGUUUUAUCAUAGUUUAUAAAAGUAUCUAUGUACCAGGCUGAUUUUUAUUAUUGCCAGUUGAUAAAGCCCUGUGUGGCGAAAUGCGUUUUGGCUAUUUUAUAUAUUUUUUAUUGUACUAAUAAAGGAAUAGUGGCUUUUUUACAUCAAUUUUGCCAUAUACCUUUUUAUCUUAUUUUUAAAUAAUUUUGUUUUAAAAAUAUUUCCUGUCACCUGGUCAUUCACCAACUUGGAAUCUACCCACGACCAAGAAUCCUUGGUGGGGAUUGUACCACCUAUGCGAAUAUACUGAGCAGUUUAUCCUGCUCAUUCGAAUGUGAGUAUUUGUAUUCCUUUUAUUUCACUUUAUUUCAUUUUGAUUCAGUGAGCACUAUAUUCUGCUUUUAUCUCCUUUUUAUUACCGAGGAAUUACCUUCACCUAUAUCCUACCAGUGGGGGAUAAACGCCACUGAACGCCCAACAUACUAGAGCAAGUUCAUGCUCUAAGAUAGGUGAGUGUACUACCUACCUAUUAUUAUUAUUAUUUAUCACAGACAGUCUACACUAUUGGAUCGUCUUUGUUGCUUAUAUUUUCCAUGUUCAUCUCUGAAUCAAGACUCCUCUAAAGAUUAGAAGAUUCAGUCUCUUAUUGGACUUUCUACCUCCAAAUAUUUACCGGAACCUGAAAGAGAAAUAUACCAAGUACUGUCACUAUCAUCCACUUAUUUGAACUUUUUAAAUUAUAUCAAGAAUUUGGACUAUCUUUUUUUAUAUAUAUAUUUGUUAUAUAUAUUUAUUAAAUCCCCUUUUCUUUAGUCAUACACACAGACACACACACACAGUCACACACACAAACACACAGGCAGACAGUCAUGCACACACACACACACACACACACAGACACAGGCAGACAGUCACACACACACAGGCAGGCAGUCAUACACACAGGCAGACAGUCAUGCACACACAGGCAGACAUUUACACACACACAGGCAUACAGUCAUACACACACACACACACACACACAGACAGUCACCCUCACACUGACAAUCACACAUAGUUACCUCUGUUCAUUGUGGAGGCAGUGCAGCACCUGGAGACUCUUUGUUGGGGAAGCAGGGACUCCUUCCUGCUUCCCGGCAGCAGUUAUCCGGCACUUUUAGCUCAGCCCUUGCCAUCAGUUUUGCUCCACCCCGUCGCACGGGAAGCUCCGCCCCUGCUGCAUGGGAAGCUCUGCCAGGGCACAAUUUUUAUUUUUUUUAAAUCCCGUCCGGCCAUGUGUGAGCUGCUCCAUAGCGCCCUGUGCGGCAGCACAGCUCACACACCCCUAAGGCCAGCCCUGGCUGUGACUCACCUGGGCUUCAUAAAAAAAUAUUUUUCUAUCAGAUUUUAGGCACAGUUGUGGUACAGCAGCUAUGAACGAAUCAAAUGGCUUUUAAUCUACACCCAAAUGAAUUGGUCCAUGGAGGAUUUACCUAUCGAGUCUUAUUUAAUGAUGGAUCAAUUAAUUUAGAAGCAGAUUAAAAGGAAAUUGAUUUACUUUAGACUUUCUUAUCGCCUGCUUUGUUAUUUCAACUUUAAUCACACACAAUGCUCCAGCAGGCAAUUAACAGAGCAGAAGAAAAGACGUUCUAAAGUAAACAAACUGUGCUGUAAGGUCUGGUUGCAAAAGAAACAUUUUUCAUGGAGUCUAUAUGAGUCACAGUCAGGGAAGGUGGGGUUAGGGCAGCAUUAAAGGGACACUCCAGGCACCCGGACCACUUCUGCCCAUUGGAGUGGUCUGGGUGCCAACCCCCACUACCCUUAACCCUGCAAGUUUAAUUAUUGCAGUUUUCAUAAACUGCAAUAUUUACAUUGUAGGGUUAAGUCCUCCUGUAGUGGCUGUCUACUAGACAGUCACUAGAGGAGACUUCCGUGUUCCUAGAACAUGAAAAGUUGUUUAAAGCAACGCCGGACGUCCUCACGCUAUGUGAGGACCUCCAGCGUCACCGAAAUCCCCAUAGGAAAGCAUUGAAAGUAUUAUUCAAUGCUUUCCUAUGGGGAGGUCUAAUGCGUGUGCGCGGCCAUUGCCGGCAGGGGAGGAGCGUAGGCGGAGCCUGACCCAGCGCUGAGGGACAUCGGCGCUGGACUCCGGUAAGUCACUAAAGGGGUUUUAACCCCUUCAGCAACUUGGGAUGGGGGGUAGGAGGUAGAGGGGCACUAGAGAGUCCUGUAGUGCCAGGAAAACUUAUGUUUUCCUGGCACUGGAGAAUCCCUUUAACAGAAACAAAAGUGAUUCAACUCCUAAAUGACAGUGAUGUAACUCCAAAAUGACAGAGAAUUGUGUAGUGGGGUUGGAGGAGCAUGAGCUGUUAUUUUGGUGCUUAGAGUGUCCCUUUAAGCUCAGUGAUGACACGUCUGAGUUGAAUUCUGCACUCAUCAAAAAUGUCAGUAUCCAGCUUCCCUGUAUAGUUUUAUAAAAAGUCAAUUUAGCAUACAAUACAAGGGUAAAACAUAUUUAUUAUAAUAUCCCUCAGUAUACACAGCUAUUAAAACACUUAGUGGAUAGGCGUUGUCAAUUUUAUGACCACAUGAUAAAGGAUAAAAAAAAAAUAUGAAAACAGAAAAUGAUAAAGACUUCUAUGCAUUACAAGCAGAAGAAUAAAAAUGUAUUUCCUUAACAAAGACCUAUGCCAGAAGUGUAGAACACAAAGAGGUUAAAUCAUUAUAAAUUAUAUUGAGGUAAGCAAGUUUCUAAACUGGCAGCUCUGUCCCUGUAAUGGGUUGUAAAGUGGGUAAUAAUAUUCUUACUGACCUAUUCAAUCAAAAGCAAUCAGAUUAUUGACUUAAUGCUGUUUAUUGUAUAACCGCAAUCAUACAAAGAUGUCUCCUCUCCUGUGUCAUAUUUGCAAGUGGUCAUAAAGGUAAAGGAUGAAAGCGAAGGGAUUUAAGGCCUUCCUUUCAAAUUGUGCAAAAUGUCUCUUUCCUUGAUCAUCUCUUUAGCCAGCCAAAUUAAAUUCUGGCUCGCCAAUACUCAACACUUCACUACAUGUACGUUGAAAGUAAUUUUUGUGCAACAAUCACUGCUGCAAUAAAUUAAUACUUUAUAGGAACACUGCAAACAACCUGCUAUAGGUUUGGCAACUUACCUGGAGUCUACUUGGCAUCCAUCACCAUCACCGCCUCCUUUGGACCUGGAAGUUCAUGCAGGGAGCUCUCAUUAGCUCCAUUGAGCUAAGCCUUGAGUCACACUUGUGUGUCACAGUUUCUUUCUUAGCAUUUUGUUUAAUAUUUGUGUAUUUUGGUCACAUUUUCUCUUUCCUUUGUAAUAUUCUGGGAUCAUCCUUGAUAUUUAUAUUUCACUUUUUAAAUCUAUAUUUUUUUUCCCCUUUCUCUGUCUUUCUCCCCAACUAGUCUGUUGCCAAUAUGUACUACAAGACGAGUGGUGGUAAGGUUUAUAAGUGUUGACAUAGUAUAUCAGCUGACAUAGCACCCAGUGACAGCAAAGCAAACUGAUAUUCACUAAUUGGAAACAAAUCAAACCUUUAUAUCAAAGCUUGGGAAAUCUUGGUAAGAAUAUCAUGAUAAUAAUUUAAUAAUUAGUAUUUAUGAGGAGAUGCUAAAGGAUCACCCCUGUUUUCUAAUUUUGCUUUACUUGUAGAAUCAGUAACCAGAGGUAUUUAUGAGGAGAUGCUAAAGGAUCACCCCUGUUUUCUAAUUUUGCUUUACUUGUAGAAUCAGUAACCAGAGGUAGGGUGGGAAAAGGCAAUCCCUCUCAUGGUAGCUUUAAUUAAGGCUUCCGAUUCCACAUAUGGGCGUGAGUGUCAACCAAACACAUAGACGUGUAGUGGUUUCUCUAUUGCGGAAUAAUUUAGAAACUUUUUUUAAGGCAAUCCUGUUUAAUGACUGGUGAUCAUAAAUGGAAAGCAGUAGCCAGUGUCUACUAGCAAACACCAAUAAUCUCUUGUAGACUUGUGCACAGAAAUAAACAUUUUGGGUCAAACCAAUUUCAGGAUUGCAAAAUUUUUGCCAUAUGGCAAUUUGGCUCAUCCAAAUUUUGUUGAUGAGACUGUCAUGAGAAUGGCCCAAUGAGUGCACUGUAAAAUAUGCACAUUAAGUAUAUGUAUUGUGGCAGUGUGAGUGAACACUGCUAUAUUAGCCCCAAAAAGGCACUUUCAGUGUUCCCUGACUAGAUGAGGUUAAAAAAUCAGGCUACUCUAGAACACUAAUUAGGUAACUACAUAAACCCUAUGCAGGGGGAACCAGUCUAUCAUGUGAAGAGCUGGGACAGAGACUGUGAGCCAAAGAGACUUCUAAAUCUGUAUAGCAACCAAAGGUAUUUUGCAAGCCUUUUAUUUUAUUUGUUCAAUACUGGGGUCUGCUUAGCUGCCUCAUAGCAUAGAGAGGGUACUAUGUUUGUUAGUCUCCAGAGUGGAGUAGGAUUUUAUUUUUGUUCAAUGUUUUGUUGUGGCUAAAGUUAGGCCGGCUUGCUUAAUAAAACUUCGCGCAUAUUUGAUAAAAUACACUGUUUUUGUGGUUUCAGACCAAUACUCGGCCAGUCUGCCACAAGAUAUAUAAUUUUCUUUCCACCCAGAUUUCCAGAUUAGAUGAGAAAAAGUAACCAAUAGAGGAAAAGGGUGGAGCAGUAAAAAUCUCUAUUUACAUAUGAUAUAUUUAUUAAAUCUGAGAAAAUCAACAUUUAGUGGCUGUCCCUUAGCCAUCAAUAAUCUAUUGCAUGAUUUGUUUGUGUUGUGAUUCAGCUACACUUUGGCUCAGAGUUUGGGAAUUCUUAUAAUCACCUGAUUGGCCUUAAUUCAGGCUAAUUGACAUUAAUAACAAAAUGAAAAUCCAAAUCUAGUCUUUAGAUACCUAUAUAAACAUUUGACUUGUUAAGCAUCUUUGGGUAAAAAAUGUGCUCCUCACCCAUGUUAUUAAAUAUGCUUCCAGAUGUAUGAUAACUACCUGUGGCAGACCACCAAGGUAUCUAUGCCACAGAUUCCCUUUUCCCCAACAAAAGCAGCACCAAUAAUCCUGUGAAAUAUUGCCAGUAUCACAUAUCCCCCCACACAUGAGCCAAGGCUUAAUGCUGGGAGUAGAACUGUUUAAUGGGUGUCCAGUCAUUAAAUUUAUGCAGUCAGGAACUGUACAAACUCAAUUAUCUCCAAAUACAGAAAAGUAUAAUAAUUUUGAAACACCCCCAAAAUAUAUGGAAACCCUGCAAAAAUCACAUCCUCGGAUAGUCCUGAUCUGAGUGACCAUCAUAUCAAACAAUCACUCAGAUCGGUUUGGUAUUUUUUUAAUCGCCAUCGCAGGGAAGUUUGACCGGCCUGCCACGAGGUCGAAACCCAAAAUAGUUCCGGGGAAAUUGUGGCAGUGGCCGUUCUCCGUUCGCGGGAUUUUGUGUGAAAAUCACAUGAGGUAUACGCAAUAUUUUACUUGUAGAAUGCUCCCCUUGUUCAGUAGUUCAUAACUCCCGAACGCCAUUCGUAUAGAUGGUCGGGAACUUGAUAGGGCAGAGACCCGCUAACCCGUUCAAGUUCCCGACCAUCUACAAAAACGGGAUUCACGGGAAUGCCUGUCCGAAAUAAGUUCCAGGCACUCGACGACCUGCGUUCGGGAGACAAGAUGGCCGCCAUACGUUGUCUCGACCGCGUGCAAUUGGUUGCAUGAAAUGGCAGCCACCCAGUGGAGCAUUCUAUUAAAUAUUUCCUCUGCAGUUUUCGUACUGAAUACUUAAUGUUCCAAGUUCUAAUGAGGUUCUGGCGUUGUCCUCGUUCAGGAACCAAACCAGGUGGAAACUAACCAAAUAAACUAAUAUAAAUCCAAAGAAAUAAGCCGAAACAAGUGAUGGGGCUAUUCUUUCACACUACCAAUGAUGUAACAGUGGAUAGUCAAUACAUUGUUAAACACAGAUCUGUCAAGUCAUAAGAAUUGCUUUUUCCAUAGAAAUCUCAAAUGUGCAGUGAUGUUACUACUGCAAGGGAUUCUGAGUGGCCAUAUGAAAAUUAAUUCAACAAAGAAUCACCUUUUUGCCUCAUUACCCCAUUAUAAACAUGGAUUCCUUGGAGUUUGUUUGCUAUAUAAAACAGCUUUGAAACACAACUCUGGAAGAAAUGCAAAGCCAGUGAUCCAUUCAUGAUGUACAGUGUAGUCGAAAAUAAAAAUCCUUCCAUACAGGGUUAGUCAGCAAUGGGAACUCUGUCAGGAAUCAAAAUUAAUUCAAAGUGGUUUUCAACUUUUUUUUUUUUUACCUGGAAAGAUUCAACAGGUAAGCUUUGCUUCAGGUUUAGUUAUUUUGGUCUUACUUUAGGGAAUAACCAAUCAUGGUAUCUGAUCAAAGCAUUAUCUUUUAUUUCCACAUUGUUAAGCAAGUCUUGGAUAUUAAAGUGUAUAUCACAAACAAUCUUAUAUUUCAGGUUCAUUUUCAAAAUCCAUGGCACUGUCUGUUAACUCCACGUUAAUGAAAACGAUCAGUCAUUUCUGGCUCUUACGCAAGUUACAUAGUUAGAUAGGCUGAAAAAUUACAUGUGCCCAUCAAGUUCAGCCUUCCUUACAUAUGUUUACUUGCUGUUGAUCCAAAGGAAGGCAAAAACCUACUUCUAAUUUUGCAACAAACAAGGAACAAAAUUCCGUCUUGACCCCAGAAUGACAGUCAGAUUUAUCCUUGGAUAAAGAAGCUAUUACCCUACAGAUGAAAAAUUAUAUCAUUGAAUAUUAUGUUUUUGCAACUAUGCACCUAGUUUCUGUUUAAAUAUCUGUACAGUCUCUGACAAAACAACUUUUCAGUGGCAGAUAAUUCCACAUCCUUAUUUCUUACCGUAAAAAACCUUUGCCUCAGACUAAAUCUUCUUUCUUCCAGUCUAAACACAUGACCUUGUGUCCAGUGGCGUACAUACCAGGGUCGCAGGGGUCGUGGCUGCGACCGGGCCCAGCCCACCAGGGGGCCAGCCGCCCCUGCGACCCGGUGUGUACCCACUGGGCCAGCCUCUUCCCCUGGGGGGCCCAGGAGCCGACCACCCCGGGGCCCCCCGAGGCUGGCCCUGCUGACACCCGGAAGGCGGGUGGCCGGUCGGGCAGGCAGGCGCGCGAGGGAGCACUCAGUGCUUCCUUUUCAGCUCCCUCGCGCACCGCACUGAUACCGGACCACUGGACCCCAGGGAAUCCCCCCAGCACUCCAAAAGGUAAGGAGUCUGGGGGGGAUUAAUUUAAAAAAAAAAAAAACGUGUUAGAGUGUGGGUGAGUGUUAGAGUGUUAGUGUUAAAGUGUGUGUGAGUCUUAGAGUGAGUGUUAGAGUGUGAGUGAGUGUUAGAGUGAGUGCUAGUGAGUGUUAGUGUGUGUGUGAGUGUUAGUGUGUGAGUGUUAGUGUGUGUGUGUGAGUCUUAGAGUGAGUCUUAGAAUGAGUGUUAGUGUUAGUGUGAGUGUUAGAGUGUGAGUGUUAGAGUGAGUGUUAGAGUGAGUGCUAGUGAGUGUUAGUGUGUGUGUGAGUGUUAGUGUGUGAGUGUUAGUGUGUGAGUGAGUGUUAGAGUGUUAGUGUUAGAGUGUGUGUGAGUCUUAGAGUGAGUGUUAGUGUGAGUGUGAGUGUUAGAGUGUGAGUGUUAUAGUGUUAGUGUUAGAGUGAGUGUGAGUGUUAGAGUGAGUGCUAGUGAGUGUUAGUGUGUGUGUGAGUGUUAGUGUGUGAGUGUUAGUGUGUGUGUGAGUCUUAGAGUGAGUCUUAGAGUGAGUCUUAGAGUGAGUGUUAGAGUGUUAGUGUUAGAGUGUGUGUGAGUCUUAGAGUGAGUCUUAGAGUGAGUGUGAGUGUUAGAGUGAGUCUGAGUGUUAGAGUGAGUCUGAGUGUGAGUGUUAGAGUGUGAGUGUUAGAGUGUGAGUGUUAGAGUGUGAGUGUUAGAGUGUGUGUGAGUCUUAGAGUGAGUGUUAGUGUGAGUGUUAGAGUGUGUGUUAGAGUGUGUGUUAGAGGGUGUUAGUGUGUGUGUCUGCUAGUGAGUGUUAGUGUGAGUGUUAGUGUGUGUGAGUGUUAGCGUGUGUGAAAGUGUGAGUGUUAGAGUGUGAGUGUUAGAGUGUGAGUGUUAGAGUGUGAGUGUGUUAGAGUGUGAGUGUUAGAGUGUGUGUGAGUGUUAGAGUGAGUGUUAGAGUGAGUGUUAGAGUGAGUGUUAGAGUGUGUGUGAGUGUUAGAGUGAGUGUGUGUGUCUGCUAGUGAGUGUCAGUGAGUGUGUUACUGUGUGUGUCUUACUGAGUGUGUGUGUGUGUGUGUCUGUUAGUGAGUUUGUGUUUGUCAAUGAGAGUGUAUGUUUUGUAAGUGAGUGUGUAUGUAUGUCUCUCGCUGAGUGUGUCUCUGUCAGUAAAUGUGUGUGUCUGUUAGCUAGUGUGUAUGCGUCUGUAAGUGAGAGUGUGUGUGUCUUCAGCACUUACCUUUCUCCAGCGCCGGACUCCCUUGGCGCUGGGGAUCCCUCAGACAUAACAAGUUCAAAAGCCUAAUUCCCUUUGCUUAACCACAUGUUGGAUGGUUUUAUUGCAAUUGGUAUUUUCUUCCUGAACUAUGAUCCAACUAAGGAGCCAUGUAAGCCAACAGGUCAUCUUGAAAAAUGAUGUAAAUAUACACUGCUUUUAAUCAGUGUCGGAUUUACCAGGGUAGCAAUGGCACUACGGAAACCUUGCCAUGAAGCUCUGCCCGUACAGGGAAGGCUGGGGGUCCUCAUUGCAAAACUCAUUUAGUAUACUGCCAAAUUUGGGGGAGAAGGAGGGCGGUAAUCAAGAGCCCUGAAAUUCUGUGCUGCUUGCUCCUUAACCAGUCUUCAUACUGAAUCUCAGCCCUGGAGCCAAAGCAGCACCAUAGCCCAGUUCACAUAGAAAUUCAUAGUGUGCUGCUUCCUCUACCAGCAGAGACUCAGGAGACUGGGCAGUGGAGCGGCAUGGCAGCAACCCAGGGAACUAGAAAUGCAGGCUACAAUGACUUAUCUGACCUUUUCCUCACAUAUAAUAUAGGGAGAAACUUGCAACUUCUAUCUCUGCAAGUUUAUGAGCCGUCAGGUAUGGAAACUUCAUAGUGUGCCUGUGUGUGUAUGAGUUUGUAUGUCUGUUUGCCUGUCUGUUGGUAAAUAUGUGACUGUGUAGCCUGUGUCUGUGCAUGAAUGUUCCUGUGCAACUGUCAGUGUAUUUAUGGGCCUGUUUUUGACUGUAUGUGCCUGUCUGGGUGCCUUUGUUGGCCUUUGCCUUUAUGUGCCUGCCUCGAUAUGCCUGUGUCUGUCUGUGUGUGUGUGUGCACACUCCUGUGUCUGUCUAAUAAAUAUAAUUCCAUAUUAAUAUUUUAAUAUGACACAUACAACUCCCACACAUAAUCAUACUCAACCAGCCUUUGCACACAGUCACAUUGAGCCUGUCCCACACAUACACGCAAUCGCAGUCAGCCAACUUCACUCAUUAUUAUUAUUAUUAUUAUUUAUUACGCCUACAAAUUCCAUAGCGCUUUACAACAGGUGGACUAACAAACAUAUAAUUGUAACCAUACAUGUUGAAUGCACAGGAACAGAGGGGUUGAGGGCCCUGCUCAAUCAACUUACAUGCUAGAGAGUGGGGUAAAGUGACCCAAAAGGUAAGGGAAAUAUUAGGGGAGUAGAGUAGUAUUCACUGAAGACUUAGUGUGUUUAUUUUAUUUUUUUAUUGGCAGUUGCAGGAGAGGAAUCAGUUGGGAGCUAUUAAGAGUUUAAUAGAUAUGCCUUUGUGAAGAAGUGAGUUUGGGGCACUGGGUGAGCAUCUAACAGAGAAGGGAAGGGAGUUCCACAGGAACAGUGCAGCCCUAGAGAAGUCUUGAAGGUAAGCAUCAGAGGUGGGAGUAUAAACAGUGGAUAGACAUAGGUCUUCGGCAGAGCGUAAGGGCCUAGAUGGGAUAUACUUGUGUAUUAGGGAGGAUAGCUAGGUGGGCGCAGCAUUAUGUAGAGAUGUGAAAGCAAGAACCAUAAUUUUAAAUUGAACCCUAUAUUUUACGGGAAGCCAAUGCAGGGACUGACAGAUGGGUGUGGCGUGGGGGGUGCUGGCAGACAGGAAGAUGAGUCUUGCCACCACAUUAAUUUUAGACUGUAACAGAGCAAGUGGAAAGCCCCUAAGACCACUAGGCUAAAUAAAAUCACACUCAGCCAAGUCCCACACAAUCAUUCUCAGUCAACCCCCACACAACCACAUACAGCCACCACACACUUCCCAUUCAGGUCUAUUGCUUAGGGGGGCAUGAGGAGGUCAAAUUACAGGCCCUUUCUAGCCCCUGCUCUUAACCCUUUCACUGUGGAGUUUUUAUAAUUUUAAACAUAUAAACACUAAAGCAGUGAUGUUGGAUCUCUUUGAGCCCCAUAAAUUUUUUUGCAGGGAGGAAACCCUGGUCUCUCAGUAGUGGCUAAUCCCUCCCUUGUGGUCAGUGGGGUUAAUAAUAAAUUCCUCGUGGUCCACUGGAGGUAAUAAUAAUAAAUCCAUGGUGGUCCAGUGGUUUUAAUAAUGAUUUCCUGGUGGUCCUCUGAUGGAGUGCCAAGGUACAAAUCAUGUUAAUAACGCAUUCUGGUCUGGCACUCAGUGGGAAAGUCAGAGCAAGAGCUGGGAAUCUCAGUGAUCACGCUCACUCCCUCACUGAGCGAAAAAACUGCAAGUGAGCAAUUAAGAUGGUCUUCACGAGGCAGAAGUGCAGUCCAUGCACUCCACCCUCUGUGAACCAUGGAGUUAUUUUUUUAAAUUGAAUAUAUUGCCAAUUCUGAUGGCAGCUCAGUAUACCUGUACACUAGAAACUCCUGAUAUUGUGCCCUAAAGCACCUAACAUUAGCGUCAUCCACCAGAGUACCUACGGUGUAGUGAACAUCUGGCUCGCAAGCCAGCAGAGAGCCCUCUGUGUGCCCAUUAUGUCACACUUGCCAUAGUUGCACCAUCACUCCACUAGAGAAUAGAAUUAGCACUGAACCUGAAUUGAUUGUUGUCCAGUGUUACAAAAAUGUAAAUGUAACAAUUUUCUUUUAUUUUCAAUUUUUUUCGUCUCACAAAGCUUUAAACAGGGUCUGGGCUUUAAAUCUACAUGCACAUACAUUAUUUAUGGGUAUUUGUAAGGAAGCCUAGCAAAAUUAAAAGUAAUCCUCUUUGAUGGUUAUGGAAUGUACAUGCUAGAUGAGCUAGCUGUCAACAUUGUAGAUCAUUUCUCAGUGUUGGUCAACACUGUGAAUCAAAUAAUGGAUGUUUUUAUGUUUGAUUUUAGAGAACUAAGAGAUUUUAGGGGGUUCGCAGAUCAAAAUUGCUUUUAAAUACAAAGUAUCCAUCAGCACCACAGUUUAUUUACAACUUCACUUGUAUACUGUACUAUAAGCCCUAGUGAUCAAGAGUGUUAGAGCAGUGAACCUUUUCAUUAGGCAGUCCGGAAAGAGUCUGAAUAACUGCAGGAUAAUGUAGUUUUGCAAUGCAGUGUGAUACUUUUAGCAACAUAAAUUAAUUCUGUUUGCUUUUAAGAACAUUGACUUUUGGGAAGGAUGAGCUCAUGAACUGGACCUAUCAAGUCCCUCCAUCAGUUGUUUUUAUUUAUUUAUUUAUUUAUUUAUUUAUUUUUUAAAUUGUCAUUGCAUUUCCAAUUCGCAAAAAGUAAUGAACUUUCUACACUUUUUAUAUUUGCAGUCAGAAAAUGAACAGAACACAAGUCUGCAUAUAGUGCAGGUGUUUUCAUAUUCAAACCUUCAUGCUGAUCCAAAUAUUUUAUAGAAUCUGCAUACCAAACUGUAAUUUCUAUUAAAAAAUAAAUAAAUAAAAAUAACAAGCCUUCAGAUGAGUUACAAAUUUUAAACAUUUUUGCACACAAACAAAUUGUCUUUACCUUUUACACCUAUAUUUAUUAUCAAAAAUGUUUUCUAUAAUUUCAAAGCCCCUCACAAAAAAAUGCUUCAAAAAUGAAAAAUAAAAAAAUCUUAUCGGGAGUUUCAAGGAUACCAUAUUACCAUUGCAUUUGGUACACUUAAAAAAAAAAAAGUGUCCCCUGAAUAUUUCUAGUAGACAUUGCACAGAUCUUUGCAUGUACAUAACAAUUCUCUCCAGCGCAUGCAGGUUGAGAAAGAGAAAAGGCCAUAUUUUAAUAAUUUGUCCAAUGGAAACUUCAACAAUUUGUUUCUGUGGAUGAGUUUAACCAGUAACCGGUUGCAAUUUGUUAUUAACUUAAUUAGAAAAAUCAUUUCGUAUUUUUCCAAUAUUAAUAAUAUAAAUGUUUAACUGUUAUACAUAAAAUAAAAAACAGUUUGCGUCUUCAACACCUUGUCACGCGGCCCGCCUGGUCCGCCCCUGCCAGAGAGCGGUAUGGGCCUCGGCGGACGCUCAACGUUGCGGCGGGAUAUCCACAUGUCAAGGGGAAUGCCGCCAGAUCCUUACCUGUCUUGCAGACACCCGCCGGAUCCACUCAUGCCCAGGGCGCAUCUCUGUCUGGCGGCAUUCCCACGUGGUAAUGGGCAUGCCGCCCAUCACUCACCUCUGCUCCCGACGGGAACUUCUCCCUCUCACACAGCAGCCGGUUUGGCAAAUAUUAGAGACGCCGGCCACUGCAAAUUAGAUGCUUUCAAGGGUUUGUAAUUAAUCCUUAGAAUGUCAUUCCAUUUUGAACGUGUGGGUGUGUCUCACACACAAGUCCACUAUCACAUGCUUCCCUGUAGCCAAUCAGGGAGAAUCUUAUGCUAUAUAUAUAUACCUUUUUUUUUUUUUUGGUCCGUUUCUCUGUGCCCUGUCGUGGUUUCCAUUGUGGUUAUCCGAGAGCGCGUUUCUGGUAUUGAUUUUAGUGUAAUUUGACCUUGGCUUUCCUUCUGACUAUCCGAUCUCUGUAUUCCUUGACCUUUGGCUUGGCUCCUGGCUAUUCUGAUUUCUAUAUUCCUUUAACCUUGGCUUGUUCAUUGUUUCCGUUAAUUCUGCAUUCUUGUCCUUAUCUUGUCUGUGGUUUAUUCUUUUAUACCUUAAAUCUGGCCAUUCUAAGGCCCGGUAAUACGUCUUACGGUUUUCUUUAUUUUUAAGUUCUGCGUGUUGGGCAUCAGCUAUUCCUGACACACCUACAAUGAGUGAGGAGCAUUUUGAGAACACUGUCAGAGUUAUUAACUAAUGUGGGAAUUCAAAGUGCAUUAUAAAUUUAAGGCCAGGAUUGCUGGGCUAGAGAAAUUCUCUAAGUCUGCUUUGCAUUCACUUUGGCUUCUCUCGCCAUAAAUUUGAAAUUCACGAAUUCUCAUUUUAGUAAAUAACCUUGUGAGCUUUAACAGUUACCUCAGUUCACAAAUCUUCCUGAUUAACAGGUUUAUUUACUGAAGUGAGAAUUCCUAAUUGAUCAGUUUUGGUGUAUAGAUCAGGCCCCUGCAGUCUCACUGCUAAAUUCUCUGCUAUUUAGGAGUUAAUUCACUUUGUUUCUGCAGCCCUAGUCACACCUUCCUGCAUGUGACUUACACAGCCUUCCUAAACACUUCCUGUAAAGUGAUAUCUAAUACAUAACUUUUACCACAUGACAGGAGACUUCAUAUUUUGCAUAUCUCUCUUUACUAACUCCAUACAGCAGUAAAGAAACACAUAGAAAAAAGAACCACUCACAGGAGAGCAGGAUGUACAUAAGGCAAUGUGACCUCAUCAUUUCCUCUUUCUUUACUGCUCCAUCAAGCAGACAGGUCAGAGUAUUACUCUCCUCCAUUACUUUGUUUACAGUGCCUCUUUGAGGUUGUUUCUGUAUUAUAUUUUUUUUAUAUACUUUGAUGUAUGUUCUUGCUGUGCUUCUGUACUAUGUGCAGCUAUUUUUUCUAUGUUAUUUCAUAGAUAUUAUGUAGAUUUAACGUUAUCCUUAUUUCAUAACCUUUAGUUGUGAUUAAUAUCACUUGUAAUUUAUCAGUUUUAUAGGCAUUUCAUCCUUUGUUUUGAUAAGUAUUAUAUGUACUUUAUACGUAUUUAAUAGAUGUCAUAUGUAUUUUAUGACAUGGAUUUAAUAGGUGUAAAUUUUAUUAUUGACUUAACAGGUUUUAUGUAUAGUUAUGGUAGAUGUACUUUAUACCAUAUGUAUCAUGACUUUUCUGGCCUUCUAUACCUGGGGCAUCUGGGGACACUCUCUCCCCAUUUUCCUCCUUCUCCCCAGGGUCUCAUGGGGAUUCUGGGUCUGGCUGGGGCUUAACCCCUUCCCUCCCGCGGUUCCCAUCAGCUUCCGCCGGUUCCAGGGCAUUAAUCCCUUCUUCCGAGCUAUGCAUUCGACCCCUUCCUCCUACAACCCUCAGGGGGACGGCCGGACUCACUGCACUCGCUCUCUCAGGCUGCCCCAUACCGUACACCUGGUAAUGUGCUGGAUGCUUUCCAACAUCCACUACCUUGGUGCAGGGCAGUCUGUGGGGCGAUUAUGAGGUAGCCCGAGAAUGACGCGGUGACAAUCUUUGAUCCCGAGACUCCAGGGACCAUGUUCCCCCUCCUUUACUCUUCAUGGCCAUCUUUAAUCUUGCGUCUUGCAUCUCGAGAGUAACAUAUACCUGGGCUGUCAGCUAGUCUAGCUGCUCUCGUGGCUCACGAUGCUCUGACACGGACGUUGGACCCAGGCAAUCCAGGCAAAGGGAAGUAUUCUAACUGGCCUAUUAUUUACAGAUUUGAGUUGUACUCAUGUAUAGUGGUUCGAGGUGCUGGAACCUUAAGGAAUAUCACCCCCAAAAAUCCUGUAAAGGGAUAGCACCCUCAAAUUCCUUAAAGAUAACAUUCUUGGACCAUUAGAGGGAACUCCUUAAAGGGAUACACCCUGAAACUACUUAAAAGGGAUACCAAAUCCUUAAAGGGAUAUCACCCUUGAAUUCCUUAAAGGGAUAGCACCCUUGAACACAAACUAUCAAGAUGGUUUGAAGGGAUAUCACCUGGAUCAGGGUUCAGGAAGACUCUACGUCUGGUAAUGGAUGCUCAAAGAGAUGACUCCUAUCACUUAGAAUACCUGUCAUAACACGACAGACAAUGGAGCUUAGAGCUAGUGCUAUAUCCUAUUAUCCCUCAGAGGUCAGUCACUUUUGUCUCAUUACUGCCAUAUUAGGCACUAAAGGGCUUAUUACCCUGUGCCUGCCUGGGGUGCUGCCCCUAUUACCGUGCUGAUUUUUGGAGGUCACCCUGUGGCCUGUGGGUAAGGCCCAGUUAUACAAAUCC
rnacentral:lncRNA from 1 species